CUCCCCUCAGCACUUGUGGAGUUGAGUGGAAGCUUUCUCAGCGCUGUACAUGCAAGUACCUUGAUUUCUUUCAAAUACAGAAAGGGCAAGGCCUUAUCAUGUAUGCUACUCAGUCGUGGAAGCGAACUCAAAAUCAGAAUGGUAUGUUUUCCAAAAGGGUUCAGUUCUUGUACCACAUUUCCAACUCCAUCCAGUCUUUCCAGAUUGAUUAUUUUCUCAAUAUCAUUGCAGUCAUCUACACAUAAAUGGCUGAGAUUUGGAGCAAAAAUGAGCCAAGUCAUGUCUAUGAGAUCUAGGCAUCGUGAUACUUCUAUGAACUGAAGGCAACGGAAGCAAUUUUGUUUUAUCAUCAUCAAAUGCCGUGUUGGAUAGUGGCCAAAAUUAGUGGCCAACUUGUAAAUGCUUUUUGAUUAAAUAAAAGAAAAAAAAGGUGGACAACAUCAUUGUGUCCCUUCCUUGUUUUGGGGAGAAAAAAAGGCACCUUGUCUAAAGUCCUUUUUAUUUGGCCCUUUGUGAAAGCCACGAGAUAGUGGCUAGGUUUUAAUUAGGGCAGCAGCUGCCAUUUGGGAAGAGUAGCAGAAAAAUAAAGGCAGCAGCAGAGACGAGAAAGAAGAAGAAGUGCAGCAGCCCCAUUUUGAAGAGAAGAAGAAUGUGCUCUUCUCUUUGGUUAGUAAUCAUUCAUCAAAGUUGUAUUUGUUGUAUUAGCUUUGAGCUUUAUAUAGAGAGAAAAUUAUUCAUAUUAUUUCCUUCUCUAUUUGGUUAUUUGGUGUGUGAGAGCUAUUGGUUGUAUUAGGGUUUUGGGUUAUGAGAUUGCCAACACUUUGUAAACUCCCAUUUGGUUGAUAGUGGAUUAUUGGGUGAGCUCCUACUGCUCCGAGGACGUACUCCAGUUAAACUGACUGUUGAGGAACCUCGUUAAAUCUUGGUGUCUUUAAUAUUUUGUUCUUGCAUUUCAUUUGAUAUAUUUCCUGUGGGUUGUCAAGAGUUGGUUCCAUAAGGCUUGGUGCUAUCCUAGCACAACAUGUCGGGGAUCAUUGGGUGCUCGUCCUGCCCAAUAAACUUCCAAUUGUUUCCAAUUAGGAGUAUCCCGAAUAUAAAGGGUAUCAAGAUGUUUCAUAUGCACCAAAGAAGAUAUGUCUAAAAAGCUUGCUUGGUUCUUGCCAUCCGAGAGCUGUAGAGUCUGAAUGUGGGUCACCAAUUUGUGGUAUCCGAUCAAUUUUUGCAAACAAGAGCUACUUUGUACGCUCAAAGUCAAAACGUCAAGGUAUUCCAAACUCUGCAUUUCGUCCAUCGGGGCUCCUUCACCGCCAACAAGAAUUCCAUCUGAAAAACUACAUGCUAACUAUAGAAUCUGAACUUUGACUGUGAUCCUUUCUGAAUUGACUGAGACGAGAUCGUAACUGAUGAAUGUGAGCAUCGGAAACUCCUCCAAAACGUAAGAAGCUUAUAUCGGCGCAAAAUUGGAGCAAAUAAAGCACGCCAUGGAAGAUAAUUGGAGCGUUUAAGUUUGAUAGGCACCAUACUUCCAAUGUUUUGAAUCGUAAGAGAGGCAUACGAAUUCGAAGAAAACGAAGAAUUUGAGGGAUUAGGGUUUGGAACCUGCACCGACGUACGAGGAGAAGACGAACCAGAUGGAGACGCCAUGACAAAUCACAGAAAUAGAGACCAAAUUAACAACACAGAGGUUGCGAUUGAGGAAGAAUGAUGAAGAAUUUCAGGAAAAUUGAUGAAGAAAUCAGAGAUUGGGAGCAGGAGCGAAGAGGAUCGAGAGGGGGAGAGCCGGGAGGCAAGAACGGAAUGAUACCAUAUAGAAUCUGAACUUUACUCUUUUAUUCGAUGUAAUGAAUAAUUACAACAAUGUUAAUAUAUAUACUUGUGGGCUAUCUAACAGAUUACACUAAUGCCCUUAACCAAUCUAAGAAUAUACAAAUCUAUUUAACAACAAACUUAAUGUCUAAACUUUAGCUUCUUUACUAACAUCCUCGGAACUUUUAGCAUUGGAAAACUUGAUAUUACAUUUUGUGGAACAAAAUGAAGCUCAUCCAUAUGCUCCAAAUUCAAAUAUUUUAGCCUCACACAAGCCUUUAAUUCAAUCUGCAGCGCUCUUACACCAGCUCUUGACAAAUUUAGAUGUUGUAACGAAAUCAGGUUGGAAACGCCAGACGGCAAUUUGGUUAUGUUCAGAUUUUUAGACAAAUCCAAAACUCGCAGAGUAGGCAUAUGAUCGGAAAAGCCAUCAGCAAUCAUAUUCAAAGGACCUUCUCCACCUCUAAGAAAUAAGGUCAACAGAUUUGGAGAUUUUGGUGUUUCAACUAGGCUUUUAAAAUGACUACCAACCAAUGAUACCCUUCUAGUGUUAUUCCAUUUCUUCACAUGCGGUGUUCCCUGGAGACCUGUAUGCACGAGGACACUCUCAUUUUCUUUCCCGCAGUCACAAGCUAACCACAAUGCCAUGUCAUGAAUUAAGUCAUGCAUUUUUACAAAAUUUCCUUCUUCUUCCAACAAACAUACUCUUCAAACAUCUCCUCACACAUCCAAAAAUAUAAUAAAUCAUCUUUACUUAUCAGGAAAUCUUCCGGAAAUAGAGCACAAUAUAAGAAGCAUGAUUUGAUUGUCUCACUGGGUAGAUUAUCGUGACUAAAUUUUAAAGGAGGAAAUACCUUGCCUCCCAUAACGGAAAACUCUGAGGCAGAUUCCUUUAGAACUCGAAUUGCAUGAUUCCAUUCGUGGGGUGUUUUCUUGCACGUCAUGGCUCGACCAACUGUAAUCAAUGCAAGUGGCAAACCGUCACACUCAUUCGCCACGACUUGCGCAAGUUUGGGGAUAUCUGGAUGACUUUGAAGAGCUUCUUUGCCCACCUUCUCCUGAAACAAGGUUCAUGCUUGGUUCGGCAUUAGGCACGGCACUUUAAUCGUUAUUUGAGCAUCCAUACAACUACAUAUAUGCUCCAAACGAGUUGUGAAUAUGGUCUUCGACUUCUUAUUGUCAGCUGGACCAGUAAUCGCUGGAUUAGGAAUCCCAACUUUAGUCAUUUCAAUUGGCUCCCAUAUAUCAUCCAAUAAUAGCACAAAUUUCUUCUCACUCAAGAACUUGAAGUUUGUGGUCUUUUGAGACCACGAUCCAAAUCACAAGAUCAAAAUGGUAAGAAGUACUAAAGGCGAACUUGUAAUGGAUUUUGGUAAGGAGGGUGGUCUUGCCCACCCCUCCCAUUCCAUAUAAUCCAAUUGCUCCCACCUGUUCAUCUUCAACAUAUCUCCAGACCUGAUCAAACAUUGACCCCAUCCCCACUGUUGGUUCAGUAGGCAUUUCAUGGACUACACCUACCGGUAAGCUUUCUGUUGCCACCUCUUCAAAGCUUCCCUUGCUUUUCAAGGAAUCCACUUCCACCAACAUUUUAAACACUUUUUUCCGUACUUGUAGCUGGGAAAGUAGUUCUUGGAGCAGUAAACUCCGCUACAUGAUUUCUGAAUUUCUCGAUCUGCACAAUUUUGAACUUCUCUGACUCAUGUCUCAAUAGUUUCCGCCCUUUUAAUCCAUAGUUGUACCUUGUCCAAGUGCUUCAUUGAUGUCUGAAGCUCAGCAACCUGAACCCUUCUCACGACAUCAUUCUUUAAAGCGGUCAGUUCUUGCAAAGAACGAUCCAGAUUCCAGAGCUUCAAGGUUUUGUCCGAGCUUGCUGAUGUAGUUUGCUUGUUGACUAAGGAACCCCCAGCAGCAGAAGUUAGCUGUGGGAUCGCAAGAUAUGGAGACUGAGAAAAUGUUCCCCAUGGCUUGCAGGAAUACUGAAAAAUGAAAAGAUGGUACUUUUGUUUGGGAGAGGAAUUAGGUAAGUGUUUUGUUUUGUAAACAGGAUGAUAUGUGGAAUGAAUUAUUUCAAUGCCUGUACGUCUACGUGGUGUCGGUCGGGCUCACCAGAAACUUCAAUGUCACUUUAAUCCGAAGACCCAAUAAUUCACUCUAGACUUCCAGAUACUUUUUAGGAUUCAUGUUGUGAAUUGAGUUCUCGUAUCAACAAGGAAAUUUGCAAAUAGGGUUUCCUUUGAGAUUUAAUGUUUUAUCGAGACAAGUUUCAGGUCAUUUGAAAUUAAAGGAAUUGGAUGUUUUCAUUUUUUUAUUUUUUUUCUUUUCGCAUCAAGUUAUGUGUCGGUCGGGCUCACCAAAAACUUUAUGCCACUUUAAUCAGAAUACCCGAUAAUUCCGGUUUUACCCCCGAGUAUUUGGCCUUUAUUCCAUCUUUGCCCAUUUGUCUUGCUGUGGAGAUGGUGACACGUGGGACUCCCAACCUCCUCUACCUUGGCCACAAGUCUAGUGUUUCUAAAUUGGUGUCUCUUAUGUGUCUUAUUUCUAUCAUUUUGAUAUAUGUCCUCAACCUUAACCUCAAAUUUAAUAGUGUUAAUCUUUCAAGAAUGAAUUAAAAAAAAGUAAAAAUUGAUAAUUAAAAAAACAACGCAUUCUCGAUGGUCAUUCACCGCCAGCAAAGCCUCUUUUACUCUUCCCUCUCUUUCCGAUGAACUCACCCACUGAUUAUUAAUUUUACUCUUGGGUUUCCUUUCCCCUCUUUGUGUGUUCACUUUCCCUUUCAUAUAUAACCGUCAAAUCCUCCCCAAAUUUCUUUCAUUAUUUUCAGGAUUUGUUAGAACUUUUACAGAAGAUAUGUUCUAUUGGGAUUUUCAACCAAAACCCAGAUUAUAUCCCUAAUCAAUGACAUUAUUCCUAAGAAAAUUAGCAAUAGAUUCUACCCAAAAAUUAAUCUGACAGAAGUUUGAUUUGACUGUGGAUAUUGAAAGGGAAUAUAAUUAUUUCAAUCUUGGGCCAAGAGAGAAAGAGAGAUAGAGGGAGGAUCCGAGGGGAGGCUUUGGCGGCAACGAGUAAGAGUGUCCAGAGUUGGGUUACUGGCGGCUAAUGAGGUUUAUCUGGUUGCGUGGACAUCAUUUGCUAGUUCUUUGUUUUUUUUUUCUUAAGUGUAGAUGGAAGAGGCUUUGGCGACAUGAGUUGGGGUAGCCGCUCCUGGAAUGGGGUUGGCCGGCGUGGGUGACUGUCUGGGUUGCUAGGGCGGGAGAUUUUCGGGAUCCGGGGUGGGUGGGAAGCGGUGGUUGCAAAUUUCUUUAUUUUUAGUUUUAAUUUCUUAAUUUUAUUAAAAGUUAACGGGGUUAAGGUUAAGUUUAAAUGGUUGGACACAUGUCAAAGAAAUAAGAUAUGAGACUCAUAGGAGACACCAAGUUAGGGACAGCAUACCCGUUGCCCUCUACCUUUUUUUUGUCGCUCACCGCUUCAUUGCAAAAAAAUUAAACCAUUUCCCUUUCAAAUUUCAAGUUUGAACCACCGCUAGCACAGUUUUCCUGCACCUCAGCUUUCAUCUGAUUCUAUUUCUUCUUCUUCUUCUUCCCUAAAACCCUCUAAUUUCCCCAAAACCCACCCUUCCAAAUCCCCCACUACCCCCUCAUCCCUCACAGAGUUAGAUUCCCCCCAAUCCUUCCAACCCAACGGUCCAAAUUUUCAAACUUUCCUCCCAGUAUGCAUCCAUUUCCCAUUUUGAAUUUUGAUCAUUUAGGUCAAAUUUUGAACCUUUAGACCAUCUCCAACUCUUGGGCUAAAAGCCAAAUUUUUUAGCUCGAAAAAUUUAGCUUUUAGCCCAUAAGCAGCUUUUCUGCUCCAACUCUUCUGGCCUAAAAUUUUAGCCCAGAAUUAUUAAAGAAUGAACUUAGGCUAAUUUUUUCUUAAAUUUAUUUAAAAAAAAAUUAUGUAGACUAUAUCGUAAAUUAAUUUUAUGAAAAUUUUAAUCUAAAAAUAUUUAAAUUUCGAUAAAUAUUGAAAAAUCACUAAAUCGAUACAUGUGAAGCACAUACAAAACACAUGUGAAGCACAUACACAUGUGAAUCACAUAACCUUCACUCAUCCUCUAUAUAAACACAGGUUGAAUAUUAAUUGAUCACACAAUCUUUCAACCUUCAAUCAUCCUCUAUAUUCACCAAUCUUUCAACUUUCAAGGUAUUUUUGUUUCCUAAAAAUCCUCAAUAUCUCAUUAAUGGGUGAUAGAAGAAGGCGUAGUAGGACAAUGAAAAUGUGUGGAGUUCCAUAGUUUCUGAAUUUUAUACACCUUUUUCUAGUCGUGCUCAUUUGAUUAAACUUUUAGACUUCUCUUUUUAUUUAAUCUUGCUUAAAGGGGAACAUUUUUAUUUAGCUUAGGUUAGCUAAGUUUGGGUUGAAAUUAUUUGACUAUGAACCUUAUACAAUUUUUAUUAACCCAUUUGGACUAGGAAAGUGAGGACAAAUGGCUUUCUUGGAGUGGCAAAGUUUGCCACGUAGUUCACUCACCAUGCCGACCCAAGGACACUAAUCUGAUCAUUAGCUUGUUUGGUGAAAAGUAUGUAGCUUAGAUGUUAUCACAUAGGGCUUUUAGAGUGCUUAGUAAGCACUUUAGGGUGAUGACUAUUGAAGCCUAGGUUGACAACUAAUCAAGCCUAUAGCUAAUGUGGAAUGGUGGAUUAGCAAUUGAAGUUGAAACUUAUAACCAAUGAGAACAACUUUUGCCGCCUUAUUUAUGGUAUAAAUAGGAGCAAUGCUCAAUCUGUGCUUUUUUUUUUCCUUUGGCAAAAUGCAAUACGUACCGUAUGUAGAAAGUGUGUAAGAGAGUGUUAAAGGAGAUAAGCAAAAGAAGUACUCAUGGAGUAAGAAGAGAGGAUUCGAGGUAGGGGAAUUUGGGGAAUUAAUUGAUUGCAUUUGUUACUUGUAUUACGUGAAAUAUUGUUAUGUGAACUUGAGAUAUAUUCAACUAUUGACUUAGAUGUGCUUUAUUAUGUGAUAUAUUCAACUAGUGAUCAUUAUCAUUUGUCAACGAAGUAAAGGAGUUACUUAUGUUAUGGGAAAAUGUGGAAAUUAUAGCUUUUGUGUAGUUGAGUUUGUUCAUUGUGAAACCAGUUUCAGGCAAGCCCAAUGUGCACAGUAGAAUAGGAUAUCGACGGGAAUUGUCGAUGUGGGUGAUUUGGGUUGGAGAUCAAUGAAUCAGAUAAGAUGACUAGCAAAAGGGGUUAUGAACUUGGGUUAGUUGAUGUGGGUUAUUCUAUAUAUUAAAGCACUCGGGGCCACAAUAGUAAAAUGCAUGGUAUGGGACAUGCAGGUCUGGUUGCUUCAAUAUAUAGAUUAACGGGUUGGGUCUUGCAUUACAUUACUCAUAAAAUAUUCAUAACAUUAAUAAUAUUAAUCACUUGAGACUUUGGGCCCCUAGUGAGCUUUUAGCUCACCCCUUAUUAGUUGUGUUACAGGAGAUGAGACAUGAAUCUAGUGGUUGACUUGGAAGAAAGAGACUGCUUAUAAAUAGUUUUAAACUUUUUAAGGAGUUGUUGUCGUUUUCUUUUAUGUGUAAGGACUAUGUAAAUUAUUUUGUUUAAUGAAACAUUUUAGUUCAACACAAUCACAUGUUAUUACCUUUAAGUUACCCAUUUUAUUCAUGUCCAAAAAAAAAAAAAUUAGGGUGUGACAAGAUGGCACAAUACCAACCAAGCCUUGACAUUAAGGGUGCAUAAAUGAUCAACGCAUAAGUUGAAUUUGAAAACUCGCUUAUGCAAUAUGAGCACCAUGCCGAAUCUAGCUAUCGUGGUUCUGUCACGGGGCGGUCAUUUGUGCAGCGUGAUAGAGAAGAGUGUCAUGACCGAAUGAUGAAAGAUUAUUUCAUCGAGCGUCCGAGAUUUCCUGCUCAUGAUUUUCGAAGACGGUUUUGAAUGAGGAUAGAGCUUUUUGAAAACAUCUUGAACGUAGUUGUUAAUCAUGAACGUUAAUGUGUUCUUGUGUUAUGUAAUAAUUUUAAGUGUACUAUGUUGGUGUAUUAAUGUGUUCUUGUGUUAUGUAAUAAUUUUAAGUGUACUGUGUUGGUGUAUUAAUGUGUUCUUGUGUUAUGUAGUUAUUUUAUGUAAUAAUUUUAAGUUUUCUUGUGCAAAAUUAUUGAAGGCAUCUGGAUGUGCAAAAUUAUUGAAGUGGCUUCUUGUGCAAAAUUAUUGAAGUGUCUUAUUUUGUCUAGUACGUUGUCAAAAUUAUUGAAUGUCGUUUGAAUUAUUGAAGGCAUCUAUUGUACAUCAAAGUGUGCAAUAAUAAUUACAAUAAUUAUUAAAGGCAUCUAGAUUAAUAGAAACAUUAAUUAAUAAGCCAUAAAUUUAAUACACACGACAAUUAAUAAAGCACAUAAACUUAAUACAAACGACAAUUCAUAAGCCACAUAAAUCACAUAAACUUAAUACAAUCGAUAAUUCAUAAACUAUAUAAACUUAAUAAUGAUAUCCACCAUCUUCACUUGGUGGUGGACUUGGGAUAUAGGGUUGAGAUGAUUCAUCAUCUUGAAAUAUACUCUUUGUGGCAUUCUAUCGUAAAAUUUCCUUUUGCUUACCACACAAGAACUUCUUCCUCUCUGGAGUGUAUUUGUUGAGGUCCUCCAUCAUGCAAUUAAUUUUGAACCUAUUUUGCUCACUAUCCCCUUCUUCCUUCAUUUUCAAACGCAUUUGGGCCGCUUCUUCUUGGCGAGCGCUAUGGGUUUCACUCAAUCUUGCAAAUCCUGUAGCAAUGUGUCCACUCAUUAGAUCUUGAGACUUCCCUUUUCUCUUUGCUUCCUUUUGCUUAUAUCUUCCCGGAGGCCUUGCAAAAGGAGUUGGGGUCAUUUCAUCGACACCUUCAUUGACACCUUCAUCUCCGGCAUUUGUCGGUGCAGCUUCACGUUGAAAUAAUUUGUUGGUCCGCAUCCGUUCCCCACCUCGGACAAUCCUUGAGGACGUCCCAAGCAUGUUGCAACUUAAAAACUUGAUUUUUUGGUGUUACUCUUGUCUUGUAAAUUUCCAUUGCUUUGUCACCCUAUGCAAAAUAUACACAAAAACAAUUAGUUGCAAAAUAAUAUUAUGUACAUGACAAAUUAAAUAUCAAUAAAAAAGCUCACAAUUUCUGCGGUGCUCCUUCCAAUAGCCAUGCUAACCACGGCUCUCUCCAAGCUUCCUUUCCAUAAAGUGCAUGCUUUGUUAAUAGUCUUCCACCGAUCGUAAACACCACCACCUUCCCUCCCGCCAUCGUUUUCAUGAAACUUUUCAAUGAUUUUAUCCCACAAAACCUUUUAUUUUGAUUCGUGCCAACUGCACCAUCUUGGCUAACAGAAACCCAUGCCAAGCAUAAAGCAACAUCUUCCUCACUGGUCCAAUUACGACCUCUAACAUGCUCUUGCCAUGUUGAACAAUUUGGAAAUGGUAGAAAGAAAAAUUGGAAGAAUUGUAGGAGAAAAUUGAGUUUUCUGUGGAUGUUUGAACAAAUACAUAGGUAUUUAUAGAGUUUUUGGGUGAAUUUUGAGUUAAAUAAUUUUUUUUAAUUAUUUUAGUUGUUGGAUUUAAAUUUGGGAUGUUAUAUCUUUUUUUUACCGUUAGAUUUGAUUAUAUUCGAUCGUAGCCGUUGGAUUCAAUGUAUUUUAAAAUAACAUUUUUUAAAAAAAACAAAAUUUGAGUCUGGACCGUUGGAUCAACCAAUGGUCCAAAAAUGUGAGUCGUCCGAUGAACAAAAGAGCCGUUGGGCUCAUAAUUGUGGCCAACAGUGGCCUUGACAGUGGGUCCCACCCUGUCGAGCGUUGAAGGCUGAUGCUUGCGUGGGGUGAGUUGCGUGCAUUACCGGGCCGAUAGUAGGCUGGGCUUGGGCGCGUCCUUGUGUUCCUGGGCUAUUUCUUAGGGGGUAUUUGGCCUUAGUUUGGCAUUUAGCUUUUAGCCCAAAGAUUUGGCUUGGGUUGGGUUCGGUUGGGUUUGGGGGGGGGGGGGAAUAAGUGGGGAAAUUUGACAAAUAGCCCAAGGUUGGGUUUAGUCUUAGUUAUUGUCAUUGCUUAAUGUAGUUGUAAUUUAAAGUUUUAUUUUUUUAGUUUUGUUAUUUCUUGUGCAGGAUGUCGUUGCAAAUUUCCGCCGUCUUCAGUCUUGACGAAAAUGUACCUGCAAAAUAAUCAAUACCUUUGAUCAAAGACCUAAGCCUCACGCACCAUGAGGUGGGGCGUUAGGUCAAUGAAUCUCCGAUACCUAAGUCAGUUUAUUUGAGAGAGUAAAGUGUUUAGGGCUUUUUUAAGGUAGCAAAAGCGUGUAGAAGCAAUAUGUUUUUAUUUAAAUAUAUAUAUAUAUAUAUAUUUAUGUAUUUUUUUCUUUUGUUUUACUAAAACCAUUAAAUAUAUAUAACCUAACUUUGAAACGUGAGAAAGCUUCUCACAUUAAAUAAUUGGAUGGAAUUCCUUUUCUGAAUAAAGAAGAAGAUCAGGUACCCAUUCAUUCUUUUGUUCCAUUUUGAUUAUUUACUUUUUGAUUUCGUCCAUUUUAAUUCUUUAAGAUUUUCAUGCCACUGAUUCUCUCAAACUUGCAACGUAUACUUUAUCUUUUUGUACACAUAUAUAUAUAGGUUUCCUAUAUCGAAGGAAUAUAUAGAGAAACAAUAGAGUAUAUAUUUUCUCACCACAAAAAAAACAAAAAAAUUAGCUUCCUUUUGCACCACUGUCAAACCAACUCUCCUAAAGAGCCUACUAUUGCACAAAUCAAAGCUUCACAAACUUGGAUUGAAAAUGAUUUUCUUGCUUAGAAUUAUAUUCUUAAUGGAUUGUCUGAUGACCUUUAUGACUACAACUUUGAUUAUGGCGUUGCUAAAGAUUUAUGGGAGGCACUUCAGAAAAAAUAUGACACUGAGGAAGCUGGGGCUAAGAAGUUUGCUGUUAGUCGUUAUUUGAAAUAUCAGAUGGUUGAUGAUAAAUCUAUUGAGGCACAAUCUCAUCAACAACAACAACAACAACAAAGCAUUUUCCCACUAAGUGGGGUCGGCUAUAUGAAUCCUAAAAUGCUAUUACGCUCGGUUCUGUGUCAUGUCCUCCGUUAGAUCCAAGUACUCUAAGUCUUUUCUUAGGGUCUAUUCCAAAGUUUUCCUAGGUCUUCCUCUACCCCUUCGGCCCUGAACCUCUUCCCGUAGUCACAUCUUCGAACCGGAGCGUCAAUAUGCCUUCUUUGCACAUGUCCAAACCACCGUAAUCGAUUUUCUAUAAUUUUUCCUUCAAUUUCGGCUACUCAUACUUUACCUCGGAUAUCCUCAUUCCUAAUCUUAUCCUUUCUCGUGUGCCCACACAUCCAACGAAGCAUCCUCAUCUCCCCUACACCUAUUUUAUGUACGUGUUGAUGCUUCACCGCAUAAUAUUCUGUGCCAUAUAGCAUCGCCGGCCUUAUUACCGUCCUAUAAAUUUUCCGUUAAGCUUCAGUGGCAUAUGGCGGUCACACAACAUGUCGGAUGCACUCUUCCACUUCUUCCAUCCAGCUUGUAUUCUAGGGUUGAGGUCUCCAUCUAAUUCUCCGUUCUUUUGCAAGAUAGAUCCUAGGUAGCGAAAACAGUCGUUCUUUGGUAUUUCCUGAUCUCCGAUCCUCAUCCCUAACUCAUUUUGGCCUCCAUUUGCACUGAACUUGCACUCCAUAUAUUAUGUCUUUGAUCGGCUUAGGAGAAGACCUUUAGAUUACAACACUUAUCUCCAAAGGUUAUGCUUCGCAUUUACCCCUUCCUGAGUUUCAUCUAUCAACACUAUAUCAUCUGCGAAAAGCAUACACUAAGGAAUAUCAUAUUGAAUAUGUCCUGUUAACUCAUCCAUUACUAAUGCAAAAAGGUAAGGACUUAAGGAUGAACAUUGAUGUAACCCUACAGUUAUGGGGAAGCUUUCGGUUUGUCCUUCAUGAGUUCUUACGGCAGUCUUUGCUCCAUCAUACAUAUCCUUUAUAGCUUGGAUAUAUGCUACUCGUACUCAUUUCUUCUCUAAAAUCCUCCAAAGAAUGUCUUUUGGGGCCCUAUUAUACGCUUUUUCUAAAUCUAUAAAGACCAUGUGUAAAUCAUAUUUUUCAUCUUUAUAUCUUUCCAUCAAUCUUCGUAAGAGAUAGAUUGCCUCCAUAGUUGAGCGCCCUGACAUGAACCCGAAUCGGUUGUUCGAAACUUGUGUCUCUUACCUCAAUCUAUGCUCAACGACUCUCUCCCAGAUCUUUAUUGUAUGACUCAUUAGCUUAAUACCCCUAUAGUUCAUGCAAUUACAAAAAAUUGCUUAUGAAAUUAUUUCUAAAGGCAUGGUUUUAAAUGAUCAAUUUUAGGUUGCCGUUAUCAUUGAUAAGUUGCUACCAACUUGGAAAAUUUUCAAGAACUCACUCCCCACUAGACAAAGGAUUUCUCCUUAGAAAGCUUGUUCACUCAACUUCGUAUUGAGAAAAACGCCAGGAAACAAGAAUUGAAGGAGGAAAUUCUGGUCAUAUCAAACAAUAAGAGGACUACUAACUUCAACCGGAACAAGACUUUAGCUGUGCUGAAGCCAAAUGGAAAGAGCAUGAAGAUUCAGAACAAGCGCCUCAACAACAACACUAACAAGGUUCAUAAUCGAAAUCCCUUUCAUCCUCACAAUAGGUACCAACCUCCCUCACGUGCUGCUUCUGAUUCAAGAAAAUUUGAAUGUUAUAACUAUCACAAGCUGGGCCAUCUUGCCCGGAAUUGCAGAAAUAAGAAAAGCCCUGCUCCACAGGAAAAUAUUCUUAAAGAGCAACUGAUUGCAAUGAUAUCAGAAAUCACCUUAGUUGAUGGAUCCAAGGGGUGGUGGGUGGACACUGGCGCUUCUCGCCAUGUCAGCUAUGAUCGUUCUCUUUUCAAGACCUAUCUUGUGGCUGAGGGAAGAAAGGUGUUGUUGGGUGAUACGUACUUAACUAAUAUUGCUGGUACUGGAGAGGUGGAGUUGAAGUUCACCAUUGGAAAAACCAUGAUACUGAAAGAUAUGAUGCACGCUUCAGCAAUAAGGAAUAAUCUGGUCUCGGGCUUUCUUUUCAACAAGGCUAGAUUCACUCAAACCAUUGGAACAGAUACACAUACUCUUACUAAAAAUGGGGUUUUUGUGGGAAAUGGAUAUGCUACUGAUGGAAUGUUUAAAUUGAAUGUUGAUGCUGAUAAUAUGUCUACUUCUACUUACAUGUUGUCUUAUUUUAAUACUUGGCAUGCUAGACUUUGUCAUGUUAACAAACGCUUGGUUAAGAACAUGAGUAACUUAGGCUUUUUACCCAACUUAUCAUUGAAUGAUUUUGAAAAAUGUGAAUAUUGUAGUCAAGCAAAAAUCACUAGAACUUCGCAUAAAUUUGUCAAUAGAGAAUUUGAACCAUUUGACUUAAUUCAUUCCGAUAUAUGCAAAUUUGAUAGAGUGUUAACUAGAAAUGGAAAACGUUAUUCUAUUACCUUUAUUGAUGAUUGUUCAAAUUACUGUUUUAUCUAUCUUAUGAAAAAUAAAAGUGAAGAUAUUGACAUGUUCAAAACUUUCUUGACUGAAGUUGUAAAUCAAUUUAAUCGUAAGAUUAACAGAUUUCGUAGUGAUAGAGGACAAGAAUAGGAAUUCACUGAAUUUGAUAAUUUGUUUAAGUCUCAUGGAAUUAUUCAUGAAACUACUGCUCCUUAUUCUCCUGAAAUGAAUGGUAAAGCAGAAGAAAAAAUUGAACUCUUUGUGAAUUGAAUGUUGCUACUUUACUUAGUUCUGAAGCUGCUUCUUAUUGGUGAGGUGAAAUUAUGUUGACUGUAUUUAUGUGUUAACUAGGAUUCCUAACUCAAAAACGAAAAUUUCUCGUUAUGAAAUUUGGAAAAAUAAGAAACCAAAUGUGUUGUAUUUCAGAACUUGCUUAUGUCCUAAACCUAAUCCAAAAAGAUCGAAAUUGGCUAGUAGAGCAUAUGAAUGUGUUUUUAUUGGUUAUGCAUGUAAUAGCAAAACAUAUAGAUUUUAUGAUUUGAAAAACCAUGUCAUAAUUGAGUCACUUAAUGCUGAUUUUUAUGAGAAUAAAUUUCCUUUUAAUCUUCGAAAUAGUGGGGGUUCUAAUUUUUCUAGAAUUUAUGAACCUACUGUUGUAGAACAUAGUGAAUCUGCAUUAGAACUGAGGAAAAGUAAAAGAGCUUGAAUAGCUAAAGAUUUUGGGCCUGAUUUUCAUAUAUAUGACUUACAAGAAGAUCCUAAUACAAUUCAAGAAGCUUUAACUUCGUUAGAUGCAGAUUUGUGGCAGGAAGUUGUAAAUGAUGAAAUGGACUCCCUGGAAUCAAAUGAAACUUGGCACUUGGUGGAUCUUCCACCUGGUUGCAAAACAAUAAGUUGCAAAUGGAUUCUUAAAAGAAAAUUAAAACCUGACGGUUUAGUUGAAGAUUUUAAAGCUCAACUAGUUACCAAAGGCUAUAGACAAAGAGAAAAUAUUGAUUUCUUUGAUACCUAUUCACUUGUGACUAGAAUAACAUCUAUUCGUGUAUUGUUUGCUUUGGCUUCUAUUCAUGAUCUUGUUGUGCACCAUAUGGAUGUUAAAACAGCUUUCUUGAAUGGUGAAUUAGAGGAAGAAAUAUAUAUGGAUAAACCAGAGGGUUUUAUUAUUCCAGGACAAGAAAAUAAAGUUUGUAUAAGUCACUUUAUGGAUUGAAACAGGCUCCUAAACAAUGGCAUGCAAACUUUGAUAGUUUGGUUACUUCAAAUGGUUUUAAAAUAAAUGAAAGUGACAAAUGCAUCUAUUAUAAGUCUAACAGUAAUAUAUGCACUAUAAUAUGGCUAUAUGUGGAUGAUUUGCUUAUUUUUUGUUCGAAUAUUCAUGUUGUGAGUAAUGUCAAAUCUUUGUUAUGUGCUAAUUUUUAUAUGAAAGACUUGGGUGAAGCUAGUGUAAUACUUGGUUUGAAAAUAACUAGGUCUGAACAUGGGUUUUCUUUAGAUCAAUCUUACUACAUAGAAAUUUUUUUAAGAAAGUAUAAUUAUUUCGAUUGUAAACCAGCAUGUACUCCUUAUGAUUCUAGUAUAAAACUAUUCAAGAACACUAGUGACAGUGUUAAACAAUCUGAGUAUGGGAGUAUUAUUGGUAGCCUUCGUUAUGCUACUGAUUGCACUAGGCCUGAUAUAUCUUAUGUUGUAGGAGUUUUAUGCAGGUUUACUAGCAGGCCUAGUUUGGAGCAAUGACAUGCUAUAGAGAGGCUUAUGAGAUACCUUAAAAGGACGAUGAAUUUCGAAUUACACUAUGGAAAGUUUCUCGAUGUCCUAGAAGGUUACAGUGACGCUGAUUGGAAUACAUUUUCAGAUGACUCUAAAGCCACUAGUGGAUACAUUUUUAGUGUUGGUGGAGGGGCUAUGUCAUGAAAGUCUUAAGAAACAGACUAUCUUGCUGUGUCAUGGAAGUCUUAAGAAAUAGACUAUCUUGGCUUGGCUCAGUCUACUAUGGAAUCAUAAUUAAUAGUGCUCGCUACAGUAAGCGAAGAAGUAGGAUGGUUGAGAAACUUACUGUUAGAUAUCCCUUUAUGAGAGAAACCGAUUCCAGCAGUUUUGAUCCAUUGUGAUAGCACGACGACAAUAGCUAAAGUGCAAAACCGUUAUUAUAACGGGAAAAGGUGACAAAUACGUCGUAAGCACAUCACUGUAAAAGAUUAUCUCUCUAAUGGAGCUGUAAGAGUGGAUCAUAUACAGUCUGAAGAAAACUUGGCUAAUCCUUUGACAAAAGGACUAGCACGCGAAAAGGUUUGGAAAACCUCAUAAGGGAUGGGACUAAAGCCCUUAGAAAAUAGAGUCAUUUGUGAUUGGAACCCAACAUAUAGACUGGAGAUCCCAAGAAAUAGGUUCAAAGGGUAAUAACAAGUCACAAGUGAUAUGAGUGAAGUCUUGCUAAUUUUAAUUUGGAAUAUUAUUCUAUGUCUAUCCCUAAGAAGCAUGACAUCUUGAAGCCUUUUUAGGUUGAUAUUUGUUUUUCUCUUUGUAAGGUCUAUACUCUAUGUUGAGUAGGAUAUCUAGCUGCAGGAAUAUCCCUGAUAAUCUUACCUAUGUGAAUGUGGAAGUGAGGCCGCUUCCUAUGAAAUCUUGGGCAAAUUUCUAGAGUGUUCACAAGCACAUGGCCAUAAUGUGUUGGCCUUUUGAACUUUACCUUAAUAAAGUUGUGUGUGUGGUGUUGUUACAUAUAGAGUUCAAAACUAUAAGUUACUCUAGUAUAAUCUGAAUCACUAACACUAUGUACAUGUUCAAGUUGAGAAACACCUUUACUUAUGCAUAGCUUUAUAAUAUGUUGCUUGAUUUACAGAUUUAAACAAAAACAAGUGAGGGAUUGUAGAAGCAAUAUAUUUAAAUAUAUAUAUAUAUAUAUAUAUAUAUAUAUAUUUAUCUUUGGUUUUACUACAACCAUUAAAUAUGUAUAACCUAAAUUGGUUUUUAACCUUAUCUUUUGCUAAGGAGUAAUCUCCUUCACUAACUUUGAAACGUGAGAAAGCUUCUCACAUUAAAUAAUUGGAUGGAAUUCCUUCUCUAAAUACAGAAGAAGAUCCGGUCCCCACUCAUUCUUUUGUUCCAUUUUGAAUAUUUACUUUUUGAUUUUGUCCAUUUUGGUUUCAUCCGUUUUGGUUCUUUAAGAUUUUCAUGCCCCUGAUUCUCUCAAACUUGCAACGUAUACUUUAUCUUUUUACACACACACACACACACACAUAUAUAUAGGUUCCUUGUAUCGAAGGAAUAUAUAUAGAAACAAUAGCGUAUAUAUUUUUCUUAAAAAAUUGAGUUCUAAAGCAAGAUAUAGAAAGGGUGUGAGUUCGAAAGUUUUUUUCAUUGUGCAACAAAGAACUUAUUAGAGGAAGAAGGUUUUGGGUUAAUUUAUCCUGAGGACGAUGUGGUGUUUGUGAACAGCUUGCAGACUUGGGGCAGAGCGGCAAAACGUCUUAAAGAGAGUGACUUAUUCUGCGACUCAUUCUAAGAAUCAUUCAUCACUCAAGGCUUCUACAUUUUUCGUGUAACUUUGUUCCUUUCUAUUUCAGUUUUCAGCAAAGCCUCUGAAAUUUGGUAAAAUAUGAGGUAUUUAUAGGGGAUAAGGCUGGCCAUAGUGUAUGGUUUUACCCUACACAUGACGACAUCCUAUUGGCUAAGGUAUUUAUGGAGAAAUAUUCUCAAGAUAUUAAAUAGGAAAUAAUAUCUUGAGAUAAUGGAGUAAUUAUCCCUAAAUGAUUUAAAUUAGGAUCACUUACCUGAUUGGAGUUAAUCUUCAAUUGCGAAUGUAUUAAAGAUAGGAUUUGGGUAAUUAAUCCUUAUCUUUAAUGCUUUGACUUUUCCUUGCCAAAGGCAGGUGAGCUGUGGGCGACUAAUAUUCAGCUGCUGGGACCUUCAGGGGUGUGAGCUGCGUGUGGGAGUAUAUGAGAAGUCUACCCAUUUAUUGAGGGCAAUCUUGUCUUUCUUGAAUAAAAGUCCACGUGUCGCCUUUAGAAUUUUUGGGAUUAUUUUAGGCUCCACACAAGACAUAUUUGAUCUUUCAGAUGACUACUUUGCGCAGCUUUCGAUAAAGUACGUGACUUUUUAUGACAGAGUUAUCUCAAUAAGGAACAAAGGAUAGGUUCAUGUAGAAUAUAUUACAUAGCAAAAGUUGGGGAUUAAGCUAUUUGCGUUAUUUGAUUAUAUUGUGGGAUAUUUGGUUAGAAUAUUGCUGAGUUUUAUGCUAUUUAUGUGAUUGUAUUUAUCCAUUAGGUUCGUUCUACCCAAAUACCAGAGUAUCAAUAUUUCAUAUUGUUGAUGCACAAAAUCAGUGAAAACUUUGGUACAAUAGAAAGUGUUAAGUUUGUGACCUUCGCUAGAUUGCUCCGGUCACUAGUGUGGAUAAGUAUGUAAAUGGAUAGAGAUAGGGAAGCAAACACAAGAUGUACAUGGUUCACCUAGAUUGGCUACAUCCACGGAGUAGAGGAGUUCACAUUAAUUGUGAAGUACAUAGGUUCAAGCUCUCCUUUAGUGAGUACUAGUGAAUGAUUUAGUAUAAAUGACAUUCGGAAAUAUUGUGGGAGAAUGAUCUCCUUUUAUGGAAGAGUUUCUAGCUUUGUUUUGACAUUGACACGUGUCAUGUUGUGAUUGGUUUUUUAUGUUGACACGUGUCGCGAUGUGAUUGCUUUUGAUGUCGACACGUGUCGCACUGUGAUUGGCCUCCUGGUUGGAGGGAAACUCUUCUGGGUCCUUGACGGUAUAACGUUGACUAGUGCUCAGUAGUUUCGGGAUUGAUCAAAUAUGGUUCAAACACAUAUGAUUUUAUUGUUGGGUAGUUCAAGUAAGUUUUAGCUUUGUUAUUUUGUACUUAUUUGGAAUUUGAUGGUGUUUGUAUGUUGUUGUAGGUGAUUACCAAAAGAUCUCUUGCAUAAAAUUCGUACCAAUAAGUUAUGCAUAUCAUUGUUGCCGAACACCAGAAUAAAACAUAUAUACCUAUAGAGUGUAAAUGUGGAUUAUAAUCUAUGAUCUAUAAGUGAACAGAAGAUUAUGAGUUGUAGUAGGUUGCCGCAUCUAUUUUAGGAAAGAGAUCAUCUUCGGAUCUCUUCCACCAAGACCAUCGGAUCAAGUGAUUAGGAUCUUUGAAAUUUCAUCCAACGGCAAAAAAUUAUUAUAGCUUUUAAGGGAUCAAAAUAGGUAGGUCGUUGGAUGAAAUUUCAAUGGUCCGGAUCACUUGAUCCGGUGACCUUGAUGGAAAAGAUCCGGAGAGGAUCUCUUUCCUCUAUUUUCAUGUUUCAAUUACUGUAUCAAACCUUUGAACUUUCCAAUUAUUGUCCUUUUUGUCGUCUCCCAUUCUCAAACUGUCACAUAAGUUUUGUGGAAUUUUUUCAAAAACUCGCUAACUAUUCCACCUAUGGAGUUUAGAUGCUCAUUGGAUGUGGUUGUUUUAGAAUGACAAGCCCUUAAUAAACAUUUUUAAUUUCUGAAAAGAAAAUGAACUAAAAUUCUUAGAGGGAACGGAUAACUAUUUUUAUUCUUUUUCUAGUGUUGUUCAACCACAAAUGAUUUUCCAUAUUCAAUAAGGCGUCUGAAACUUGAAGGAAUAAUUAACCCAGCACAAUUGUUCAUAGCAGCGACAAUGAGUUCCUUGGCAUAUGGAGCUUUUGAGAUAGAAGGAUUUGGUGAACCAUAUCAAGAAUGAAAACUUUGGCCCGUACAUGGAUUGGAUUUAAAGUCUCCAGCCAAAAGACUCUCUUGACUGAACACUUAGGGGACUCCUGUUGGUACCAUAUAUUGGGCCUCGUUACUGAGCCCAUAACCCAUGUAAGAGGAGGAAACCCUUACUCUAUAAAAGGGAUCCUCCUCACCCUCAUUCUAGAGCCAAAAAAAAAAAAAAAAAAAAGAAAACAAGAGAGUCUCACAUCCCUCACAACAAUAGAGGGCAAUACCUUUUUAGCCAAAUAGAGAGCCAAAUGGCAAGGGUUGCAUCCACAGAGAGCUCCCUUGCCGAUCUAUUGUAAUCCAGACAUUCAUACAGUGAAAUGGAAUCAACAUCAGUGUGGACGUUGCCCAAACAUUAGGGUGAACCACGAUACAUCUUUGUGUUCUUGUGCGUUUGUGUGAUUCACGGUCGGAUUUACGUUGGUCCAAGAUCCUUCGGAUUUAAAUUGGUUUUGCUUCACACUGUCUUGAUCAAGAGUGUGUGAAGCUUUUGAGAAAUGUGGUUGCCCUCCAUUGAUAAAGCUCUUGUUGACACCAUAAAUUGGUUUUGCUUCACACUGUCUUGAUCAAGAGUGUGUGAAGCUUUUGAGAGUUGUAGUUGUCCUCCAUUGAUGAAGCUUUGUUAUAUUUCCCAAUUUCCCUUUUUCGAUUUUUUUUUUGGGAAAACUGGAAAUUUGAAAAUGUAGGAGAGACAACAUAUACAAGCGCCACCUUGUAGUAGUCGAAGGUUUGGAUGAACCAUAUAAAUUGAAUUUUCUUCGAACAAUCUUGAUGAUGAGUGUGUGAAGCUUUCUACGAGUUGUAGUGUUUGCAUCGUUACAGAGGAGAAAUGUCUGAAGCAGAUGCAAGAGGGAUGAAUAGCUUGAUCUUCGUAUGCCAUGCACUGAAGUUGUUGUUGGCUUGCAAUAAGACUUUGUUGGUAACUAUAACUCUUGUUAGGUAUAAGUGCUCCCCUAGUUGAGUUGUAAAGCAUGAGGGUUUUUUAUUAUUUGUGAAUGCUAAGAGUUCACAUGUACAAGUUGUACCACUCGUAUUCUAGUUGGUAGAAUGAAUGGUGAGUUGCUUUCAUCACCUAGUUGGUGGUACGAAGGUGAGUUCCUUCAUCACAUUUCAUCACCUGGUUGGUGGCAUGAAAAUCAGUUCCUUUUUCACCUAGUUGGUGAUAAGAGCGGCAAGUUGCCAAAUAAUAUUAGAGUACGGGUUGUACAUUUCAUCACCUGGUUAGUGGUACGAAGGUAAGUUCCUUUAUCACUUAGUUGGUGAGAAUAAGGGCAAGGUGUCAAGGCACAUUGUAGCAAGUGUCGAAUGACACAAAGUAUGCUGAACCCUUUCGAAGCAUAAUUGGCUUAUGCAUGAAUGUGUUGGAAUGUAUGAUUGAAUGAAUAUACUGUGAAGCUGUUCGUUUAUUUGUAUAGUCUUGUUAACAUAUACUUAGACUUUGUUUCAUGUUGGAAGCAUUCAUGUUGAAGCUUUGAACCCAAGUGCUUCAUUGCUAGGAAUGUAAGAGGAUUAGGAUCGAGUUGUCUAAAUCACUUCUUUAUUGAAUUCAUGCCAAAUGGUCUUCGUUACAUAGGAUGCCGAACGACUGAAGCUUAACACUUGUACAAUGUGAGUUUACUUGUAAUAGUACUUCAAGUGAUCAGUGUUCCAUGGAUGGCCAAGGGUCUUGCCAUCAGAGCUUCUAAGCUUGUAGGAGCCAGGGCGACUGAUGCCAACGACUUCAAACGGUCCAUCCCAGUUUGGACUACGUGUUCUUUCACUCGGGACUUUGUUGCAGUGUAAUAUUUUCUUCAAUACCCAGUCCCUCACUUUGAAAAAACGAGGUUUGACCCUUGAGUCAUAGUAGUUGGAGAUACGCUGCUUGUAGGCGAUAUUCCUCAAGUGAGCCUGGCUUAUGUGUUCCUCGACUAGAUCUAAGUUGAGGGUAAGUUAUUUAUCAUUUUCGCUUUGCACAUAGUUCUGGACUCGGAACGUUGCUUGCUCAAGCUCAACUGGGACAAUUGCCUCUGUACCAAAAGCAAGUGAGAAUGGAGUUUCUCCUGUUGAAGCCCGAUACGAAGUGCAGUAUGACCAAAGAAUUUAGGGUACGAAUUUUGUCCAACAACCUUUAGCCUUCCACGCUGGUUUUUAAAGUGCGCUUAAUUAUUUUAUUAAUGGCUUCAACUUGUCCAUUAGACUGGGGAUGAGCUAGGGAGGCGAAACCUAAAUUGAUGUUGAACUUAGAGUAGAACAUCCUGAACUUAUUGUUGUCGAACUGUCGCCUGUUGUCAGUGACUAUCACAUUGGGAAUGUCGAAUCUGCAAAGGAUGUUCUUCCAUACGAAGUCUUCUAUUUUUACCUCAGUAAUGGUUGCCAAGUGUUCUACUUCGGCCUACUUUGUGAAGUAGUUAACUGCAAUGAUUGCAUAACGGACCUUGCCCUUCCCUGCAGGCAUUGGGCUAAUUAAAUCAAGUCCCCAUUGGGUGAAGGGCCAAGGGCUGAUCAUAGGAGUGAGCGGCUCAGGAGGGGAGUGAGGAAUAGUUGUGUAGCGUUGACACUUAUCACAUGAGCGAGAUAUUCUGAUGGCAUCUUGGUAUAGUGUUGGCCAGUAAUAUCCUUGGCGAAAAGCCUUGUGUGCUACGGAUCGAGAUCCAGCAUGAUCUUCGCAAACUCCUUCAUGUAUUUCCCGAAGGACAAUUUCCGCCUCUGUGGGCGUAAGAAAUCUUAGGUAUGGUAGGUUAAAACCCUGUUUAUAGAGUUGGUCAUUAAUGAUCAAGUAACGGGUAACCUUGUAUCAAAUCUGCUUAGCUUGGACUUUAUUUUUUGGGAGGGUACCAUGCGCAAGGAAUUUAUAAAUCGGGGUAAUCCAACUAUCCCCCUAUUGUAAGUUGCAGGGUGCUUGGUGCUGCCAACAAUUCGACUUGAAAUUUUCUCCCAAUUUUGUCUUCUAUUGCUGAGGCGAGGUGAGCCAAAUCGUCUGCAUGACUAUUUGCCGCUCGAGGAAUUUGGGUGAUCUGGUAGUGGAAGUGCUUGAGCAACAAUUGUGUUUGUGCCAGAUAUGCUGCCAUGAAGCUAUCCUUAGCCUCAAAGUUGUUGGUGACCUGGUUAACUAGCAAUUGGGAGUCACUGAAGAUAUCAAUUCGUUUAACCUCAAGGUGUUUGGCCAAACGUAAGCCUGCUAGAAGGGCUUCAUAUUCGGCCUCAUCAUUCGAUGCAUUGAAUUUGAAACGAAGAACAUACUCCAUUGCCACUUUGUCAGGGGUCGUAAGGACUAGCCCUGCUCUAUAACCUUGUUGGUUGGAUGAGUCAUCAACAUAUAGACUCCAUGUUGGGGCUGUUUGUUCUAUUUUCUGAGCUUCCGAGGGUAAUGAAACCACUUCUUUAGGCAUAGAAACAAUGUCAACAGGAUAUGUGAAGUCGACGAUGAAGUCUGCCAUUGCUUGGCCCUUCUCAGCUGGCUUUGGUUGGUAGGAGAUGUCAAACUCACCUAAUGCUAUCGCCAAUUUGAUCAUUCGCCCCGAAGUGUCAGGACUUUGGAGUAUCUGUCGAAGAUGAUGAUUGGUAACCACAAUGAUAGAGUGUGCUUGGAAGUAAGGGCGAAGUUUUCUAGCAGACAUGACCAAUGUUAGAGCCAAUUUCUCAAUGUUGGAGUAUCGUGUCUCUGCAUUUUGUAAGGCCUUGCUAACGUAGUUGACUGGUCGUUCGACAUUACCAUCAUUUUGAAUAAGAACGGAACUUACUGCUAAAGCCGAUACCAAUAGAUAGAUAAUAAGAGUGUCACCAACCUCAGGUUUGGAGAGCAGAUAGCUUUACUCAUGUAGUCCUUAAAGUUCUUGAAUGCCUCGGCACAUUCAUCAGUCCAUGUAAUGUACUUCUUACUUCCCUUAAGUGCUUUGAAGAAAAGAGCACAUAUGUCUGUGGCCUUAGAGAUGAACCUAGUUAAGGCUGCCACCUUGCCAGUUAGGCUCUAAAUGUCUUUUGAAGUUACCUGUUCCUUCAUGUCGAUGAUUGUUUUGAUCUUCUCGGUAUUAGCCUCAAUGCCUCGUUGGCUUAUCAUGAAGCCUAAGAAUUUACCAGAGCAUAUGCCAAAGGCACAUUUGUUGGGGUUCAACCUCAUUCGAUACCUCUUCAGAAUGGUGAAAGUUUCAGAUAGGUUGGUGAUGUGUUGGUUAUCAUGUUUACUCUUGACUAACAUAUCAUCAACGUAAACUUCCAUGUUCUUCCCAAUCUAUUCGGCGAACAUUGAGUUGACUAGUCUCUGAUAAGUCGCUCCUGCAUUCUUUAGGCCGAAGGGCAGGACUUUAUAGCAAUAUAGUCCCCUGUCAGUAGUGAAGGUUGUGUGUUCUUGGUCAAGAGGGUUCACGAAGAUUUGGUUAUAUCCUGAGUAAGCAUCUAUGAAGCUCAGAAGUUCACAUCCUACCGUAGAGUUUAUAAGUCUGUCAAUGAGAGGAAGAAGAAAAUUAUCCUUCGGGCAUCCUUUUUUUAGGUCAGUGUAGUCGACACAUAUUCUCCACAAGACCUUUGGAGCAGGAGACUUUCUUUGGUUGGAUUUUUCUUAACAAGGACCACAUUUGCUACUUAUGUUAGGUAAUUGACUUCACGGACGAAGCCGAUGCCUUUGAGUUUUUCAACUUCUGCCUUCAUUGCUUCGUAUCUUUCAGCGUCAUAAAAUCUUCGCUUCUGUCUCACCGACUUAGUCUUGGGGUCAAUACUCAAGCGAUGACAUAUGAUAUCGAGAGAGAUUCCUGACAUGUCUUCGUAUGACCAGGCGAAGACCUUGGUGUUCUCUUGUAAAAAAUAGAUCAAUGCCAACCGAAUAGAUGGUGACAAGGUGGUGCCAAUCUUCACCAUAUGAUCUGGAUAAUCUUUUGAGAUAGAAGCGUUUUCCAACUCUUCAGCGGGUUGUGCUUGCUGGGUGAAAGAGUCGUCUCGAGGAUCAUUGGGUUGACUGUUGCCACCGUGAAAAUCCAAGUUGGCUUCGUCUGGGCUGGUCUUUAUGACUUGGUCAUGUAUAUAAAGGGUUUCCUUGGGCACAGGUAAGUGUUGUUGCUUGACCAAAGUGUUGUAACAUGAUCGUGCACUAAGUUGAUCUCUUCUGAUGUAACCAUUGCCAUAGGGGGUUGGAAAUUUCAUCAACAACAUAUGUGUGGAUACCAUGGCCUUGAGAUCAUUGAUGCCUGUGCGUUUGAAGAUGACAUUGUAUGCUGUUGGGCAAUCAACCACCAAGAAGUUAGUGGUAAUGGUAGCUGUGUAAGAGCCUAUACCAAUGGUGAAAGGUAAAUGUAUGCUCCCUAAAUGUUGCAUGAUAUCACCGGAGAAGCUUAUUAGAGGAGAAAUCAAGCGAUCGAGCAAGUGUUCAACUACAUUAAAUGCCCUGAAAGCUUCAGCAAACAUGAUAUUAACCGAAUUCCCCGUGUCUACCAGGAUUCGUCGUACUUCAAAGUUGGCUAUGUGAGCUUCCACGAUCAGUGGGUCAUUGUGAGGGUAGAUGAUACCUCUUUCUUCCUCAUGGUAGAAACAUAUUGGAUCCCAGUUAGGCUUUUGAUACUUGCCUCUCCUAAUGUCUUCCAUGUAAAACACUUGAUGGCUAGGCCUUAAAGCUCGUUCGCUAUUUUUCAUGGCCCUGUUGGAAGAUUUAGAUAUAGGUGUGCCACCACUUAUGGAAUAUAUCACAUUCACCUGGUGUUGGUUACGGUUACCCCUUGGAGGGUGAAAAAGGAAUUGAUCAAUUUUUCCUUCACAUGCCAAGCUUCAAUAUGAUCACGAAGGGUGAUACACUUCUUGCCGUCAUGGCCGUUAUGCUCAUGGUAGUAGUAAAAUGUGCCUAUGUUCUUCGUGGGCUUAUAAUCUGAGUGCCUCGACUUUGGCUUCGGUAUCAGGUUUGCUAUGUUGGGGUAAAUGGCCAUGUAUGUGGCGUUCAAAUGUAUGUAUGCCUCAUACCUCGGGGUAGGGGAUUAUCGUGGUAAUACCCUUAGUUAUCGCAGUAGUGUCCCUUACUCUUUUUACUAAAAUGAGAUUGGUGAUGAUGGAAAUCUUUCCUUUUGCCCUAGAUUGAUAUGUCUAUUGACUUGGCAAAGUACUAAGUAAGGUAGGGGGAGGCACUGCUGCAGUUUGGAAGGUUGAGGUCUUCUCAUUUGGGUGGGUCUGGUUUCCACUUCCCACUUGCUAAUAGGGGAUGUUGUUGGGGGUUUCUCUUGGUAUGUCUUUGCCUCGGUGGAGGUAUGGUUAUAAGCCUGUGUUAUCACCUCAGAGUAAGUCUUCCAAGUGUUGGCAUUGAUCAUGUACUUAAAGAAACAGUCACGUAGGCCUGCCGUGAAGGCUUUGAGGGCAGUCUUGUUGUCUGCCUCGGCACAACGGGAAUACUCAUGGCUGAAGCGGCCAGCAUACAUAUGUAAUGACUCGUCUGGCUUCUGGCGAAUAAUGUAUAAGUCAUCCGCAGAGUGCAAAAGAUCGGUUUGGAAAAUGUGUUGAGAAAUAAACAGUUUCCUCAAUUCCUCAAAUGAGUCAACCGUCUCAGGUGGAAGACGUCAAUACCAAUUUAGAGCUCCGCCAGAGAGGGUGGAGGAGAAAAGAAGACAUCGCUCUUCGUCAGUGUGCAUCCGGUAUGCCAUGGUGGACUCAAAGAGGUUAAAGUGUUCAAUCGAGUCAUUCUUUCCAGUAUGGAGUUGCAAGCCAAGCUUCUGCUUUGUCUUUGCUUGGAGGGGGUGUCGAAGAUCCUCCUUGUAAGAGGGCCAGGCCUAGGUUGGUUCCAAUCAAGUAUCUCAGCUUGUCGUUUGGCCUUCAACUUGUUUACUUCCUUAAAGAGCUGUAGGACAAGAGGGUCCUGAGUGGAGUCAUGUACCACUGGAGCUUUCUUUCAUAAAUCUCCAUCUCCUCUUGGAAGUAGGAAGGUUUGAUCAAGAGCAUGUGAUUUUUCCCUGGACUCGCCGUACUGACUUCCAAGGUAUGUUUGUCAGAACAUCUCUGAGUCCCCUAUACCUUCGUGUUUCUCUAGGACUUGUUGCCCCUUCCACAAAUUGGUAGCCGGCCUGGGACAUGGGAGGGGACCGAGUCUUUCAGAAACCCUUGGGUCAUUGAUCUUCAAGCAUAUGUGGAGAGGAUUCUCUCGAUGUUACUUUAGGAAGUCUCAACAAUCACGAUAAAUGGCCUUUAAUCCUUCCAACCCUUCUGCAAUGAGGGGUUUUCCUCCACUUUUCCUGCUUCGGGUUGAAGCAACUGGGUUGAGAGAAGUCUCAUGUUGAUCAAUGUUUUGAUGAUUAGCUUGCUCCUCAUUAGGAUACUAAUGUCGAAUGAAGGUGAUCCUCCCUGUUGAGGGGCACCCAGAUGAUGGUUGAUGUCCACAGGGGUAACGAACUCACGUGUUUGAGUACGCCUAGUUUCGUGGAGCGUCUUAAAAAGUUUCUCAUACUGCUCCUGGAGGACCUCAUUCUUCAUUGCUAUCUUGUUGGUCUAAGCUUCUAGCUUAUCAACUUUAGCUUGAAGAGCAACCCUCUUUCUUUCCUUCUUUCGUUGCUUCGUACUAGGUGCAAGAGGGGUGUCAUUCUGUGUGCUGUGGCUUCCUUUGCUCCCUAUGUUAGAGAGGGAUGCCUGGUCAAAAGAGAGUGUACAAAUGGUGGAAACCAGCUUGACAAAGUUGAAGAGAGUGGGAAUAAGUGUCAUUCCCAUAGACGGCGCCAAAUGUUGAUGCACAAAAUCAGUGAGGACGUUGGUACAACAGAAAGUGUUAAGUUUGUGACCUUUGCUAGAUUGCUCCAGUUACUACUGUGGAUAAGUAUGUAAAUGGAUAGAGACAGGGAAGCAAACAUAUGAUGUAUGUGGUUCACCCAGAUUUGCUACGUCCACGGAGUAGAGGAGUUCUCAUUAAUUGUGAAGGGUUUACACAAGUACAUAGGUUCAAGCUCUCCGUUAGUGAGUACUAGUGAAUGAUUUAGUACAAAUGACAUUCGGAAAUAUUGUGGGAGAAUGAUCUCCUUUUAUAGAAGAGUUUCUAGCUUUAUCUGACAUUGACACGUGUCGUGUUGUGAUUGGUUUCUGAUGUAGACACAUGUCGCGCUGUGAUUGGCUUUUGAUGUCGACACGUGUCGCACUGUGAUUGGCCUCCUGGUUGGAGGGAAACUCUUCUGGGUCCUUGAUGGUAUAAUGUUGAGCAGUGCUCAGUAGUUUCGGGAUUGGUCAAGUAUGGUACAAACACAUAUGAUUUUAUUGUUGGGUAGUUCAAGUAAGUUUUAGCUCUGUUAUUUUGUACUUAUUUGGAAUUUGAUGGUGUUUGUAUACUGUUGCAGGUGAUUACCAAAAAAUCUCUUGCAUAAAAUUUGUACCAAUAAGUUAUACGUAUCAUUGUUGUCGGACACCAGAAUAAAACAUAUAUACCUGUAGAGUGUAAAUGUGGAUUAUGAUCUAUGAUCUAUGAGUGAACAGAAGAUUAUGAGUUGUAGUAGGUUGCUGCAUCUAUUUUAGGAAAGAGAUCAUCUUCGGAUCUCUUCCACCAAGACCAUCGGAUCAAAUGAUUAGGAUCUUUGAAAUUUCAUCCAACGACAAAAAAUUAUUAUAGCUUUUAAGGGAUCAAAACAGGUGGGUCGUUGGAUGAAAUAUUAAUGGUCCGGAUCACUUGAUCUGGUGACCUUGAUGGAAAAGAUCCGGAGACGAUCUCUUUCCUCUAUUUUCAUGUUUCAAUUACUGUAUCAAACCUUUGAAGUUUCCAAUUAUUGUCCUUUUUGUCGUCUCCCAUUCUCAAACUGUCACAUAAGUUUUGUGGAUUUUUUUCAAAAACUCGCUAACUAUUCCACCUAUGGAGUUUAGAUGCUCACUGGUUGUUUUAGAGUGACAAGCCCUUAAUAAACAUUUUUAAUUUCUGAAAAGAAAAUGAACUAAAAUUCUUAGAGGGAAUGGAUAACUAUUUUUAUUCUUUUUUCUAGUGUUGUUCAACCACAAAUGAUUUUUCCAUAUUCAAUAAGGCAUCUGAAACUUGAAGGAAUAAUUAACCCAGCACAAUUGUUCAUAGCAACGACAAUGAGUUCCUUGGCAUAUGGAGCUUUUAAGAUAGAAGGAUUUGGUGAACCAUAUCAAGAAUACAACAACAACAACAACAACAAAGCCUUUUCCCACUAAGUGGGGUCGGCUAUAUGAAUCCUAGAACGCCAUUGUGCUUGGUUUUGUGUCAUGUCCUCCGUUAGAUCCAAGUACUCUAAGUCUUUUCUUAGGGUCUCUUCCAAAAUUUUCCUAGGUCUUCCUCUACCCUUUCGGCCCUGAACCUCUACCCCUAGGCCUUCUUUGCACAUGUCCAAACCACCGUAAUCGAUUUUCUCUCAUCUUUCCUUCAAUUUCGGCUACUCCUACUUUUCCUCGGAUAUCCUCAUUACCAAUCUUAUCCUUUCUCGUGUGCCCACACAUCCCACGAAGCAUCCUCAUCUCCGCUACACCCAUUUUGUGUACGUGUUGAUGCUUCACCGCCCAACAUUCUGUGCCAUACAACAUCGCUGGCCUUAUUGCCGUCCUAUAAAAUUUUCCCUUGAGCUUCAGUGGCCUACGACGGUCACACAACACGCCGGAUGCACUCUUACACUUCAUCCAUCCAGCUUGUAUUCUAUGGUUGAGAUCUCCAUCUAAUUCUCCGUUCUCUUGCAAGAUAGAUCCUAGGUAGCGAAAACGGUCGCUUUUUGUGAUCUUCGCUAGAUUGCUCCGGUCAUUAGUGUGUGGAUAAGUAUAUAAAUGGAUAGAGAUAGGAAAGCAAACACAAGAUGUACGUGGUUCACCCAGAUUGGCUACGUCCACGGAAUAGAGGAGUUCUCAUUAAUUGUGAAGGGUUUACACAAGUACAUAGGUUCAAGCUCUCCUUUAGUGAGUACAAGUGAAUGAUUUAGUACAAAUGACAUUAGGAAAUAUUGUGGGAGAAUGAUCUCGUAAUCACGAAACUUCUAAGUACCGGAGUGUGGUAUCGUCUUGACUUGCCUUAUCUGUCUCAUAGGUAGAUGUGGCAUCUUCUCUGGAAGUACUCUUCCUCCAUCCAGGGGUGGUAUCUUUAACUGGUGGAGAUGCACAAGGUAAUGUAUCAAUUUCACUUGAAGCUUACUUGUAGUUUCAGGCUUGGUCAAGCGCGAUACAAACCAUGUAGUAGGAGUCCCCCAAGUCGCCGAGCUAGGGGAUCUGCUGAAAGAGGUGACAGACAAGGUAAGCAAUCAGAGCUCCAAGCAAUCAGUCCCAGAUCAGAACUUUGAUUUCGAGUUCCGGCUGAUUGUUCACAUUCUCCCUAUCUUGCAGGCAGCAUGAAGGAUAAAGAGAAGAAAAAUGAGAAGAGAUGAUAUGGGAUACUUUUGCUUUUGAAGAAGUAACUUUCCACAGGCUUAUUCUUGAACUGGGCUGGAGGGUUUUCUGGUUUCCUCCAGAGUAUAAGGCCGACUGAAGAAUUUGAGGGUCAAAACAAGUCCAUCAAAUCUAGAGUACGUUCGACCCUGCUGAUAUGGGAUACUUUUGCUUUUGACAGAGUAGUGGAUGUAUCGGCACGUGUGCUGUUACGCUUGUCUCCACAUGCUUCCUUGUAUCCUUCUCACUUGCCCUAUCUGUUCCUCAGGCAGAUGCGGUAUCUUCCCUGGAAGCAUAAGAUGUUGAAGAUGAGUACUCGAGAGCAAUGCCAGGUAAGUAAUCAGGUAAGGGGUUCCAGGCAGUCAGUUCCUGGACUGGAAGCUUGAUUCCAAGUGCUGACUGAUUGCUCUCUUUCUCCUUGUCUUGCAGGUAAGAACAAGGCCAAAGGAAAAAAGACAGGGAAAAAGCAUGAUAUGGGAUACUCUUGCUUUUAACCCUGAUGAUAUGAGAUAUUCUUGCUCUAGUAUAGCUUGUUUGCAGAGGUAUUAUCGGGGGGAAAGAAAGCUGAAUAUUUCGAAAGGCUUCGUUGGGAGUGCCCUCUCAGAUAUGAGGAAGGGUUGAGCAUUUUUGCAGGUCUGCCUGUCCGUUGGGGAUGGAGGUCGACAUAUAUAGGAGUCUCCCUAACAACAAGUAGUAAUGCUAUUCCUUUACCCUACUUGGUCAUAGCACGGUAGUGGGAGCUGCCAGCUUCACAUGUUUUAACUCUGUCAGAGCACUUUGAAAAAGUGGUCUGUGGUAUCUGGAAAGCUGAUGUUGCGUGUGAAGAUUACAGACAAGCUUUAUCCAAGGAGAUCCGGCUUUUGAAGUUGGAAAAAUGGUGCCUCUUCGGUUUUCGAACAAGCAAUCCUGUCGAGGAUCUGGCUCUCGAGAUUCGGAGAACGAUGCCUCUUCGAUUUUUGAGAAAGCAAUCCUGCUGGGGGUCUGGCUCUCGAGAUUCGGAGAGCGGUGUCUCUUCGAUUUUUGAGAAAGUAAUCAUGUUGGGAGUCUGGCUCUCGAGAUUCGGAGGGCGGUGCCUCUUCGAUUUUGGAGCAAGCAAUCUUGUUGGGAGUGUUUUCUCGAAUGUGAGUAAAGGUUGGGCAUGUUUGCUAGUCUACCUUGCCACGAAGCACAGAGGUUGACACACAGGGACUUUCCAAUUAUCCAGCAGUGGUACUGUUCCUUUACCCUUGUGGGUAAUAAUAUGGUAGCUAGACCUUCAAAAUUUAUGUGUCUAAACUUUGUUAGUGCUGUUUCUUUGCUAUUCUUUUACCCUUCUUGGUCAGAGCGAUGUAGUGGGAGCUGCAAGCUUCACGUGUCUCAACUUUGUCAGAGAACUUUGGCAAAGUUAUCUGUGGUACCCAUGAGCUAAUGUUGCGUGUGGGAAGUGGGUGAUUGAACAGUAAGAUUCAUGUGCUUUCUACUUCACCAGAAAUCUUCGACAGAAUGCCCAUAAUUUCCGCAAAGCUGAGUGUGCGUGUGACAGGUGCUGACAAGGCUGGAAAAGUAGGUGCCUCUUCGAUUUCUGAGAUCGGCCCUCGUGGUCUCUGAGCAGCCCAGCUUUUGAGAAAGCAAGCGCCUCUUCGAUUUCUGAGAUCGGCCUUCGUGGUCUUUGAGCAGCCCAGCUUUUGAGAAAGCAAACGCCUCUUCGAUUUCUGAGAUCGACCCUCGUGGUCUCUGAGCAGCCCAGCUUUUGAGAAAGCAAACGCCUCUUCGAUUUCUGAGCAGGCGCCUCUUCGAUUUCUGACCUUAAGUUCCAAAGCACACUUGAAUCUCCACCAGUAGAAGCUUCAUUCUUGCACUUCUAAGAUCUUGAUUUGUCCGACCUCUUCUUUCUUCAACACCUUUGAAAAUGUCUGGCCCCUCCGACCGUCGUUUUGACUUGAACCUUGUUGAAGAGGCAGCCACGCCUUCUCCAGACAACAUAUGGCGCCCAUCCUUCGUCUCCCCUACUGGUCCUCUUACCGUUGGGGAUUCCGUGAUGAAGAAUGAUAUGACCGCUGCGGUGGUGGCCAGGAACCUUCUCACUCCCAAAGAUAACAGACUACUUUCCAAACGGUCUGAUGAGUUGGCUGUUAAGGAUUCUCUGGCUCUCAGUGUUCAGUGUGCAGGUUCUGUGUCUAAUAUGGCCCAACGCCUAUUUGCUCGAACCCGCCAAGUUGAAUCAUUGGCGGCUGAAGUGAUGAGUCUCAAACAGGAGAUUAGAGGGCUCAAGCAUGAGAAUAAACAGUUGCACCGGCUCGCACAUGACUAUGCUACAAACAUGAAGAGGAAGCUUGACCAGAUGAAGGAAUCUGAUGGUCAGGUUUUACUUGAUCAUCAGAGAUUUGUGGGUUUGUUCCAAAAGGCAUUUAUUGCCUUCGUCUUCUGGGGCUGUACCGCGUAAUGAAGCUCCAAAUGAUCAACCUCUGAUGCCUCCUCCUUCUAGGGUUCUGUCCAGUACUGAGGCUCCGAAUGAUCCCCCUCCGGUGCCUUCUCUUUCUGGGGCUCUACCGACUGCUGAGACUUCUCCUAAGCAACCUUUGUGAAGGCUCCCUCUUGUUUGUUUAUUUUGACUCAUGUAUAUGUACAUAUUUGUAACUUAUCGGGGAUAUCAAUAAAUAAGCUUUCCUUCAUUUCAACGUAUUGUGUUAAAUACACCAAAGCCUUCUUCGCUAAGUUCUUUGAAUUUUUCUUUUGUUGAAGCUUGUAUGUUGAAGCUUUGUGAGUGGAGCAUGUAGGUUGAGGUAGUGUUCCCUUAAUUUCCCGAGUGAGGAAAACUUCUCGGUUGGAGACUUGGAAAAUCCAAGUCACUGAGUGGGAUCGGCUAUAUGAAUCUUAGAACGCCAUUGUGCUCGGUCCUGUGUCAUGUCCUCCGUUAGAUCCAAGUACUCUAAGUCUUUUCUUAGAGUCUCUUCCAAAGUUUUCCUAGGUCUUCCUCUACCCCUUCGGCCCUGAACCUCUGUCCCAUAGUCGCAUCUUCUAAUCGGAGCGUCAGUAGGCCUUCUUUGCACAUGUCCAAACCACCGUAACCGAUUUUCUCUCAUCUUUCCUUCAAUUUCGGCUACUCCUACUUUACCCCGGAUAUCCUCAUUCCUAAUCUUAUCCUUUCUCGUGUGCCCACACAUCCAACGAAGCAUCCUCAUCUCCGCUACACCCAUUUUGUGUACGUGUUGAUGCUUCACCGCCCAACAUUCUGUGCCAUACAGCAUCGCCGGCCUUAUUGCCGUCCUAUAAAAUUUUCCCUUGAGCUUCAGUGGCAUACGGCGGUCACACACAACACGCCGGAUGCACUCUUCCACUUCAUCCAUCCAGCUUGUAUUCUAUGGUUGAGAUCUCCAUCUAAUUCUCCGUUCUUUUGCAAGAUAGAUCCUAGGUAACGAAAACGGUCGCUCUUUGGUAUUUCUUGAUCUCCGAUCCUCACCCCUAACUCGUUUUGGCCUCCAUUUGCACUGAACUUGCACUCCAUAUAUUCUGUCUUUGAUCGGCUUAGGCGAAGACCUUUAGAUUCCAACACUUCUCUCCAAAGGUUAAGCUUUGCAUUUACCCCUUCCUGAGUUUCAUCUAUCAACACUAUAUCGUCUGCGAAAAGCAUACACCAAGGAAUAUCAUCUUGAAUAUGUCCUGUUAACUCAUCCAUUACCAACGCAAAAAGGUAAGGACUUAAGGAUGAGCCUUGAUGUAAUCCUACAGUUAUGGGAAAGCUUUCGGUUUGUCCUUCAUGAGUUCUUACGGCAGUCUUUGCUCCUUCAUACAUAUCCUUUAUAGCUUGGAUAUAUGCUACUCGUACUCCUUUCUUCUCUAAAAUCCUCCAAAGAAUGUCUCUUGGGACCCUAUCAUACGCUUUUUCCAAAUCUAUAAAGACCAUGUGUAAAUCCUUUUUCCCAUCUCUAUAUCUUCCAUCAAUCUUCGUAAGAGAUAGAUUGCCUCCAUGGUUGAGCGCGCCCUGGCAUGAACCCGAAUUGGUUGUCCGAAACCCGUGUCUCUUGCCUCAAUCUAUGCUCAAUGACUCUCUCCCAGAGCUUCAUUGUAUGACUCAUUAGCUUAAUACCCCUAUAGUUCAUGCAAUUUUGUACGUCGCCCUUAUUCUUGUAGAUAGGCACCAAAGUGCUCGUUCGCCACUCAUUUGGCAUCUUCUUCGUUUUCAAAAUCCUAUUGAAAAGGUCAGUGAGCCAUGUUAUACCUGUCUCUCCCAAAACUUUCCACACUUCGAUUGGUAUAUCGUCUGGGCCUACUGCUUUUCUAUGCUUCAUCUUCUUCAAAGCUACAACCACUUCUUCCUUCCGGAUUCGACGAUAAAAAAGAGUAGUUUCUACACUCUUCUGAGUUACUCAACUCCCCUAAAGAAGCACUCCUUUCAUGUCCUUCAUUGAAAAGAUUAUGAAAAUAACCUCUCCAUCUGUCUUUAACCGCGUUCUCUGUAGCAAGAACCUUUCCAUCCUCAUCCUUGAUGCACCUCACUUGGUUUAGGUCCCUUGUCUUCUUUUCCCUUGCUCUAGCUAGUUUAUAGAUAUCCAACUCUCCUUCUUUGGUAUCUAGUCGCUUAUACAUAUCGUCAUAUAAGCCGCUAACUUAGCUUCUCUCACAGCUUUCUUCGCCUCUUGCUUCGCUUUUCUAUACCUUUCACCAUUUUCAUCGGUCCUAUCCUUGUAUAAGGCUUUACAACAUUCCUUCUUAGCCUUCACCUUUGUUUGUACCUCCUCAUUCCACCACCAAGAUUCCUUUUGGUGUGGGGCAAAGCCCUUGGACUCUCCUAAUACCUCUUUUGCUACUUUUCGGAUACAACUAGCCAUGGAAUCCCACAUUUGGCUAGCUUUCCCCUCUCUAUCCCACACACACUGGGUGAUUACUUUCUCUUUGAAAAUGGCUUGUUUUUCUUCUUUUAGAUUCCACCAUCUAGUCCUUGGGCACUUCCAAGUCUUGUUCUUUUUUCUCACUCUUUUGAUAUGUACAUCCAUCACCAACAAGCGAUGUUGAUUAGCCACGCUCUCUCCUGGUAUAACUUUGCAAUCCUUACAAGUUAUACGAUCCCCUUUCCUCAUUAGAAGAAAAUCUAUUUUGUGUUUUUGACGACCCACUCUUGUAGGUGAUCACAUGUUCUUCUCUCUUCUUAAAGAAGGUGUUGGCUAAGAAGAGAUCAUAUGCCAUUGCAAAAUCCAAGAUAGCUUCCCCAUCCUCGUUUCUCUCCCCAAAACCAUGGCCACCAUGAAAACCUCCAUAGUUGCCUGUCUCCCUGCCCACGUGUCCAUUUAAAUCUCCUCCUAUAAAUAACUUCUCCGUCUGAGCAAUUCCUUGCACCAAGUCUCCAAGGUCUUCCAAAAUUUCUCCAAGGUCUUUCCCGAUUUCUAUUCGAACCUAUCCAUACCUACUUGAGGCCGUACCACUAAUCACAUUGAUAAGUUUUUGUCCUAUUACACUUGAUUCCAUGCUUAUCUCCUACUACUUACAUCCACACAUAUUGUGUCAAUGUCUUGUCCACGAUGAUGCCAACACCGUUCUGUUAUUGUGCCCGAAUACCAAAGUUUAACCCUGAGCUCUAGAUCUUGCCUUACGACCAACCACUUAGUUUCUUGUAGGCACAGAAUAUUUAUUCCUUCCCUACCAUAACUUCCACACUUCCAUAGAUUUUCCGUUAAGGUUCCUUAUUCCACAUUUUAAAGCAUUUGCUCUUGAACUCUACCCUUCUGUCCUAGCUUCUUCACCCUCCUCCGGUCUAAUAGGAUCAAAGUACUUCUUUGUGUGUCCGUGUAAAGUUGAGUAGGAGAUUGCCCCUAAAAAACUUUGAGUGGAGACGUUCGAAAGAAGUUUCUAUGGCCCCUUGCUAUUUAAAACUGCAUCGGGUGCCGAUGGAGAUACAGCGCCCUUGCUCACUAUCACUGUGCUCGGGCACACAGCGCGCACUUACGGUGACGCCUGCUUUGGCGCGAUUCUUCUUAUUAUUUUCAUAGGAUUCCGACGUAAUUAUGGAGUGCCGGCUGUCGGACUACCUGACGCCCUCCCCUUCUCCUUUAUCCGGGCUUGGGACUGGCAAUGUAAGAUAAACUUACAUAGGCGGAGUUUGAACCAUAUCAAGAAUGAAAAAGAAAAUUAAAAAAAAUGACAAUAAGCAAUGAAGUAUAUAAGGAUAUUUGUACCGUCUCUCUAAUAGAGGUACUGUCUUUCUAACAGAAGUAGUGUCCACCAACAUAUGUGGGUCACAUCUCUAUAUAAAAGAUGUUAGAAAUAUGUGGUAAGAGCAAUAUUGAGAGCUUAAUCUAUAGAGACAAAAACUUCACUAUAUUUCAAGGAACUCCACUAAUUUUUAAAAAAAUUCUUAAAAAAAUGGAGUAAACACAUAAAAGCAACUAAAGCCCAACCCAAAAACAUGGAAAUAAUGUUUUAAAAUACCAGCCAUACCCCUAAGGUUUUAAGGCUGCUAAUAGAACUCAGCCCUCACAACUCUAGCAAAAUUGAUAUAUAUCAUCAGCUGAACCCAACAUCGACUAUUUUUUGUUAUCCUUUUAAACUAUACUAUUACGCAUUUUUUGCUGGUAUAGAUCAUAUCCAAGUCUGAUUAUCUGUCAGGCCCAAAGACGCUGGUCUGUAGGAUUCCCAGUCACAACAUGCUUCCUAUACCCCUUAUCUUUCUGGUGUUUCUCAACGUGCGCUGCCCAUGUGUGUAUUUGAAUUGAUCCUGGACAAGUUUAAACUAAGCAAAUUGAUUAUGCUCGAGCAACAGCCGCGAAGGGAUGAUUCGAUUUGCUAAGAAUGCUAUGCAUGUGUGAGGAAAUGGGAACAUUUAUAUAAGAUGAAACGGUUUGACAAUUUACACAUAUUUACAAACAAUGUUAACGACCACAUAUAUGUACAAUCAUAUUUAAAACUCUAUUUUAUCCUAAUUCAAUUUACACAUAAAUCCUAAUCAGCAACUCUGAACUCUCUUGUCGAAAGGCUAGAUUCCCCCCCCCUUCACAUGUAUGUUUCUCCGCUAAAAAUUGAAAAAAAAAAGAAAUAAAAAGGAGAUUGUUAAAGUAAAUCUUGACAUCUAGUCAAGAUGAAGGAAACAAAGUGUUAGUUUUGAAGCCUUAAUUUUUCUUUAAUUAUACGUUUAAACAAAAAAUAUUGAUCUACGAAUAUAAGUGCCAUCAACGAAAUUAAAUUUUCAAUUGCUCAUCAAUAAUUAAAAUUGACAUAUGUUAAGAGCAACAUAUUAGAAGUAAGUAGACUUAUUGAAUUGCUUACCUCCCCAGUAACUCUUCUACCACAAUUCUCAGCAUGCAAGUAUGAAUAAAGGUUGCCGGAAUUAUAUACCUUCUGUUGAGUUGUAAACGGAGAGAAACAAUAAGCAUACAUAUAGGAAAAGAUUUAUAAGAUCUUCGAAAAGUGUAGAGAAAUGAUAACCUUGCACGUACACACAUUUCCUUGGAAUGGUUCUUUCACCAUUUCAAUCAACACAAAAAGGUAUAUGCAAUUUUUAACACCCCAGCCGCCAUUAUCACUUUUAUCUCAAAUGUUCACAUAAUGCGUCUUUCUUUCAAUUUCAUUUAAUUUGCUCUAAGGGAACUUCUUUGUCUCUAUGUAGUUAUAAAUCUAUAUUUCCAAAUCUUGCUCGCUUCAUUUGUGUGUGUUUAAGUUUCUUCCAUCGAACAAUCAUCUGAAUAAGUUUAUUUUUCAUGUCUACAUUAAUUUUCUGGACUUGCAUGCUCCUACAAAAGGCUUAUCGUGUCUAAAGAGUUAUGUGAGAUCCAUUUAUGUUAAUUUUCUGUCAACCAUUUUCGUCAGAAUGCAGUGUUAUUUCCCCACUUUUCUUCUAACAACCCGUUUAGAAAAUUACCUUUUUAUUAAUUGAAAUUACAAAAAUAUCCCUAACUACCAGAAAGUGUUGACUUCGUGACUUUGUAGCGAUGCAUGUUAGAAUUUUUCUUAUAUUUUAUUCCUGUAGCACUCAUCGAUACAAACCCGUAGGCGUGAUUGGAAUCCAAAUCGGAGUUAGACGAAGCUUUUUUAACUUUUUGAACGUAAGGGCAUUUGGUAAUUUCACAAGUGAAGAUUUUUCCCGACUUUGGACCUCUACAUGGGUGACACUUGGCACCCCAUUUCUGGUGCCCUUUUUCUUUCCCCUCCUGUGAUCUCUCUCUAGAACUCUUCCUCACUCUCUCGUAUCCCUCUCUUCCAUCUCUCAUCUCCAACGAACCAAGCACACACACACACACACACCCAUACCCACACCUACGAACAACCUCCAUAACGAUCACCACACCAUCACCAUCAUUUCCCCUACAAGUUCUACAAACCCAGAAGGAAUAGAAACCUUCGUUCUUCUCUUUUUCCCUCGUUGCAUAGUACCUUCACUAUGCAGAAAGUUGAUCCGGCGAGUUUUCGCCAUUUUCCAACGAGGGGAGCUCGAUAACUACUCCAAAUCUUUAUCAAUCAUGUUUAGAACUGUGUUUAGGUAAUUUUUGAGACAAUUUGGUAGUGUUUGGAUGCAAAGAUAGCUUGGAGAAAUAUAUUUCCAAUUUUUCGGCGAGAUUCCAUGGCUUGUCUGCCAUUUUUUUGCCGAUCCUGACUUUAACGCCAUCUCAUCUUGAUACAACUCGAAUCCUCACUCUCCUAGCUUCAUUUUAGCUUUUGAAUGGCGGGUUUUGGUUAAGCUUUGACCUUAAAACGGAGUCAGGGAGACUUCCCGGCCAAAACUUCAGUCAUUUUCUUCGUUAGUCCGGUGACUCGCAAGUGGAAACUGGGUUGAGCCUAAACCCACAACUCUGAAUUGGCCCAAAGGUUUGGGCCAAGCAGCCUAUUAGCCCAGGCCCAACCCAAUUCCCUUAGCCCAAGCCCAACCUUAAAGUCCAGCCCAAUAACCCUAACACGGCCCAAACUACCAGACCCAAGCCCAGAUUCGAGCCAGGUCCGACCCAACCUAUGUCUGAUACCCAGAUCCCUAGUCAGCGCGUGGGCACGUGUGAGAGGCUGUCUGGGCCUGCCCGUGGAGCACAUGUGCCUCCGCUGGAGGUACUGUGCUCGGCCGCCAUCAGACGGCACAACAGCGAUGUCAACUACGUUUGGGAACAUCAACUAGGCACGUAACAGCGUGUGGCCAUCCGGACAGUAGCCCCGUAGAGGCGCAUGUACCAUAAGAGGUCCCUUCUUAGGUUUUUCAAUGUGCCGAGUCCGAAUCUGUUGUCUGUUUCCCCAAAUUCGACCGUUUUAAUGGAGUUUUAUUAAAUGUACAUUCUUUGUUGUUUUGGUGCAACAGUUGGAAAUGAUCCAGUCCAUCCUAAUUUGAGCGGCUUUCCAGUAGUAGAAUACUUGUGAGUGGACCCCUUCUUAACAUAUAUGUUUUUAUAAAAUAUUAGCCUAGCAUUUAUAAUUUCUGAUAUAAUAUGUUUGAUAUACUUCGGAUUGAAUUAUUGAUUUGAAUACUCACAUUUAUGGAUUUAGUUUUACUCGGGUUAUGAUUUGGCUUGAGUAUAGACCAGAUGCUUUAAGAUUUAUUUACAUAAGAACAUUUCAUAUUUAUGAGGUAUGACUUUGAUGCUAGUGAGCUUCGAUUUGAUACACUUUGAAUUAUGUUUUUGGUUACUUUCUAGGGUUCCAUACGGCCACAAACACACCCUUAUAGAUGUCUAUGGAAUAGAGAUAUCUUAAGAAGGAGCGAGAUAUGAUUAUAUGAUAUACCCCCACGGCCGGCCAAAAAUAAUGUUGGAUGUUCACUAGCCAGGCUAGUGUGGUGUGAAUCUUGCUAAUACAGCUUCACUUCAGGUGAUGACAGGUUAUUCAACUUCACCUUCGGGUGAGGAUAGGUACUACCUUUGGGCGACUAUGAUACCCCUAGUUGAGUACAUCACGGCUACGCUUUACAGAAGUUUUACGAAUUUUUACAUGGCAUGCUAGGAUUUUUAUAAAACCUAUAUGUAGUAUUAUAUAUGUGUUUUCAAAAUAGGGGGUUAGUAUGUUAUGAAAUAAACUGGUUUUAGUAUUAUUAUAAAUUAUGGUCCACUCACCUUUUCUGUUUUGCGUCUCCUCAGGACAUAGCGACGAAGAGUACGACCAAGCAAGGCUUUUCCCCACCAGUGAUCAUGCUUACUUCUAUUUGCGUAUGGCCCUUAUUGACUCUUGUAAUUUGAUGCUCACCUUUCUUUAGCACUCUGUUUAUUGGUAAGCUAUGGACACAUUGCAUCUUUUACUUCAGAUCUGUAAUCGUUGAUCUUUCUGUUUUGUUCAUGUGGAUUUUUGCAUCUUUAUUAUUGUCCACUUAGCAUUUAUUGUUCCGUAUCAUUUCUGCUUGUUAUACAAUUUUUAGUUUAUGGGUCCUUUUAUAUUCUUAAUUGUUCCCUACCAUUUGUGUUUGUUCAUACAGUUUGGGCUUUCGUCAGUCUUUAGUGUCUGUCCGCACAUGCCAUCCAUGUAUCAUUUGGAUAUCUGGGUGGCCUGUCAUUUCUGGAAUCUUGAAGAACCAAACCUUAUGUAAUCCUACAUUUAUAAUUUCUAAUGUUUUAAUAUGCAUUCUUAUCUAAAUUCACACAAUGACCAAUCAAUAAAAUAGUAGAAAGAUAGAGCACAAAGACCAAUCAACAUGGAAGCAAGCUCAUUGAUCCUUUUAAAAGAGACAUACAUACCUCUGUUUCUUCUGCUCGCAUCCAAUAUUUAUUCCACCAUGUUAUAAACUGGAUAACAGUUGCAAAUAAGUAAAGUCCCAACAUGUUGCUCCCUAAGCAAUACCAAGUCCAUCAGUCUGCACAAGGCCUCAUUUUGCAGAAAACACAGCUCAAUUGAACCAUUAUGUAUGAUAAAUUAGUGAGGAUUUAAAGUAGGGAAGUAAGGACUAUUGCCUACAUGUGCACACUAAAGAGAUUUUUUGGUAAUCACUUGCAACAGUACACAAGCACCAACAAAUUCCAAAUAAGUAUAGAAUAACAGAGCUAAAACUUAUUUGAAAGAACUACCCAACAACAAAAUCAUAUGAAAUAUUGAAACUAUGAUAUUUGCGUAGAACAAAAAUUAGCAAUUUUCUAACCAAAUAACCCACAAUAUAAUCAAAUAAUGCAAAUAGCUUAGUCCCCAGCUUUUGCUAUUUAAUAUAUUCUACAUGAACCUCUCUUUUGUUCCUUAUUGAGAUAACUCUGUCAUCUAAAAAAUCACAUUCUUUAUCAAAUUCAACGACUGGGUAAUUAACAUAGGUUGAAAAAAACGUACUCACAUUGAAACGAAGAUCAUUUAGAAGCUGCGCAAAGUAGUAAUCUAGAAAAUCAAAGAUGUCCUGCAUAGGAAAUAAGAGCAAGUCCACCCCUAAAAAAAUGCGCCAACACCCAGCUUAUUUAAUCCAUUCAAGCCGUGUUUGUUUCCCUUCACUAGCCCUCAUUGGGACUACGUAGAAGUUUUACCAGUCCCAUGUUGUUACUUCAUGGGACUAGCUUUUAGUGAGUAAGCCAAUCGUCUCGAACUAAGACCGUGCUGACGGCUAGCGAGAGGACGUCAUGCGGAACCAUGGGACUAGCUAAUCCCUUCGUCGCCUUUGCUUGUUCCCUUACUCUCAUCUGGCUGCCCUCGCGUUCUCUCCCUUCUUCUCUAUCACCAACCCUGAAUCUGAACAAAACUUAUUCGAAUUUUCAAUAGGAGAACUAGGGGCUCCGUCGGUUGCGCCCUUGCUUUCCAAGUGGCGAUCGUCUCCGGGGCUCCUUCCUCCUAGACUUCAAUUUCGACGACAAAGGACUUCAGGCUCCAUCCUCGCUUGGACCUUUUUCCAUUGCUACUCUGCUCCGGCUUUGCCCCUCACAUCCCUCUCCCUGCCUUCCCAUAACCAGAAAACCCAGAAAAGGGUAAGGGGAAAGAACAGUGGCACAGAUAAAAUGGUAGAGAAAAAGGAGAGGGGAGGAAUGCAGUGGGCGACAAAAAAAAACUGAGAGAGAGGUGAAAUGCCAGAGAAAGAAAAGAGGGAAGGAUUGCAGUGGCGGACAAAAAAAAUGAGAGGAAGAGAAAUGGCAGGGAAGAUAAAGGAUUGUAGUGGGCGGGACCACCAAAAUGAGAAUUUAGAAUAAAAUAUUAAUUUAUCCCGAUAUAGUAUAGAUUAAAUUAAUGAAAAAAUUGUGAUAUAAAUUUUAAUUAUAUAAUACAUGAGUCCUGCUUUUUAGUCCGACAUUGCACCAAACGUUUCACUAAAUCAGUCCAGCUUAGUCUAGUCUAAGCCAAUCCAGCUUAAUCCCUGAAGCUAGUCCAGUCCGAGACAGUCCGGUGCAACAAACGCACCCUCAGUGAAUAGUGAUGGACUCAAAUGAACAAUAAUAGGUCAAAUGCAUCUUCACCCCUAACAAAAAAUAGCCUAGUCAAUUUUAUUAAAAUAUUAUUAUUAUUUAUUAUAAAAUAAUAAUAAAAAAUAAUUUUACUUUUAAUUUCUGAUUUUAUAAAAAAAAUAUUAUUCAUUUUUUAUAUAAUUAAUAAUAUUUUUGGAGUCAAAUUUCGAUGCAGAGGAGGAGAAUAAUCAAACCCUUUAAAAGUAGAAACGCUGCAAAAACCUAAAGAAGCUCGACCCCAAGCCCACCGUCCUCGUCUCAGAGAAGCUUGGAGAACCCAAAAUCAAACUCCUUAAGCAGUUUGCUAAUGUCGACUGCUCCUACAAUCUCAGCCCCGAGAAGCUCUGCACCAAGAUCUAGCUCUGCGAUAAGGUCGCCAGUAGGUGUUCGAGUCCAAGGUCACCUGCAAGGUGUUCGUGUCACCGGCGGAAGGUUGAAGGUUGUGGGAAGAGCUGGCAUCGGCAUCAACAACAUGGAUGGCUCGGUUGACAUUAAAUGGCCUGGCUAUUGGGUCUGUCGAUUCUAGGUCGGUCUGUUGCCUAGCUUGGGCUGGGUGUCAGCCUAUUAGGCUGUGGUGGAGUGCUAGGUGUCGGGUAAUCCACUCCCAGUGGACUUACUCUAACAAAACUGAAAAAAAAUAAAACUUUAAAUUAUAAUUACAUUAAGCAAUGAAAAUAACUAAAGGGAAAUGGAUUCUGUUAUGUUGGAAGGAUUUGGGGGAAUCUGAUUUUGCGAGGACGAAUGAGGUAGUGGGGAUUUGGAAGGGAGGUUUUGGGGGAAAUUAAGUUUUAGGGAAAAAGAAGAAAUACAAUAAGAGUUGGGUUGAUGUAAGGAUAGGAAAGAGAGCUGGGGUGUGGGAGAACUGUGGUAGUGGUGGUUGAAACUUGAAAGUUGAAAGGGUUAUGGUUUAAUUCUUUUGUGGUGAAGCGGUGAGGAAUGGAAAGAGGUGGAGGAAGUUGGGAGUCCCACGUGUCACAUAAUUCAUCUCUAAUUGACAGCAAGACAAAUGGAUAAAGGACAAAAUUAGAAUAACAACAAAAUAAUCGGGAGUAAAACCAGAAAUCCAUUGUAGCUAAGCAACAUUGAUUUCCCCACCAGUUAGUGUGUGCGUGUAUAUAUAUGGGAGACGAUCAAGGGACAAAUAUUUUUACAAAUACUUCUACACUAUUUUUAAGCCUUUUGAUUACAUGACAUCUAAUAGUUCUUAUUUAUUCAUUCAAUGACAUGGAUGCUUAUGUGGAUUUUAACUAAUAUUAAAGAUAAAAAACACUAAAAAAAAACAUAAAAUCUGGAAAAUUAAAACUAAAAUUAAAAAAGGUAGAAUCCCUAGUUGUACGCAAUCCUCUGCCUCCCCCUAUGCAGAAAUCGCAACUAACCCCAUUGCUCAACCUCCAAGCAGAGAUCCAGUUCGGUUAGCAGAGACCCAUGUGCUCCAUAGUUAUCAAAUGUUCCAUUCACAAUCAACAACUUGAGAAUCUUAUGCCGUAAACAAAUAUGCAAUGAUUUAAUGAUUUGGUACAAACAAAGAACUAAUGGGAUUGAAAUUUUUCGACAGGUACCACGAAAAAAACUAGUUGUUACAAGUUCGUUCUAUAUGCAUUCACCAUGAAAGAUAUUUUUUUUUCCUUUUGAAAAUUUGAAGUUUAGUGCAAAGGUUCUUAAUUGAACGUAAACUAUGCAGGUGCAGUCCUUGGUUCAUUUUCACUUGUGCUGAUACUUAUCGGUCUCGAUCGUGUACAUACUUAUUGACCGAAUAGAAAAUGAGCGGCAAACCAUGAUCGAAGAAUUUUUGGAAAACUACAGAACUCUCAGGCCUACAAGGUACUCAUAUGCUGAUAUCAAACGGAUUACAAAUAAAUCUAGAGAAAAGUUGGGACAAGGAACAUUUGGAACAGUGUUCAAAUGAAAGCUCUCGAGUGAGAUCUUUGUUGUUGUAAGAUGCUCAACAAUUCCCAAGGAAAUGGAGAAGAGUUUAUCAAUGAAGUGUCAACAUUAGGUUGAAUCCACCAUAUUAACGUGGUUCACUUGGUUGGCUAUUGUGAUGGAUUUAGACGAGCCUUAGUUUAUGAAUUUGCACCAAAUGGUUCAUUGCAAAAACUCAUAUUGUCAGCAGACAGCAAGAACCAUUGUCUUGGUUAGGAGAAACUGCAACAUAUUACUCUCAGAAUAGCCAAAGGAAUUGAGUAAGUUCACCAUGGAUGUGACCAACGAAUCCUUCAUUUCAAUAUCAAACCUCACAAUGUACUAUUAGAUGACAACUUCAACCCAAAAAUCUCAUAUUCGGUCUUGCCAAGUUGUGCUCCAAGGAACACAGUGCCGUUUCCAAGACAUGAAGUUGCAAAACCACAUUAGCAAAGGGGGAGACGGAGGUUUCCAGUGCCACACCCAGGCCAACCCUAUGAUGGGCCCAAGUCCUCCGUGCCUUUUUUUAAGGCCCAACACUAGUAGCUUUACUGCUGGUUUUUUGUUUCCAACCUGGCCCAUGGCUUGCAGCCCACCCCCAAGCUUUUUGCUCAAGGCACCCAACCCAAAUUUUUUUGGGCUAUGGUAUUUCUUUACCCAACGCUAUUAUUUAGCAUUUUAAAUAAUUUUAACCUGAAUUUUAUUAUUAUUUUUGUUUCUACGAUCAACCUCGUUUGGUCUCAAUCUAUUGAAGUAAUUAAAAGUGACUUGCAGUCCAUUAAUCUGAUAAUGAAUCCAAAAUUAUUGACCUGAUGAUCACUUUUGGACAUUAGCGAUUCAAUAAUUUAUUUUUAUACUUUGAACUGUUGACAUACUUUCGUAGUAACGUAACUUUCACACUUGAGUUCCCGAAGAACCUCAAAUCCACUACACUUAAAUCAGCAUAUUGCAUUUUGUGUUCUUGCAAGAACCUCUCUUUUAUAAACUAAAUGUUCAUAAACUAAAUUGCACAUGUAGUUUCAAAUUUAGUGCAUUUGAAACCCGAAGUUUUCUUAAAACAAUACACCCUGAAAACCCGACAUUUUUCAUGAAAACCAUGUCUUAGAACUCGAAUGUUCUAACUUUGAUGCUUAUGGAUGAUUCAUUCCCAUAGUACCAAUCACAAUCUUGUUCCCUCCAUUCAGUGGAUUGUUGAACCAUAACAAGUUCAAGUUUUCUGAUUUGGAUGUUUCUAAUAUAAACCAUUUUAUGUGGGGUACAAGACGUGAAUCUCCACUUGACCAUCAAGAAGCUGAGAAACCAUUGAAGCCAACAAUGGUAGCACCGAAUAAGCUUUUGCCAUGAUCUUUAUUCGAAGACUUAUGCCCGAAGCAUUGCAAACGGAAAUACCUCCCGAACAAGGAUUCCAUGGCUCUUUGGCUCGCUCAUUCAGACCAUCUAAUCAUGAAAGACAUUACCUAAAGUACAUCAUGAUUACGUCAAUGAACGAGUAUGAUUCUGAAGUUUAUAAAUCUGAUCGAAUUUUGACUAGAUAAUACUUUUCUCGUCCUUCCUUGCUUCUAGCUCUUUCUUGAAGCAACAAGUGUAGAAAAUGGAAGUUUACCAAAUUCUCGGAUCUAAUUACUACCAUAAAUGUGAGAGAAUGGUAUAGACCCGACUAGAGUAUACCAUAUGGCUCAACUCAGCUCGAUCAAAGCCUGCCGAAUGGUGAUGCCCUACUUUAGUAGGGAUGCAUCGAAUGGCAUACUCUACUUCGGCAAAGGCCUUCCGAACAGACCCUUCCAACUUCGGUUGAAGCCUACCACAUCCAAUUAUGGGUCUAUCUUUCUCACAAUCUAAUUUCGAGUUUAUUUUUACAACAUAUGGUAGAAUCAGGGCCAGCCAAGGUGUGGCAUCAUACCCGAAGCAUGAUUUUUAGCACUUAAGACCUAAAACUUCAAGAAUAAAGGAUAAUAUUCCCAAACCUUAACCCUGCAGAAUCUAAUUUUGUCUUGAUGGAAUUAAUCAUUGGUUAUGCACCUGUUUGGGCCCCUACCAAUGUUGUUGAGGAGUACCAUUCUAGUAGUCAAUAUGUGAGACUAAUUUUGCUCUACCACACAUCGUUGGAAGAGAAGAAUUUUGACAUGGAUGGCCUUGUUGGCCGAAUCCCCUUAGUAAACCAUUUACUUUGUGAACAUUUUUUAUGUUCUUGGAUUCACAUUUGGUGUUUGUUUUACUUAUGGAUAAUCUUAUUGAUAUUUUCCUCAAAUAUGAGUUAAUUGAAUCAUGUAUCUUAAUACAUGUGACCCAAUUCAAUUAAACACGUGAUUAGGUAGGAAUGUGGGAAAGUUAGUUGUCUGGAUGAAUGCAAUACUACACACACUAACUUUACACCUAAAUCACAUCUUUGACAACGACUUCAAAUCUAUCCAACCUGAUUAAGAGCAUUGGCACGCUCCUUGUUGUAUGAAUGGUACUGAAUUACCAUUUAAGGGACCUUCAAUUCUCCAUGUCGUUGAGUUUCUUAGGGUAUUCGAGAAAAUAAUGAUCAUCAAUGAAACCACUGAAGAAAAUAAAGUGAAAUAUCUUUGCACCACCUCAAAAAAUGAGCCUGAAGCUUUGAUUUAGGGCCAAUGGGUUGUCUCCCAACUUGAAACACACCAUAUGUGGCCGGCCUGGAGCCAGGUGAUUCAAGUAGUUUACUUGUUUUGGCACGACCUUUUGGGACACUUAGGUCAAACAAUGAUGCUACGACGCAUCUCCUUACCCGAAGUAAAGAUCUUGUGCCUACAAGCACACUUUGCCAAAACCCGCUCGUUUUGGGAAAUUUGAUUUCUAAAUCAUCCUUAACAAAGAUACGAAAUGACUCUCUUUUCACAGUGGAUUCAAGGCAAUAUAUGUGGACUAAUCCAACCAAAAUGUGGACCAUAUAAAUACUUAUGGUUUUGAUUAAUGAAUCGACAAACUGGUCACAUGUUUGUCCACACACAUUGCUGCUAAACAUCCUGGUCGAUUAAGGGUUCACCACCCUACUUAUCCCUUAAAGUCCGGGAGAUUGGAUAAUGCCUGAGAGUUUAUAUCGACGAUUUUCGAUAAAGUAUUGCAUGUAUUUUGGGUUUAUAAUUGAUCAUCGAAUUCCCAUGCCCAAAUAGCCUCACCUAGUGAUCAUAAAGCGCAAUUUAAAUGAUCGCCCAGAUUUUGGUGAACGUACCAAGUUUUCAGUUUCUGCCUAGGGUUAUGCAAUCUUGUACAUAGUUAUGUUGGUCCACUUUGAGGCUCAUUGCUACCCAACCUAUUUGGCGUUACAGUUGGUUACUGGAUACGAACCUGACAUUUCGUAUUUACUUAUUUUGGGUGUGCACUCCAUGUGCCAAGUUGCGCUACCGUAAUGUACCAACAUGGGUCCUCAAUGAAAGAUGUGAAUCUUUGUUGAUUAUGAUUCUCCUUCACACAAGCUCUCUUAGAGCCCUUGCGUGCGAUCUAUUUAUCGCAAAGUUAAGGGUACACUAGCUCUCUUAGAGCCCUUGCAUGUGAUCUCUUUAUCGCAAAGUUAAGGGUUGUCACUUCAAUGAAACAGUCUUCUCGCCAUUAGAGGGAGAUAAGAAUGACGCGAAUUUACGUGGACGUUGCCCCCUAUGUCUCAUCUUGAUCCCCAUACCACAUAAGUGUGAUAAGCAAGUGCGAUGAAUUCUAGCUUUCAAAAUGUUGCUCCAAACGCAUUCCUCUAAUCUAGCUGAAAUGAUGAGAUCAUAUACCAGUCGCAAACAUGCCUGCAAGGAUAGACAUAUUUAAUGGACGUCGAGUCAACAUCCUUGGAGAGUGUGCCACCCCUGUUGGAAGGUUUAGACACCUCUGUUGGAUGGUCUGGUACAUCGACGGAUAGCCAAUCAAUCUGUCCUGGCCUGAAACACGGCAAAUCACUCAGUUUGGAGGAUUCAUUUCCCUUGAAAAGGAAGACACGACAGAACAAUGAAUCCAUACUUGAUCCUAUCUCAAAUCAUUUUCAUCUCGUGAGAUUAAUCCGAAUUACUCCCGAGAUUUGAAGUUCUUGGUCUAGUAUACUAGUUGGGAUGAGAAAAUUGAAUUGAAAUGAGAUUACCAUCGAUGAUGUUUUCACUUAUAUGGUAGCUACCGACAUAAAUGAAAAACGACGAUAUUGAACCAUGUUCCGUUGAUUAAAUGACAACAUAGAACUGAUUAGACAAUCGAAAUUACAAUCCAGGUCAAAUUCCUCACCAAAGUCUGUUUGGACCUAUCAUUUCUACACUGCCCAAGGUAACCUUGUUGUGUUACAAGUGGGAAAGGAAAUGUAUUGAGAUGAAUGAAGUAGUGCGAUAUGAUGCACGCCUUAUGGCGCAAGGUUUUUCUCAAACGUCAUGUGAUUAACUGCAGCAUUAUGAAAUGUGGUUAGUGUUUCUCCAUGAGGAUAUGGAUAUGGAGAUUUACAUGUAAGUUCCUGAAGAAUUACAUAGACUGGUUCAAAUAAGUUCCAAAUCAUGGAACACCCUCUUAACUCUUUUGAGGCGUUCACUUAUAGAUUGAAUAAAUCCGAUGGAUGUGGUAUACCCGUCUAAGUGAUUAUUUGAUCAAUCAAGGAUGAAUUAUACCCUUGCAUGUUAAACUAUGAAGUCUUAUUCCAAAUUGCUAAAUUUACUGUUUAUGUUGUUAACACGAAUCUCACUAAGACUCUAGAAGAGCUUAAGAAAACCGCAUUGCACCUAAAUAUGGAAUUUAAGAUGAAGGAUCUUAGGACAACUCGUUUAUGCCUUAACCUGAAGUUCAAGCAUUGUUCUGACGGUAUUGGUCUAGCAGUCGAACUACGCCCUAAAGGUGUUACCUUUGAGUAUACCUAUGAUCGUCCAUAAGUUAUAUGCAAAUGAGACCCUUGAAGAGGUUAUGGAAUAUGAAAUUCCAUAUCUAAGUUCAACUUUACGCUUCGUUGUACUUAGCUCAUUGUAUUAGACAUGACAUCUCCUUCACUGCUGAUUUGUUGGCAAAGAUGCAACAUUGCGCCUACACGCAACCACUGAAUUGGUAUUAAAGACAUACCCUUAAGGUACUACGAUGGAAAAUCCCAAUGCAUCUCGAGGGAUCUAACCCCCUGAUCCUUGGAAUGAUGCCUGCCUUGUUUGUUAUGCUAACGCUGGUUACUUAUCAAACCCGCACAAGGCAAAAUCCUCAAAUGGUUAUGUCUUUACUGUUAAAGAUAUUGCAAUAUCUUGGAGGUCCACGAUAUGACCUUAGUUGAUAUUCGAAUCUGUCCAAGACUCACGUCACUUCACUACGCCACAAGUAGACAUGGUUAGAAGUUCUUGUUGGGCAUAUUCGAAGUACUUGCUGUGUUUUUCAUCCAUCGUUGAGUCCCAAAAACGAUCCAUGAAGACGAUGUCGCAUGUAUCAACCCGACCAAGCCAUGAUACAUCAACAAAGUCAACACCAAUACAUAUUGCAUCCACAUCUACAUCAACAAAACAUCAAAAGACUAAAGUCAUGCAAACUGAACCCAGACAACCUUGCGACUUCUACACGACAUCACUACCAAAGUUAACCUUCCAGAAGCUUGUCCGAGGAAUUGGUAUGCCUAACUAUCAUAUGCAAUGCUUGUAGUUCUCAUUUGGAAAUUCUGUCAAACUUAAGGGGAGUAUCCGGAAGUAUACUCAUGUGAUCUUAAUGUACAUUUUUUUCCUAAGAUUAUGAGCAUUUUUCCCACUAGAUUUUUGCUACCUAACUAGGUUUUAACGAGGCACCCAUCCUGGGCUGAUCAUACCCUUAUGAGCUCUUCUACUUGCGUCAAGAAGACGUAUAGUUUUGACUUAAUGCAAAUUCUCACUUUUCUCUUUAGCCUUUGGGUUUUCUCCCACCUUGGGUUUUACCAUAGCAAGAUUUUGUGAGUUUUACCUUUUUAUGCAUUCUUCCGUUAAUCUAAGACUCGCAUUCACUCAUUGUGCCGACGACUUUAUCAACCAAUCUACUUCAUUGCUGAAGACCUGAUGCACCAUUUUUUUUUAGUAUUGACACACUCAAGGGGAAGUAUUGCAGUCAUAUUAGAUUAGGAAUGUGAUUUUGUAAAUCCUAACAUAUCUAGAGAUAUCUUUUAUAUUCCCUUUAGUAGUUAAAUUCCUAUUAGAGUUGUAAUCCUAAGUAAUUAACCUUCCCUACUACUAUAAAUAAAUGCACAAUGGGGUGGAAUAACACACACCUCACAAUUACACAUCUCUAUCUUCUCUCUAUGUGUCGCAUCCCUCUCUCUCUAUGGCCUCCAUAACUGUUCAGUAAAUUAUGCCUACAACAAAUAUUGCCCUUUGUUUCCUUCACAUUCAAAAAUAAAAAAAAACUCAGCCACUUAAUAUUACGGUCUAGCGGUAUUCCUCUUCAUUUGUAAGUAAGAGAUAUUAGGUUCGACUCUUGUCAAAGAUGAAUUUGAACUACAUUAUUAUUAGCCUAUUAUGAGGCUUAGCCCACCCCUUCCCUUUAGUGUAGAUAAUAUUAGUUGUUCCAAAAAUAAAAAUAAAAAUUCAGAAAAUCAAAACAGUAUGGCAAAACCUACAUGACAAACACAUCAGAAAAAAAAAAGGUACAAAAAAAGAGUAAUGCUAUAUUUUGCCCCAACAGGAUCCUCUCCGGAUCCUUUUGGAGAGGAUCUUGGGGAUCCAUAAAUCGUGUCCAUUCAUCGUAUAUCGUGGGUCAGUUUUUAUCGGGUACUAUUUGUGUUUAAUUUUAAAUAAAAAUAUUUAUAAUGAUUUCUGACCGCAUGAUGUACGAUGAACGGACACGAUUCACAGAUCUCCAGGAUCCUCACAAAGAAGAUCCAGAUUCAUAUUUACCAUCUAUUUGUACCAUCUCUCUAAUAAAGGUAAGACCCACCAACACAUGUGGGCCACAUCUCUAUUAGAUAGAGAUGUUACAAAUGAUACAUGAAACCAAAAUUUUGUACCAUCUUUCUUGAUUUUCCAUAUCUCUGUUGUCUAGGGAUUUUAGCCGUUAUCUUCCGAAUUUUAUGCACAUUGCUAUUGUAAUGACAUAUUUUCAAUUUACAAGAUAUGGUGUGUCAAUGUCACAUGAAUGUUUUGAAAAAGAAAAAAUAUGACACAUGCAAGCAUUCGUUCCGAGUCAACAAUAAGGGGAAGAGAUCCAUUCUAUUGAUUCUCCAUCCUAUGUAAUGAGAACUCCCCUUGCUUUCCUUAAAAGUGUAACUAGCAAAAAAUAGUUUGACUACUGUGAACUACGUCAAAACUUUAUUUCCAAUUGCAGAUAACCUCAGAAAAUUCUCCUUUGCUUAUGUUUGUUCUUGGUUCUCACACGUGUGCGUCUAUUUGUGUGCAUGAAUUUGCAGUCUUGUGAAUUGAUCAUCUGGUUCAAUAGGAAAUUCAUCAUUGGUGGAGAUGAAGAAGAUUCAUCAUCUGGUUCAACAAGAAAUUCGUCCCAUCUACACUCCUUGUGAAUCUGUUCAUGGGUUGGGGGUUCUUGUAGCCACUAAUUUCAUCCUUGUAGCGUUUUUAUCUUGACGAGCCUUUGCUUCAUAUGGCUCCUUUUCCUCCGCUGCAAAAUGGAAAACAUGACAUUAAUUAAGUUAUAAUUCGCAGAAAUUCGUCAUGUUGUGGAAGCACACAAGAUGUAAUUUAGUAGAAUCACACAUACCAGACAUCUUUUUCCAUUUCUCUCCAAGUACUCUCCCCACAUCAGUAAACGCAAUUCCAUGGUUCUCUCUCUUUACAUUCUGCGGUCAACACAAAUUAGGUCAAUAAUUUUCUUCGAAACAUCAAUACUAACUUGAACCAAAAGUUAGAACCAAUAGAUAGAAAUUAAAAAACCCACAUCUCUCUCCAUAUUUGAGAAGAACAUGAAACCAAACAUUGCUCUUCUCGGUACAUUUGGAUCCUUUUUCUUCUUCUGUUUUUUCUUCUUUGAACCAUCUUCACCAUGAAACAUCAUAAAAAAAAAGAGAAGAAUAAUUCAUGAGAUACUUGUUAGGAAUUGCCUCGUCAACGUCAGUGUUCUAUUUUGUUUAGGAUUGUAUUAGAAAAGCAAAGGUGCGCAAAUUCUUGCCCUAAAAGGAUUGGGAAAGAAUUAAGUUUUCUUGUACAAUUAGAUUAGGAAUCCUAGAGACACAAUUGGAAUAGGAAAGAAAGUGUACUUUCCUAUCCAAUAUAGAAUAGGAAACCUAAUCAGAAAAUAGGCAUGUAAACUGCACCCUAUACUUAUAAAUAGAGUGCGACAAGGGUUGAAAAGCUAGAGAGAAAAAUAGAGACAACCAAGAGGAAAGAGAGUUUAGUUCUAGGGUUUGCAAAAGUACUGUGUGCUAUAUUAUUAAUCAAAGAAGCCGUCAUUUCUCUACAGAGAUAGAGAAAUCACAAUUGACUAUAGACAAAGUUAUGUCAAGUCAAUAUAAAUCUUAGGUGUUUCUAGUUAUCCUAUAUUUGCUAAAUUUAUUCUAUCGUCUGAUACAUUAAAGAGAAAAGCAAUACUUUGAGGGAUGUAGGAAGACUGUUCUUCUUUUCUUUGGGAGAGGAAAACUGUUCCUGUCUGAUGAACGUGAAAAGAAAUCACAUGGAGUUGCAUUUAAGCAAACUACCACAGUUGUUGAGAAUACAUGAUUUACCUUGCCCUUUCCUAUUCUACAGGAAAUCACUAUAUCGAGAUGUCCAGCACGCAACAAGCUACAAUUCUGGCAGUGCUCAAACAAGUAAUCUCAUCAUCGAAAGAGACUCAAAUUGGUGGAAUGGCUUAGUUUGGGAAGACGAAGCUGCUCGAAAUGUUUUUCUUCCUUGUUUCAGACCCUUUAAACGAGGACUGAGGAGGGAUGGUUGGGGACCAGUUUGGAUACGUCUUUUAUUCUCACUUUCUUCCAUUUAGUUAGUUUUUCUUUUCAUGCACUUCGUCUUGUAGUUUCAUUCUGUAGCCUGCUGUAAGUUCAAAGGACAUAGCCAGCCUUGAACUUUGGGGUCGGCUGUGACCUUGUGGGAGGGGGUAGGUUGGGUUGGGGUGGAUAGAUGCACCACGUGUUAUGAUACGAGUUGAGAAAAGUUUUUUCCAAGUGUCCUUCACUUGAAAAUAGAAUUAAGGAUAUGUUGACUCAAAGCAGAACUGUAGAAGUAUAAGAGCUGAAACAGAUGCUAGACUAAUUUCUAUAGUUUUUUUCUUUUACCACGAUGCAAAAAAUUCAAACAUAUGAGGAACUUUCAAUUCGCAAAAUGACUACAAAAAAGAGAGAGCAGUAUCACAACACCUCACUUCAUUACGCCACAAGUGAGACAUGGUUAGGAGUUCUUAUUGAGCAUGUUUGAAGUACUUGCAGUGUUUUCAUCCAUCGUUGAGUCCCAACGACGAUUCAUGAAAAGUAUGCCGCAUGUUUCCACCCGACCAAGACAUGGUACAUCAACAAAGUCAACGCCAAGACAUAUUGCGUCUACUUAUACAUCAUCAAAGCAUCAGGAUAUUGAAGUCAUGCAAGCCAAUCCCAGACAACCUUGCCGACCUUUAUACGACGUCAAUGUCGAAGUCAACCUUCCAGAAGCUUGUCCGAGGAAUUGGUAUGUCUAACUAUCAUAUGCAAUGCCUGUAGUUCUCAUUUGGAAGUUAUGUCAAACUCAGGGGGAGUAUCUAGAAGUAUACUCACUUAAUCUUAAUGUACUCUUUUUCCCUACGAUUAUGAGCAUUUUUCCCACUGGGUUUUUUCUACCUAACUAGAUUUUAACGAGGCACCUAUCCUGGGCUGAUCAUACCCUUGUGAGCUCUUCUACUUGCGCCCAAAAGACGUAUAGUUUUGACUUAAUGCAACUUCUCACUUUUCUCCUUAGUCUAUGGGUUUUCUCCCACAUUGGGUUUUACCAUAGCGAGGUUUUGUGAGUUUUACUUUUUAUGCAUUCUUCUGUUGAUUUGAGACUCGCAUUCGCUCAUUGUGCCGACGACUUCAUCAAAUGUACUUACUUCAUCGCUGAAGACCUGAUGCGCCAUUCACUUGAGUAUUUACACACUCAAGGGGGAAUGUUGUAGUCCUAUUAGAUUAGGAAUGUGAUUGUGUAAAUCCUAGUGUAUCUAGGGAUAUCUUUUAUAUUCCCUUUAGUAGUCUAAUUCCUAUUAAAGUUGUAAUCCUAAAAGGGUAAGGAUUUUACCUAUCCUACUAUUAUAAAUAAAGGCACAAUAGAGUGGAAUAUAACACACCCACAAUUACACAUCUAUCUCUUCUCCCUCUAUGAUGCACCCUCUCUCUCUUUCUGACCUCCAUAAUUAUUCAGUAAAUUAUGCCUACGACAAUUUUCAUUUUACUCAUUUUACUAUCUUCAAGUUUUGCAGAAAUCACACUGUUCUAUAGUGACUUUUUUUGUCUCACUUUCAUAACUGAAGUUUGAUUUUUCUUUCACUUUCAUCACUGAAGUUUGAUUUUUCUUUCACUUUCAUACUUCCGUUAGUUUUUUUGUCAAGUGUUCUGAUAAUUGAUGAUGUGGUAUAGCUUUACCUACCAUUUAUUCCACCGUGGCUAAUCAAGUUCCCUCUCUGCCAGAAUUUUCUCAAGUCACUCAUGUGCCCUUUCUUCUCUUCUUAAUGAAGCAGAUCACCUACAUACAAAGAAAGAAAACUAAAAUCGAAUUUUUUAUAUAUGUUGGUGAUCUACUUCAUUGGUGGGAACUAAAAUAUCCUCUCGACUUCCUUUCAUUACAUAUUUUUAGGGGUAAAUUACAUAGUAGCCUCUUAGGUUUGAGGUUUAUUACAACCUCAUACAACAUCUUUAAAAUAUUUCACUUUCAUACCUCACGUACUACUUUAUUUCAAAAUAAUACCUCCGUUACAUUUUCCAUCCAUUAAUCCGUUAAGCGCUGACUUGGCUGCCACAUUUGUGCCAUAUGGCUGCCAAAUGUGUGCCAUGUGGCAAAAAAACAAUUUUUUAUUUUUUUUUAAACCUGAAUCUUCUAAAUAAAUAUUAAAAGAAAAACAAAAACAAAAGCUAAAACAUCUCCACGCAACCCCCACUUCGUCUUCCUUCCCUCCAUCCCCCACCCACCUACAACCCAGAAGAAGAAGAAGAAGAAGAAGAAGAAGGAAAAAAAAACCCAUCUUCAUCUUCCCCGACCCCCUUUCCUUGCAACCCACCCCUUUCUUCCCCCUCCCAUCUUCCCCAAACCCACCGCACCCAUCCUCCGCACCCAUCUUCGCACCUACCCUCCGCACUUACCCUCUUCCCUCAUUUACACACUCCACUCCUUAAAUCCACACCCAUUGGGGAAAACGGGAUCUGGGUUGCAAGGAAAGGGAGAUGGGUUUUUUUUUUUUUUCUUUUCUAGGUUGCAGGUAGUGGGUGCAGAGGAGAAGGUGGAGGAUGGGUGCACAGUGGGUUUGGGGAAGACUAGAGGGAGAAGAAAAUGGUGGGUUGCAGGGAAGAGGAGUUAGGUGGGGGAAUUUUUUUUUUUUUUUUCUAGGUUGCAAGUUGGGCUCGGUAGUAGAGAGGGAGAUGGGAAGAUGGGUGCGUAGAGGAGGUGGAGUAUGGGUGUGGAGGAGGAUGUGGAGGAUGGAUGGGAGUGGUUUUGGAUUUGGGUUGCAAGGAGGGACGACGGAUGGGGAAGAUUAUAAAGGGGAUGGGGUUUCGGCAAGGUGAUAGGAUCUGGGUUUUCUACGUUUUCUAAGUUUUUUUUAUUUUUUUUAUUUUUUUAUUUUAUUUUUUGUUGUUAAAGAUUUAGGUUUUUUCUAAAAAAAAUAAAAAUAAAAAAUUUGCCACGUGGCACACAUUUGGCAGCCACGUCAAUGCUUAAUGGAUCAAUAGAUAGAAAAUGUAACGGAUGUAUUAUUUUGAAAUAAAAUAGUACUUGAGGUCUAAAAUGAAAUGAUUUAAAGAUAUUGUAUGGAGUUGUAAUAGACCUCAAACUUGAGGGGCUACUAUGUAAUUUACCCUAUUUUUAGUUGGUGUAAUUCAUUGGUGCCCUUUUCCCCUCUCAAAGUCGAGGAUAUUUUUCUAAUCUUUUGAAUCCAUAUUUCUUUAGAUUUUAAAGUUAUCAAAGACUUAUUGUGAAUUGCAUUUCUUUUCUUCUACUAGAUUUUGGCUUAGAAUCUCUUAGUAGAGUAAUAUAUGUGAGUUUAUAUUACUAGACUUAGUAUGGGUGGACUACUAGGUUAGAGUUUGAGCGCCGAACACUUGAAAGAAACAAAAUUGCAACAGAAUAUUUUUUUGGCAAUUAGUUGGAAUAAUCUACAUUUGGUUGCAUAAAUGAUAAAGUUUUAAUAAUGACGACAUAUUAAUUAUCUAUAGACAACAUAACAAUAACAUAACGAUAUCUUUUUAUUGCUCUAUCCAAAUGUCAAAAAAGGGUAUUUUUGUAUUUUCACAGAGUUUGGGGGAUAUUUUCCUUUGUAAAAUGGUUUUAGGGUCUUAAAUAGUGUGCCCAAGGGGCCCGCCCCUGUUUUGUGUCCCCGGUUUCCCCUUCCUCGUGGACUCAUCUCUCUCCCUCACUUUUGUCUCUUCUAUCUCUCCCCCGAAACUCUCUCCCUUCUCUACGAUGUCCCCCUCCUCUUUGAAAAUAACACACACACGUUUACAGACAUACACACAGGCAGCCUUCACCACUUUCACACCAUCACCAUCACUCGAAUCCUCUCUUCUCUCCCGCGCCCUUCCAAGCUCACCUUCACUCUUUUUGGCAUUGUGCACAGCCACAGUGCACGUGAUCUCCGACAAGGUAAAUUGAAAACACCCUUCGAUCUUCCUUCCUAGUGGUCUAGAAGGCUUAAUGGUUGUUAAAAUAUGGUUUUUGGUUUUUGGUGAAAACACCUUUCGAUCUUCUUUCCCCAAUUUUCCAACGAGCACCGCCCCUUUAGAGGUAAUUUCCGGUAAAACCACACCGAGUUGGCCAGCGUGCAGGGUAUCAAUCUUUUCAUCUCGUUGAGUACUAUAACUUUCAUGUUUGGAUCACUUGAUUUCGAUAAGUAACGAAUAAGUUAUGAGCCUUGGAAAAUCAACCACCAAACCGGCCAAAGGGUGGCCAAAAAACCACCCUCAACCCAGGCCUUUGGGCCAGGUUACCCAACCCAUUUACCCAAGCCCAAGUCUGAAAUCCAAACCCAAGCCUUUGGGCCAGAUCACUAAGCCCAAACCCUUUAAGACCCAACCCAGUUUCCUUUUAUUUAAUUUUUGUUUAUUUUUAUUUUCAAACCCAAAACUCUUUUGGUUGGGCCGGGCCUUAAGCCCACAUCCCUAAACCUAUUAACCAUAUACCCUUAGGGCCCAAUCUGUCCAACCCUAACCCUAAACCAGGUUUGACCCGACCCGUUGACUUUGACUUUGACCAGUCAACGGCCAACGUUGACUUUAGGGUUGACUUUUUGGGUUUUAGUCCAGGACCCCUUCUAGGCUAAUUUCGACGUCCUGAACUCGUUUAUGAAAUCAAUUUUUCAAAAUCCAAUCGUUUGAGUAGAGUUUGACAAAAUGUACCAUUUAUGUGAUUAGGGGCAAUUAUUGUGGCGUCUGUCUCCGGUAGUUUACACUGCUUUUCGACGGCGAAGUACUGUGAGUGGACCCUUUUUAAAAAUGCAUGUUUUAAAAGUAGAAAUGAAUACAUGAAAAGCAUGAUUUGAUGAUUACGUUUUAUGAAAUGUUUUGUGAGAUAACAUGCUAACUGAGGCUAGAUUGAAUUACUACUAUUUUAUUAUAACCCGUAUUCUUAUAGAAUAUCUGAUGGAUGAUGAUAUGAUAUUUAGAACAUGUUUCGAAUACCUCUUUAUAGUAUAGAUGAUGGAUGACUUUAUACUAUGAAGUUGCUUUUCAAUAUAUAUAUGUUCAAUGGUUUUGUACUUACCUAGUGGUCCUUUCAGCUACAGGACGUGGGGAUAGAUUCCAGUUCGUCCCGGGCGACGGUUUGGUGUUGGCAUAAGGCCUGGAGUGUGUUUUCUCUAGCUAUUAGCAUAGGGACGGGGAGCUGGCAUGAGGCCUGAAGUGUAUUUUCCUCUAACUGUCUGCUCAGAGACGAGGAGUCGGCAUGGGGCCUGGGGGUUAUCAGACAUUCACUAGUGAUUAUUAUAUAUACAAGUUAUGAUUUGAGACAUUGCAUGGUAUGCUAGGUUUCGAAAAACCUAUGUUUAUCAUUAUAUAUGUGUUUUCAUAAAACCUGGGAGUUAGUACGUUGAUAAUUGUUUUACUAUAUAUAUAUAUAUAUCAACUUGGUCUACUUAUGUUUGUUUUGCGCCCUUUUUAGGACUUAGAAUCGAGGCAUACAAUCUCGGCAUCCAGGCACUUCCGCAUCAGCAUCUUUGAGUCCUCUCGGUGUAGGACCCACUCCUUUGUUCAUUUAAUUUUAUAUUAUUUCCUUUAGUGUUCUAGUUAGUUGUAUAGUCUGAACACAUUCUUUAAAUGCAUAUUCAUUAUUCUUUUAUAUUUCUAAGUCUUAUCUAUCCCUUAUUUUCAGUUUUUGCACUCAAUAAAUUGUUUUCGUCACCCUCGGGUGUCAACCAGGACGUGCCUAUCCUAGUAUUAGGGGAAUAUUAGAUCGGGGCGUGUCAGAUUGGUAUCAAAGUGUGGUUUAUUCAGAGCAUACUUAGGAUUAUCUUUUAUUCUCGUAAUGUGUCGAUUUUGACAUCGUUUGGAUGUCAGGACUUCUGGAUUUGGUGCCAUUCGACGCAGUUGUGUGAACCUUUCUCUAUUUGAAUUGUCACAUUCUGGUUGAAAUACAAGAAUUUGUGUCAGGAUUGUGCCUCAGUAGUGAUGAAGUGGAUUGUCGGACGACUUUCAACAUCAGAUCGAUGCUCCGCAACAUGUGUUCCCUAGGAAUUGCGGGUGGAGUCAGAUCUACAUAUGAGCGUUGGGAAAACAGAAAAACCUAAGUGGUUUGAAUUUGGAAGAUCUGAAGUGGUGUGGUACUCUGUGACAUGCACUCCCUAGGAAUGGCAAGCAGAGUUGUAUCUCUUUGGAAAUUACUCGAAACUUUUAAAAUGUGUACUGAGGAAGCUAGUAAGUGCUAGUUGUUACGAAGCUUAGUAAGUUGUAGUUAGUGGGAUCAAAUCAACAUUCUCAGACUCAUUACCACUGAAGAAAUUCAUGUGGAUCUUUAGAACAAAUUCUCGGCGAUUGUCCUAUUGAUAACCUUCUUGCUUACCCCAACGACGAAGUCAAGUUCCUUAACCUUUGACCGUUAGCUUCACACCAAAUCCUUCGAGUGUUGACUUCGUUUACAUUAAUUACUUUUCUUGGGAAACUCCUCAGUAGCAGACAAUAUUCUCAUCAAUUUUCCAAAAGGGGUUACGAUUCUUAUUGUUGUUGUAGUUGGACUUGGAUGAUGAAGAUCUAGUCUUGUUUGGAUAAACAAACUUCUUGAAUUUCACCUGGGUCUCGUACUCGACGGUAAACCCUAGCUCAUUGUCCACAUACAUUUUGGUAUAGGUGAAUUUAGCCUCUUACUUGUAGCCCAACUGACCAAUGCUCUUGUCCAUUAAUUGUUCAACCUUGUAAAUUUUCAGUGUAAUGGCUUGAGAUUCCACCAUAUUCAUCAUUACAUGAAGAUCAAGCUUUACUUUGAACUUCUCUGGACUCAUUGAGCUUUGGUUUGCUCAAGGACAUCACCUUAAGAUAGCCAAUCAUGCCACUACAUGCACUUAAGAUAGCCAAUCAUGCAACUACAUGCAUAUACAAGUUGUUUUGUAUCUUUCUAAUUCGUUAUUCUGUUGAUUCAGAGGUUAUAUGUUUUUGAACUUUGAAUCAGCUCUCACAAAGUAUUGGGAAUUAAGAAAUGUCUUUGGCCUCGUCAAAUCUUAUUAACAGUUCUUAACUAUUCUUGAGCUUAUACAUGUUUUCUUUUGGCUAAGAAAAUAGUCGGUCUUACUGUGAUGAUUAACCAAAUAAUCAUAGACAGUGACUCUUAUUUCUACAUCUUCACCUUCCUUCACUUGUUUAUUUCUCAAUGUAAACUGGAUCAUGCUGAAACAAUACACCGGGAAAAAAAAUGUUUGUUCUCAGCAUGGUUUCUAGUUCAAAUCCUAAUAUCUUGUACUCUAUAUUCUAAUGGACUUGUUUUGACCUUAAAAUUCCUAAGUGUUCUUUCAGCCUUCUCGACAUGGUUUUUCACUCAAUCAGUGAGGAAUUCACGAUCGAUCGAUUUGACGGAAGUAAGCGCCCAAUUCUUUUCAAUUUGGACAGGAUGUUAGGAGCAUAAUCUUUUCACAAGCUUACUAGACUUACUAGAAACAGUGCCAUGUAGGUGUGAAGUUAAGUCGUCUUUUGGUAAGAGAUUGAUGAAGAUUGUAGUGCAAGUGAUCAUCUGAUUGCAUCAUUAUCUUCAUGUUGAAUUGAAUAGUCACCACUCAUUAUCUUGCUACAAUUCAUAACCAUCAUAUCGUACUCUGGUAGACCUUUUCGAUGAUGUUAUAUGUUCCCCUUAACGUAGCUUUCCACUACCUCGCACCAGGAUCCAUCGGUUCGCGAGCACAUGGGCGUGAGGUUUGAGUUGUCUUUUAUAUAAAAGGUCAGCAGAUUGUAUCUCCAUCUUACUAUAAUUCAUAAGCAUCACAUCGGUUCUUUUCCAACGUUAUAUGUUUGUCUCAACGCAUCAUUUCACUGCUUCACUCCAGGACUCUUUUUUUUUUAUGAGUACGUGGUUGUCGAACACUCUGGGAUAGCAUUACAGCAUGGUCGAGGCGAGUAUCGGAUAAUCUUUACACUUCUCUCAAAAGGUGUGUACUCUCUUUUAUUUUUAGGUUAAUCACUUGAGAGUCCUUCAUCUUUCCAUAAACAUUGACCUUGGUUGACUAGAAAUCUACAACUAAGCAAAAAUGGAGAGGUGGAUUGAGCACUACAACAGUUCCCAAGAGAUACUGCUUGUUGAAGAAGGUGACUUAUCGUUUUCUGCUUGCUUGGCUCGAGUUUUUGGGUCUACUACUAACAUGGUAGCCACUUCUUUUAAAUCCCAAAAUACAGUUUUCAAAAGGGUUCUUUACUGGUGAAACACUGGAGUAGUUGGUCACAUUUGGAAGAACUGAGGAGGAUAGAAUGCUUGGUGCUGGAUAGAGUUUUAUGACGACAAUAGUUUCUGUUUUGUUCAGUUUGAGUACGGGACUUUUUGCGACAUGGUACGAAAGUUGCUACAUGUAACACUGGUUGGCAAAGGAGUAUUGCAAACUUGUAUUCGAAGGAUCAAAUUUUUGAUGUGUGAGAUUGUGCACCCUCAGGAAAUCAUUAUUUUCUUAACGAGACAACAAAUGGGUGGUCGAUAUCGCGAUCAGUUGACUAUGAUAUCGAUGGCUUAUUCGUUAGGUUCGUUAGGCAAGUAGGUAGGAAUAUCCGUCUUCAGCAGUUGUUAUAGAAUUGUUAUUCUUAGGAUUCGACCCAAAGACACAUUUGUUCUCGGAGUACGUGAGGUUACAAAUUCUUGGGCGAGACCCAUUCUCAUUUUCAGUUUUGGUUUUCAGUACAAGCAUUUUAACUUCCUUUACUUUAGUUAUUUGUUUUUGUCGUUACAAAUGUUUUGGGGGAAGUAUCUCCGUUUUCAGUUUUAAGUUCAGCACGAAGUUUUUUUAUAUAUAUGUUAUUACAUAUAUAUAUUGACGUUAUCGUGUUUUGCGUACUUACUUUUGACCUUACUUCAAUAUAUGUUUUCAACUUUAUAUCUUAUUAAAAUAUGUUUCUACCUUUACACUAAUGGGGAAGAAAGUAAGAACUUGGAGGCAUGAAAGAGGAUUUGGCAAACUACUCGCAACGGUGUGACAUAUUCUCUUUGAUGCAACCAUUCUGACUUGAUUUCUUCUUUACGUAUACAUAUAUUCUUCUUCCUAUCUUUGAGCUUUUCAGUAUAGCAAAUUAUUUUAAAUUUCAGUACGAAAUUCUUUUUAGGGUAUUUUUGUAUUUUCACUAAGUUUGGGGGAUAUUUUCCUUUGUAAAAUUGUUUUCGGGUCUUAAAAAGGUGUGCCCAAGGGGCCCACCCCUGUUUUGUGUCCCCGGUUUCCCCCUUCCUCGUGGACUCAUAUCUCUACUUCACUUUUAUCUCUUCUCUCUUUCUCUCCCCCGAAACUAUCUCCCUUCUCUGCGAUGUCCCCCUCCUCUUUGAAAACAACACACACACGUUUACAGACAUACACACAGGAAGCCUUCACCACUUUCACACCAUCACCAUCACUCGAAUCCUCCCUUCUCUCCCGCACCUCUCCAAGCUCACUCUCUCUCUUCUUGGCACUGUGCACAAUCACGGUGCACAAGAUUUCCAAUGAGGUAAGUUGAAAAAACCCUUCAAUCUUCCUUCCUAUUAGUCUAGAAGAUUUAGUGGUUGUUAAAAUAUGGUUUUUGGUGAAGGGUUAGACAUGAAAACAGCUCGGGGAGCUUUCCUCAGGUUUUCGGUGAGCACCACCCCUUUCGAGGCAAUUUUCAGUCAAACCAUAGCGAGUUGGCUAGCUUGCAGGGUAUAAAUAUCUUCAUCUCAUCGAGUACUACAACUUUCAUGUUUGGAUCACUUGAUUUGGAUGAGUAACGAAUAAGUUAUGAGCCUUGGAAAAUCAACCACCAAACUGGCCAAAGGGUGGCCUGAAAACCACCCUCAACCUUGGCCUUUGGGCCGGGUUACCCAACCAUUUACCCAAGCCCAAGUCUGAAAUCCAAACCUAGGCCUUUGGGCCAGAUCACUAAGCCCAAACCCUUUAAGACCCAACUCAGUUUCCUUUUAUUUAUUUUUUAUUUAUUUUUAUUUUCAAACCCAAAACCCUUUUGGUUGGGGCAGGCCUUAAGCCCACUUCCCUAAACCUAUUAACCCUAAACCCUUAGGGCCUAAUCUGUUCAACCCUAACCCUAAACCAGGUUUGACCUGACCUGUUGACUUUGACUUUGACCGGUCAACGGUCAACGUUGACUUUAGGGUAGACUUUUCAGGUUUUCGUCCAGAACCCCUUCUAGGCUAAUUUCGACGUCCUAAACUCGUUUACGACGUCCGUUUUCCAAAAUUCAAUCGUUUGACUAAAUUUACCAUUUAUGUGAUUAGGAGCAAUUAUUAUGGCGUUUUGUCUCCAGUAGUUUGCAUGGCUUUUCGAAGGCGAAGUACUAUGAGUGGACCCUUUCUAAAAAUGCAUGUUUUAAUAGUAGAAAUGCAUACAUGAAAAACAUGAUUUGAUGAUUACGUUUUAUGAAAUGUUUUGUGAGAUAACAUGCUUACUAAGGCUAGAUUGAAUUACUACUAUUUUUCCUAUAACCUGUAUUCUUAUAGAUUAUCUGAUGGAUGACGUUAUGAUAUUUAGAACAUGUUUUAAACACCUCUUUCUAGUAUAGAUGAUGGAUGACUUUAUAUUAUGAAUUUUCUUUUUAAUAUAUAUAUGUUCAAUGGUUUUAUACUUACCUAGUGGCCAUUUCCACUACGAGACUUAGGGAUAGAUUCCGGUUCCUCCCAGGCGACGGUUUGGUGUUGGCAUAAGGCCUGGAGUAUGUUUCCUCUUGCUAUUAGCAUAGGGAUGGGGAGCCGACAUGGGGCUUGGGGGUUAUAAGACAUUCACUAGUGAUUAUUAUAUUUACAAGUUAUGAUUUGAGACAUUGCAUGGCAUGCUAGGUUUCGGAAAACCUAUGUUUAUCAUUAUAUAUGUGUUUUCAUAAAAGCUGGGAGUUAGUACAUUGAUAAUUGUUUUACUAUAUAUAUAUAUCAACUUGGUCCACUCAUGUUUGUUUUGCACCCCCUUCAGGACAUAGAAUCGAGGCAUACAAUCUCGGCAUCCAGGCAUUUCCACAUCGGCAUCUUCGAGUAUUCUCAGUGUAGGACCCACUCCUUUGUUCAUUUAAUUUUAUAUUAUUUCCUUUAGUGUUCUAGUUAGUUGUAUGCUCUGAACUAGGCCUGGCAUUUUGGACCCAACCCGUUAACCCGACCCGACCCAACCCAUUAAUAUUUGUAUUUGGGUGGAUGCUUAAUGGAUUGGGUCGCUAACGGGUGAGCUCGUUAACAACCCGUUAAAUAACGGGUCACUUUGGGUCAACCCGUUAGCACCCGUUAGUUGAGGAUAUUUUAGUAAUUUUAGUAAAGUCUUAAUAACAAAAAUAAACUUUAUGCAAAAAAAUAAUAAUAAUAAUAAUUGUUAACGGGUGUUAACGGGUGAAACGGAUGACCCGUUAGCUUAACGGGUCGGGUUCAGGUGACCCGUUAGCUUAACGGGUUGGGUUCGGAUGACCCGUUAACUUAACGGGUCGGGUUGAACCCGACCCAAACCCAAUAAACCCGACUCGUUUACAAGUCUACUCUGAACACGUUCCUUAAAUGCAUAUUCAUUAUUCUUUUAUAUUUAUAAGUCUUAUCUUUCCCUUGUUUUCAACUUUUGCACUCAAUAAAUAACUUUCGUCACCCUCGGGUGUCUGCCAGCAUAUGCCUAUCCUGGUAUUCAGGGAAUAUCGGGAUUGGGGCAUGUCAAUGUAUGAUAACUUUAUACAUAGCUCUAUCUCCUUAAUAUUACUAACUUGAGCAUCACAAUGUCUUCAACUAGGAUUGCACUGGUGCCCAUCAUCCUCGAGACUUGCUCAUCUUGCAUGUUGUGUUAGUAAAUUCCAAAAAGCGGAAAGAUCGUGCUUGAACACAUAUUUCAAACCAUUAAGUCAUGAAAUGAAACACAACAAUCUUAUAGUCGUCGAACAAACUAAUCAAUUUCUUAUCGUAUUAUGUUAUUGGAUCUAACUGUCAAUAUGAUAAUCUCUACUAAUUAAUAAAACACUCUUUGUCAACCAAAAGUAAAUGAAAUUACCAUUUUAACCCUCACAUUAAAACUGAGCAGAAAUUCAAAAUAUGGGCAAUUUAGUAAUUACAUGACUACACAUUUUACUGUUUUUUAGUUGAGCAUCAUAGCCAUGUAAUACUAACAUAUUUUAUUUAAAAUUUCUCUUCGUUCCUAUUUCUCUCUCAUCACCACUACUGACUUCUCUCUGCAACUCUCUCGCCCAAAACAUCCAAAAACCGCUCUCCCACAUUGUCCUCAAGCUCUCUUCGUUCUUGUUUCUCUCUCAUCAACUCUCUUGGACUUCUCUCUGCAGCUCUCUCGCCAAAACCCUCUUCAACCACCCACCUCGUCCCUUCCACGUUCUCCUCAACCGUAAACAUCAUGAUUUCACUUACCUCAAACUCCCACAAGUUGCAGAAACUCCAAAAUUUGGUUCAUACUUUUAAAAUUUUAGAUGCCCAAUUCGUUUUGAUUUAAAAGAAUUCAUUACCGUUCCCACCCCUACUUCUGUAGUUGUUGAUCGCCAUAAGUCAACCAGUUACGUUGGCUGUGGGGGCCUCACCUUCCUGUGGCAGCACCAAGGUUGUUCAGAGUAAUCAUCAUCAUCCAAUCUCAAUGGCUUCCUUCCAAAUUGUGGAGCCCAGGUUUAAUUUUAAUUCUCUGAAUAGCUUUUGGAAUUGGAUCUUCAAUUUUAUUAGUUUCAUUAAGAGAAAGCAUCCUUUCAAUUGUUUAACUUACCAAUUACAUAUUUACAACAAUUGGAAAUAAAAAGGGACAUGGUUAUUUUUAUUACCGUGUUUGUCUUAGUUGUAUUUUCUCAUUUUUGUUUACUGUAUUUUCAAUAUUAAUAACUUAUUUUUUCAAUCACUUUCAUAGAUAUAGCAUUAUAAUUGCAAGUCAGUGCAAUGAGUCCAACAUCUACAGACCUUGGUGAAAUACGUGCAAGGCGACGCAACAGUUACCAAAUCAAAAUGCAAGUAAUGAGUUCAAAGCAACGACAACAUCUAGCACGCUGUCCUUUUAAUUAUCACCUCCGAAAUAUGAUAAUGAAUCAGCCACAAUGUCGACACAAACUACUACAUCAUCUAUUAAUGUAAGGUGGUCUGUUUAUGAACAUGGAGAAUCAAGUCGAGGAACUCAAAUCACGCAGCCUGUUUAUGUACGUGGAGAAUCAAGCCGAGGACCUCAAAUGAGCUAAUAUGUAUAUGAAAAUGGAGAAUCACUUGAGAUGAGACAACCUGUAUAUGAACAUGGACAAUCAACUCGAUCUCAUAAUAGCCAUGUCCAACAAAGGAAUGCCACAAAUGCACAAUAUAAAUGUGCACAGAAUUUUAGUGAAUCUCAUGGGUUUCAGAAGCUUCGGUUACCACCACCAUCAACAUGUCGGCACUGUGCAACAAAACUCUUUCAUCUUGAGUCUAAGAAGUUAUGUUGCUUGAAUGGAAAGACUAAUUUGCCCCUCAUACCAACACCUAUCGAACUUCUUCAGUUAUUCUCAGAUGAAACAUCACAAGGCAGGCAUUUCAGAGAAUAUAUUCGAGCCUACAAUCACGCCUUCUCUUUUACUUCGAUGGGCGUAAAUGUUGAUGAACAAUUUGCAAAUGCUAAAAGUGGAGUGUACACAUUUAGAGCACAAGGUUUAAUCUACCACCAAAUUGGAAGCCUUUUAGCUACUACAGGAACCAAACCAAGGUUUUUACAAAUUUAUAUAUAUGAUACUGAGCAUGAAAUUGACAACUGCAUGCUGGAAAACAAUGGCCUAAAUAGACAAGUUGUAGAGAAAAUAAAGCAUGUCUUAGAUCAGUACAAUCCAUUUGUGCAUAUGUUUCACCAUAUUUCAUAGUUUUAAGAUUUGAAUACUUGCAAGCUUAUAGUCAAGGAGCAAUCGUCAACUCAUCGCCAAUAUAGUCUUCCAACUAUAUCACAAGUUGCGACUGUUUUCAUAGAUGGUGCUACAAUGAUGCAAUUAAUGGAAGAGAUAUUGUUGUUCAAACUACUAGCGGGCAACUUAUCAAUGUUCAAGAUGUUGUUGGGUAUUAUGACUCACUUCAAUAUCCCUUAUUACUUCCUCAUGGGAGUUAUGGGUGAGACAUAAAUAGCCGCAAUGAAAAUGGAACUGCAUGUACAUGUAGAGACUUUUAUGCAUACAUGUUACUGGUAAUUCCACUUCAAUAUCCUUUUUUUUAUAUAGCUUUUCUCCUUUUAAAUUUGUUUAUACAGUUUAAAAUAUUUGUAAGAUAUAGUAACAAAUAACCAUACAUUAUGUGAUAAAUACAUAUUGCCAAACAGGUUCGUCAUUGAUAUUACAUGGUGGUCAAUUAUUACAACAAUAUAUAGUUGACAAUUAUGUCAAGAUUGAAGCGUAGACUUAGGUUCCUGCAAAGCAAUCAAUAAGCUAUUAGAGCAGAGUUAUAUCAAGGAUUGCAAGACUCACUUGCAUCGGGUGAAUUUCAUGCUGGUAUGUACCAAAUCCACACUUUCCAAGUUAAUUUCUAUUAGUUUACAUUCCUAAAGAAUUUUUAUAAAAAUGUAUUUGAAAUGUCAUCUUUAACAACAAAUAGGAAAUGUGGGACGAACAACAAUACACCCCUCAUCUUUUGGUGGAAGCCUCCGUGAUAUCCAUCAAUGUUAUCAAGAUGCCAUGGCAUUGGUUCAAAAGUAUGGGAAGCCAAACAUAUUUCUAACUAUGACGUGUAAUCCAUCAUGGGAGGAGAUAACAAGUGAAUUAUUUCCUUGCCAAACACCACAAGAUAGGCCAGACUUGCUAACUAGAAUUUUCAGAUCCAAAUACGAACAUAUGAAGAAAGAUAUUUACAACACUGGAGUUCUAGGUAAGACAAUCGCUCAUGUGCAUGUAAUUGAAUUUCAAAAAAAGGGUCUGCCACAUUGUCACAUGCUUAUUAUUUUUGAAGAGUCAGACAAGUUAAACACACCUGAUGACUAUGAUCGCCUUAUGAGAGCUGAAAUUCCAUACAGAGAAGAAGAACCUGAGUUAUACAAUAUUGUCCUGAAACAUAUGAUCCAUGGACCAUGUGGGGCUCUUAAUCCAAACUCUCCAUGUAUGAAAAAUGGAAGCUGUAAAAAAGCCUUUCCUAAGCAGUUUUUUGAAGUCAUAAUGCAAGGAAAUGAUUGUUACCCAGUGUACAUGAGGCGCAACAAUGGUAGAUAUGUUGCUUUAGAUCGAAACAUUGAAGUAGAAAUAGAUAAUAGGUGGGUUGUUCCAUAUAACCCAUGGCCAUUAUUGAAGUAUGAUUGUCGUAUAAAUGUUGAGGUCUGUAGCAGCAUAAAGUGUGUCAAGUAUCUGUAUAAAUAUAUGUACAAAGGACCUGAUCGUGUUUCCCUUGAGGUGUGUUUGGGACCAUCUUAUGAUGAAAUAUCAAAAUACUUAGACGCAAGAUGGAUUUGUGCUCCAGAAUCUUUAUGGAAAAAAAAUUUAUUUCCUAUGAAUCGUAUAUAUCCUUCAAUAUAGUGGCUGCAAGUUCAUCUUCCAAAUAGGCAUCAAGUCAGAUAUUACAGUCACAUCUUAAUUAUGGAAGUUUUGUCUAACAUAAGCAACUCAAAUACGAUGCUUACCGAAUUUUUCCGUAUCAACUGCAUUGAUCCAUUUGCAAGACAAUGGUUAUAUAGAGAAUUCCCUAAACAUUAUAGAUGGGUUGCCACUGGAAAAAAAAAGGCAAAUGAGGGUUUCACAACAAAAGGUUAUCGGACAAAUUUAUACAAGAUGUCCAUAUGAAGGUGAACGAUUUUACUUACGUACUCUAUUAAAUCAUAUCAUAGGUCCCAUGUCAUUCGAUCAUCUUCUAAAAUUUAAUGGAGUUGCAUUUCCAACUUUUAAGCAAGCGGCUGAAAGGAAGGGUUUGCUUGAGGAUGACAAUAGCAUUCACCAAUGCCUCCUAGAAGCUGUAACAACUCAAAUGCCAUCAGCUUUGCAUAGGUUAUUUGUCACAAUAUUAGUGUAUUGUGAACCUAUUGGAGUGCGUACUUAUGGGAGGAAUUUCAUUCAUUUAUGGGGCAAGACUACCCAACAUCCAGUAGCUCAAAGAAUAGGGUUAUCAUUAAUCUUUUGUUGCGAGAUCUGAAUGUAUUGUUACAACAACAUGGUAAAAGAAUUUGUGAUUAUGAUCUUCCACAAAUUGAUACGUCUGAUGCGAAAUAUAUAAGCACACAAAUUAAACCCUCUUUUUAUCAAUUGUAGUAAAGAAUGUAACUAGGGAUCGUUCUAGGCCGGGGAUUAGGAGGGAUUGCCAAAUCACUUGAAAACUAACUCAAAACGUAAAAAUAAAGUUUAAACACUAAACUAGACUCAAAGAAUGCAAAACUAAACUAUAAAACACCAAAACAAACCAAAAGACUCAAAACAGCAAAUAAACACUCAAAACUGCCUUAAAAACACUUUCUGGCCAGUUUUGAACACCUAACACUAAAUUGGACGAAAUUGGGUUAUAACUUGACUCAAGACCCUUAAAACACAAACUAAAUUAAUUUCUACUUAAUCUAACACUUUAAAAUAAAUGGGGAAUUGGUUUUGACGAAAAUUGAAAACAAAAACAAAACUUGUAAAUUGAACAGAUUCUAAAACGAAUUUGAUAAAAGUGAAUGGAUGGAAAGCUAGCUAAGGGGUUAUUCUCCACACAUGUCACACUUGCAUACAAAACGAUUUCCAAUUGCUUCUCAAUAAACCAUGAAUUCCCAACACCCCAAGUUAAUUAGAUACGCUUAAAUUAACUUUCAAAUUUCCCUUAAGUCAAUGAAUUGGAUGGAAAAAGCGCAUCGCAACCAAAUUAUUCCUCAAAAGUUCCCUACAUGAAAGCGCAUAAUAGAGAUACAAUUAAAGAUCAUUACGUUCAAUGGAAAUCAUAAGUACUGACGAGGCACUCGUAACUAUGAAAGCGCAUGAUACUUAUGCCAAGAAUUUACUUAACACGAUUGUGAUCAACAACCUUUACUACUUGUGAAUAUAAGUUUGUAACAAUUAGGUGAAAUUCCCUUAUAUCCUAGCAUUAAACUUAUGCAUGAAAAUUAAGCGUGCACUCUCAACCAACACACACAAAUCAGUUUUAAUUCAUGUAGAUAAGCAAAUUGAAUUCACAACUUAUGAAACACAAUUAGAAGUAAUCAAAUCAUAUAGCAAGCAUAAACAUGGUUUCGAAUCCCCCCCCUAGCCAAGGGGGGUUUAGUUCCUCAUAUGCACAAAGCAAAGAUAAAUAAGUUUAGACAUUGAAAUCCAAAGAAAGAGAACACCUAAAACGCUCCAACUUCGCAGUAGGUGCAUCCACGAUUCCUCCUUCCUCCUUGCUGCGGCACAGAGACUUUGGACAGGUUCUUUGGGUUAUUAAAUGGUGUAGAAUGGAUGGGGGAUGUAUGGUGGUGUUUAGGAUGGAUGGGUGGUGCAGCAAGGGUUGAUUUUUGGCAGAAAUUUGAGAGAAUGGUGGUGGAAGGCUGCAACAAAGGUAGGAGAUGAGUUUCUGACGUGAAUGGUUGUGUAUGAGAGGUGGUAAAUCCGGCCAAAGGGGUUUAUGAGUAUAUAUAGGCAUUCAAAACCCUAGGUAAAUCAGAUAUGGACUUGGAUAACCCAAAUCCAUCAAGAAAUAGGUUUAAACAAUCAGAAUUUAAAAGGGAAAAAGCCCAAAGGUUCGGUAGAUAAGGGAUAGGGAGGAUAGGGCUUCUAGAAUGCCUUGCAAGGCAAGGAAAACAGAUUCUACCAAGGGCUAGGUGCGGCAGGUUUUGGGAAAUAAGGAUAGGGCUUCUAGAAAGCUCAAAACUAAGAGGAAAUAGGCCCCAACCCACGACAAGGAUGAGAAAAUAUUCUAAAACCCUUCUUUGUGUCUUCCAAUGCUUAGGAACCUUCUAAUGUUGCUGAAACAUAAGGCCAACUAGGUUUAGGAAAGAUCAACCCAAAGUAGAAACUUUUAGGCUUAACUUUCCUACUUCAAGUAGGAAACCUUGUUUGAGUAGGAAUCUUCAUUCUUCUAGGAAUCCAUCUUCAACUAGGAAUCCCUCGUUGAUUAGGAAUCCUUCUUCAAUUAGGACUCCUUCUUGGACUAGGAAUCCUCAAAUCUUCAAAUCUUCAAUUUCGCCCAAACCUUUUGUUCCAAGCAUGUGCUAUUCACUCUAAGCUCACAUUUGCUCCAAAAAGCUUUAAUUUGCAUCAUUUUGUAUAAUAUGCCCUUAAAACCUGAAAAUACAUAAAACUAGCUUAAAAGACUACUUAAACUAAGAAAACAUAACGAAAAUGCAUAAGAACUAGCUAACUAAGGCGCAUAAAUAUGCUCCUAUCAAAUUCCCCCACACUUAGCUUUUGCUAGUCCUCGAGCAAAACCAAGAACAAACGACAAACGAAACAAAACACACAAAUAAAACAUAACCUAAACCUUCCAACGUUGCCUCAGGGAUUUCCAAUGCACAUGACAUAUUAAAAAUCAUCAUUCCCACAGAGUUUAGUCAUCUUCACACUUAAGCACAUACUUAAUCAUAGUCACCACAUACUAGUUCACAUUUAACCAAUUAAAACGUGGUUUUGAAUGUAGUAACAUGCCUUAGAGAAUUUGCUCAAUUCCUUACAAGAUAUACACUCAAUUUUCACUCAAAUUUUCUAAGUACACACCCUAUACUAGUUAUAUGUGAGAAGAUUGAUGUAGACAUAAAAACGAAUGCUCACAUAUAUAUACAUAACAAAGAAAGCAUUUUCUGGAGUUAAUAAGCAUUUAGAUAUGAUCUCAUGAAUGGAAUGCUACUACUUAGACGCGAGAACCAGUGACACCAUAUGCUCAUACCAAUUCUAAACUCCACAAAUUGAAACACACAACACUCAAGAUUAAAGUCAAGGGUUGUAACGGGGCUUGAGGUAUUGGCUAACAAAGAACGGAUAGGGAUAACAAAGGUUCUUUAAGCAAUAACACGCAAGGCAAUGAAGUCGAAACUUAGAAUUCACUUUAGAAUGCAGAAAUCAACUUUUAAACAAAAGGUAGGAUUCAUGCAAUACUUAGGGUCGAAUUCAAUGUUUUGGACCCUUUCUUCAACAAUCAACACUUAAGAGCUCAUCUCCACAUCUUUUUCAACUUUUUUUCAUAUUUUUCACAACUUUUCUUUUUUUUUCUUGCUAUUUUCCACGAAAUUUAUCUUUUUGUUUUUUUUUUCUUUUCUAACCUGUGCCACAUGAAAGACUUAGGCACUCACAUACAUCCAUUCCCCCAAACUUGUUUUCUGCAAUACAUUGAUCAAAAGGAAUUCAUCUUGAGUCAUGCUUUACUAUGCUUUAAAAACAAGGGUAUGGAUGGUCCUAAUCUAGGCUAGGUGAGGAUAAUGAGGGUUAACAAACAAUAUAGGCUAAACAAGGCUCAACGGGGUUAAAACCUACAAAACAUAUGAACAUGGGGGACACGGCAAUUUGGCUUAAAUGGUGGUCACUACACAACUUCAUCUUGAAUAUGUGUUAUGCAAAUCAAUAGCAUGCUUUGAAUGAAAUGGGCAUGAGUUUUAGUGUUUGGAACUAAAUGAUGAAACGCCUUCUAAGUAGUAACCAAGCAAAGAAUAAUGAGAUCAUGCAACGACUUUAGAAAACAACAAUGCACAAAUUAUUACUCUCCAAAUAAACGUUUAGGCUCAAGUCUCCCAAGGUUGUAGCGUUAAUUUGAGUUCCUUCCUUCAAGCAUGUUACAAAAACUAAUUUUUUUCCUUUGUGAUUACAUGUGAAUUCAUAAGUUAUAACCACAACCAAGCAUAAACCAAAGAGUAAAUCAAACUUCCAUCCAUGUUUACAACUCUCUUUAACAGUCAUGCAAUUAAAAACCGAAUCCUCAUCAUUGUGUUGGAAGGUACCCUAAGACACAAACAACUACACAAAACAGCUUUAAAACGACUCUUUUUGGCUUUUUCAACACAUUUUUUUCAAAUUUUUUUCUGGGAUUUUCGGAUUUUUAUGUAAAACACACUAAAAUGCAUCAAAACAGCCUAAAAACAGCAAGGAACAACAUUGGAAAUUAUGGGUGAUACUGUUGGAAGUAUGCCCACAAAGCCACUCAUUUGAUGUAAUAGCUUUUGGAAUACUUAUUGUAUUAAACUUUUAUAUGUUUAAUGAAGGGCAAAGCUUAUUGUUAAUCACUAUUUAUUGUAUCAUGUGUUUAAGCAAUAAGGGAAUCCAAGGAAUGUAUUUGAUCUAAGAGAUAAGUGAUUUAAGUAAGUUAGAUUAUCGAGACCUUUCUCUUAUGUUCAUUCCUAAAACGUUCCUAGCCAUAGGAUUGCCAAUUGGGCAUUGACAAUCUGCUAAGGUUAGUAUGUGUUAUGUCGACUCAAGCGUGAGUAUGACAAGUCUCAAGUCAUUUAGUGUUGGACACUAAGGCAAACACAUAGGUGCUCGAAAGAGUGAGCGAGUACACUGAACAACGAUCAAAAGAGAGUUCGAACAUACAUGUCAUGUAAGAACUCGAGAAUUGCAAUAUACAAAGUAGUCCUUUGACCUGAGGCAUCAUAGAUGUCUAAUAGUUAGGUCUUUGAUCUUUGAUCAUGUCAAAGGCAUUCCAUUGGAGUGUCCACGGCAUUGUUGUGGUCAAGCUACCUAGUCAUGUAGGCAUAUGAAUGCACAACAAGGAAUCUCUAACCUUCCAUGGUGGAAGGAGAAUACUCUAAGAUAUGAUUCGAGAGUCUUUGGCCAAAGCAUAUGAAUAUGACUUAGGAAGUUUGUUCCAAAUCAUAUUCAACUGAAUCAUAUAGAUAAGUAUCACAUUGGAUAGUAGACAUGAAACAAACUAUCACUUAAAGAAUGUGAUUAAGAGUAUUGUAUUAGAGAAGGACCGUAUUGCAUUGUAGUUGUAACUGGAUAGGUUCUCCAACCACUUCUACUUAGCUUGGGUAACCAUGAUAUGCUGCUAGGUGUCACUCAUGGUUUGUGGAAGCCCUAAAGAUUAGCAAACACUAAUUUUAAGGGAGAAUUGAAAUGUGGUUUCAAUUCACAAUCGAUCGUUAAGAGUAACAAUGGCCCACUACCUCGCUAAAUAGAACCUAAUGGAUCGUACACCGAGUAAGGAUGUUGGUGAAGAAAUUAAAUGAAAUGGAUAAGCAAUUAAAUGGUUUAAUUGAAGAAUGGUCAAGAUUAAUUAAUUAGUUAAUUAAUUAUACGAAAUGUAUGUAUUGGGCUUAUAUGUUGGUUUUGGGUUUCGGGGCCCAAAAGCGUUUUGGUCCAGAAGGCCCAUUAUGUUUAAGUUGUAUGACAACUAAAACAAAAUGGGCAAUUAGCCCAAUCAAUUUGAUAUGGCCGGCAAUUAGGGUCAGAAGUGUCAAACUUGGAUUAAUUACAAGUUUGCCACUCACUUGUGAUGAAGUAUAAAAGCAACUUUAUAGCUUUAUUUUCAUUUAGGGUUUUUCUUGGUGAAAUGAGGUGAAACUUUUUCUCUCAUUUUCUCUAAAGAGGCCGGCCACCUAGGGAAGGAAUAGCUAGCAAUCUCUUCUUCCCUAAGUCAUCCAUUUCAUCUUUACAUCACAUCCUUGGUGAAGAGACUUAGAGACAUCAAGAUUUUGAUGUUUUGGAGAACAAAUCCUUAAGUCCUCAAAGAAGCAAAGGAGCACUAAAAGGAAGAAAAUCACAAGGAAUAUCCAAGGAGCAUGGAGGUGACUUGAAGGCCCUCCACUUGGGUGAAUCCCUUGUGUAAUCAAGGAUGAGCUUCAAGGGUAAAGAAACUCUAAAUAUUUCCUUCUCUUUAUUGUUGUUAAAGAGUUUAUUGGUUCACCAUAUACUAGGCUUUGAAAGUCAUGGGUUUUAUGAAUUGUUUUUGAAUGCAUGUCUACAUUAAUGUGUUAAUAGUUUGCAUAUGUAUUCAAAUGUUCUUACUUGUUCUUAGCUAGGACAAAAAAUUUCCUUCAGAUGCAACCCUACGAAUUUGCAUCAAAACACUUUGGUUACCCCCCCCCCACACUUAAAUCAAACAUUGUCCUCAAUGUUUCAAGCAUAAACUAACACAAUUAACAAAUAAACAAACAAGCAGCAACUAACAUAAUAAACAUGGCAGAAACGAAAUAAACAACAAAGAGAAGGGUUUAGGAACGCAAAUCUGGAAUUGGAGUGAUUCCUUGGUCUUCCUUUGUUGCAUGCAUGGGUUGCCUCCUAAGUAGCGCUUUCUUUAACGUCGUGCAGCCGGACGAAGCACCAAUUCACUCCCCAUUGGAGCCCACGGCAUGCAAGGGGAUGUCAUCCACGGCAUGCUCCACAAAGUUGUCAUAGUAUGGCUUCAAUCGGUGCCCAUUCACCUUGAAUUCUUGUCUAGUUUUCAUGCUUUGGAUUUGGACUGCACCAUGCACAAAAACAUUAGUAAUAACAAACGGGCCAACCCACUUGGAACGUAACUUACCAGGAAACAACCGAAGGCGGGAAUUAAAGAGUAACACUUUCUGCCCGAUUGAGAAUGAUUUGCCACGAAUCAUCUUGUCAUGAAAAGCCUUGGUCUUCUCCUUGUAAAUCCGAGCGUCUCAUAUGCUUCAUAUCUAAUCUCGUCAAACUCAUUUAAUUGGAGCUUCCUAUGUACUCCAGCGGCAUCAAUAUCCAUGUUAAAGGUCUUGACCGCCCAAAAUGCCUUGUGCUCAAGCUCCACGGGCAGAUGGCAUUGCUUGCCAUAGAUAAGCCGAAAAGGUGACAUGCCAAGAGGAGUUUUAUAGGCCGUUCGAUAAGCCCACAGUGCAUUGUCCAAGCGCAUGCUCCAAUCCUUUCUUGUUGGACCCACGGUCUUCUUUAAGACUUGCUUGAUCUCUUGGUUAGAAACCUCGGCUUAGUCAUUUGUUUGAGGAUUGUAAGGUGUAGAAACCUUAUGGGUGACGUUGUACUUCCUCAACAAUGCCUCAAUGGUGCGGUUACAAAAAUGGGAACCGCCAUCACUAAUUAGAACUCGAGGCAUCCCAAACCUAGCAAAAAUGUUAGUUUUCACGAAAUCUGCAACCACCUUAUAAUCAUUAGUACGGGGGGCUUUUGCUUCCACCCAUUUCGAGACAUAAUCCAUAGCGAGUAAUAUGUAAAGGAAACCAUGCGAUGAAGGAAAAGGACCCAUAAAAUCGAUGCCCCAAACAUCAAAAAUUUCAACAGGAAGUAUGACAUUUUGCGGCAUUUGAUCCUUUGCCCCUAUAUUACCCAUUCGUUGGCAACGAUCACAAGACAUACAAAAGGUUCUAGCAUCUUUAAAUAGAGUUGGCCAAUAAAAACCACAUUCUAAAACCUUAAGGGCAGUGCGUUGUGUCCCAAAGUGUCCCCCACAUGCAUAAGUGUGAUAGAAAGUUAAAAUUGAAUUAAACUCCAUAUCAUACACACACUUACGUACAAUAUGAUCCGAACAAUAUUUCCACAAGUAUGGAUCAUCCCAAACAUAAAAUUUAGCAUCCUUUUUUAAUUUAUCAUGUUGGUUUCUGUUUAGGGUGUUUGGAAUGUGUUUUGUCACUAAAAAAUUCACCAAGUCGGCAUACCAAGGCUCACUUACCUUCAUGGACAACAAUUGUUCAUCGGGGAAUGUCUUGGCAAUAGGUAGGGACUCCUCAGUAUGCACCAUUCGGCUUAGGUGGUCAGCCAUCACGUUUUCACUUCCCUUCUUGUCACGAAUCUCAAUAUCGAACUCUUGAAGUAACAACAUCUAACAAAUUAGCCAUGGCUUGGCUUCCUUUUUAGUGAGCAAGUACUUCAAAGCUGCAUGGUCAGUGAAAACAAUUACUUUAGUACCAAUUAGAUAUGAUCUAAACUUAUCUAAAGCAAAAACAACGGCAAGAAGUUCUUUUUCUGUAGUGGAAUAGUUCAAUUGGGCAUCAUUCAACGUCCGUGAGGCAUAGUAUAUCACAUGCGGCCUUUUGUCCUUCCUUUGUCCCAAAACAGCUCCUAACGCAUAAUCGAACGCAUCACACAUAAGCUCGAAGGGUAGGCUCCAAUCCGGUGGGACAAUGAUUGGUGUCGUGGUCAACAACUUCUUGAGUUGGUUGAAUGAUGCCGUGCUCAUUAAACUCAAACGUCACAUCUUUUUGUAAGAGUCGGCAAAGAGGUUGUACCACCUUGGAGAAAUCUUUGAUGAACCUACGAUAGAAACCUGCAUGGCCAAGAAAAGAACGAACCUCUCUAACCGAAGUAGGAGAGGGUAAGUGACGCACAAGAUCUAUCUUUGACUUAUCAACCUCAAUACCAUUUUCAGAGAUAAUAUGACCCAAAACUAUGCCUUGUUUAACCAUGAAAUGACAUUUUUCCCAAUUAAGCACAAGGUUAGUUUCAGCGCAACGUUUUAAGAUCAAGCUAAGAUUAUGCAAACAACCAUCAAACGAAUCACCAAAGACGCUAAAAUCAUCCAUAAAAACCUCAAUUAUUUUCUCAACAUAAUCAGAAAAUAUGCUCAUCAUGCAUCUUUGAAACGUUGCAGGUGGAUUACAUAAACCAAAAGGCAUGUGACGAUAAGCAAAUGUACCAAAAGGGCAUGUAAAAGUGGUAUUUUCUUGGUCCUCGGGUGCUAUGACAAUUUGAUUAUAACCAGAAUAACCAUCAAGAAAACAAUAAAAAGCGUAACUGGCUAACCUCUCAAGCAUUUGAUCAAUGAAUGGCAAGGGAGAGUGAUCCUUCCUUGUAGUGGCGUUUAGCUUCCUAUAGUCGAUACACACUCUCCAACCAGUUUGAAUGUGAGUAGGCACAAGUUCAUUCUCUGCAUUUGCUACCACCGUCACUCCGGAUUUCUUCGGAACGCAUUGAACAGGCGAAACCCACCUACUAUCCGAGAUUGGAUAGAUAACUCCACAAUCUAAAAGCUUGAUGACUUCUUUCUUCACAACUUUCAUCAUAGGUGGGUUGAGUCGGUGUUGAGCCUCUCGAGAUGUUUUAGACCCCUCCUCCAAAAGUAUGUGAUGCAUGUAACUUGUGGGGCUAAUUCCUUUAAUGUCGGCCAACAUCCACCUAAUUGUUGUUUUGUACUCCUUAAGCACCCUCACUAACUUACCUUCUUCUUGUGCCGUGAGCAAAGUGGAAAUGAUAACGGGCAACGUCUCAUUCUCUCCCAAGUAAACGUACUUCAAGUGACUAGGCAAUGGCUUAAGUUCAAGUGUAGGUGCCUGCACAACUGAUGGAAGCAUCUUAUUAGCCGAAACUGAACUUAAAAUAGGGUCCAAAAACUUACCAGAUUGUGAUGGCAAUGACUCAAGGGCAGCCACCAUCUCAAUGACUUCAUCACUAGGGGGUACGGCAAGGGAGAGUUCUUGCAUGCCGUGAGUGUGCAUGGGUGUUGUCUCAACGUCUUGUUUGUCCAUUCCUCGUGCAAUGACCAAUUCAAGUGCAUCGUCAUUCAAUUUGUCAAAAUGGUCCUGCGCCAAAGAGUCAAUUACAUCAAUAGCAAAACAUGAAUGAUUCUCACUAGGAUAUUUCAUAGAAUCAGAAAGAUUGAAAUUAAUAACUUCCCCAUCAAACUCCAUCGUCAAUGUUCCAUUAAACACAUCAAUCUUUGUCCGAUCCGUUUUCAUGAAUGGCCUUCCAAGGAUGAUGGGCAAUGAAAGGGCAUGGUCUGAUUCAUCCAUCUCAAGCACGUAGAAAUCCGCCGGAAAGAUCAAAUGAUUAACUUGCACUAAAACAUCUUCCAAAACUCCCUUUGGAUAGGCAUUAGAUCUAUCGGCUAAUUGUAUAAUCACACCAUCAUUUUUCAACUCUCCUAGGUUCAUAGAUGCAUGACAUUUAUGGAUGCACCUAAGUCUAACAUGGCAGAUUCAAACCUAGUAUUACCAAUGACACAAGGAAUUGUAAAACUACCCGAAUCUUUGCAUUUAGGGGGUAGUUUGCGUUGCAAGAUGGCUGAGACAUUUUCACUUACCUUUACAACCUCCUUGGUCAAAAUCCUCUUCCUAGUGGUGCAAAGUUCUUUCAAAAAUUUACAUACCUUGGUACUUCCUUAAUUGCAUCCAAAAGAGGGAUAUUGACUUGAACUUUCCUAAAUGUCUCUAGAAUGUCCUUUUCAGCUUCCUCUUUUGUUUGCUUGAACCUACUAGGAAAAGGGACAUUCAAAGGAAAAUCAUUAGUAGGAAUGGAAUUGGACACGUUCUUACCUUUAUUGGACAUAUUGGAUGGCUUAGGAGCCAUGGGAACUUGCGGCAAUGGGAGUUCCUUCCUUGCUGUGGGCAUGCUUUGCUCCUCCUCUUUGAUGAUCAACUCUUCCACCUCAUUUGGGGCUGAUUUGGAUGGUUAGGGGGCUGCUCCCACUUGUUUCCCACUUCACAACAUGAUUGCCUUGGCAGAUUCAAAGCCUCAUUUCGGAUUCACAGCGGUUAAACUAGGCAACUUGCCUUGCUCUCGAAAUUGGCCCACAAACUCCGCAAUCUGCCCUACUUGCUUCUCCAACUCGUCCACCUUCUUGUCCUUAAUUUGCAUACUCUGCGCCAUAGAAGUUAGUAAUUGAAAAUUUUGAUCAUUAUCAAUAGACGAACCUGAUUUGUUUUGGGCAGGUUGUGCUUAGGGUUGAGUUGGUGCAAACGGCUUUUGAUAGAAACCCGGGGGUUAUUGCCUAAAUGUGCUUUGGUGUGGGCCUUGUUGGGGUUCUCGCCAUUUGAAAUUUAGAUGAUCCCUCCCACGGCAUUGAGGGUUUCCCACCCUCCAUUCUCUAUCAAUUGUGGGCACUUGUCCGUAAGGUGUCCUUGCUUGGAGCACAUGCCACAAGCACUCAUAUUUUGCACUUUUGGUCGUUCCACAACUUGAGAAAGAAAAGUAGUAAGGUUAGCCAUUUGAUUUUGAAAUUCGGAGAUGGCACUUACCUCAUUCACUUGGUGUUGUCGUGGGGUGCUCCUUUGUCCAACACCUUCGUAUUGUUGAGCGUUCAACGCUCGAUUAGCUAUCAAGGUCUUUACUGUCGUGGGAUCUUGUCCACCAAAGCUCCUUCCGCCGAGGCAUCUAGCAUUUGACGUUCGAUUGGUAGAAGCCCCUCGUAGAAGUAUUGUAGAAGAAGCUCCUCCUUCAUUUAAUGCUAUGGACAAGAAGCAACAAGAGAUUUAAAACGUUCAUAAUAUGUAGGAAAAGACUCACCUUCAUCUUGUUGAAUUCCACUUAUCCUUUUUCGUAAGAGAAUGACUCGAGAAGUUGGGAAAAACUUCUCCAAGAAAGCCCGUUUCAUGCUCUCCCAAGAUGUGACCGUUCUGGGAGCUAAUUCAUAUAACCAAUCUUUCGCCUUUUCCAUGAGAGAAAAGGGAAAAGCCUUCAUCUUCAAUAUACUCCCGUCAACAUUGAUUGGAGUCAUGCUCGAACACACCACCUUGAACACUUUCAAGUGCUUGUUAGGAUCAUCCAUGGACAACCCAUGGUACUUCAGAAUGUGGUGUAGCAAACUUGACUUCAACUCAAAGUCCUCGGUCUUUCCUUGGGCAGCUGCGGGAUAUUGAAUACAUAGAGGUGUGGCAUUGUCCAAUCCCGAAGCCGAAAGCUCCUUGAUUGUACAAUUGUCUUGUGUCAUGGCUUCCUCUACUUCACCCACUCUUGCUGUGGGUUCCUUAACUUCAACCUCAACUUCGGCUUUUGAAUUUGAACUUGAUUCACUAGGCUCUGGAUUCUUUCUUUUUCAUCUCAAUUCUCGCUCAAUUCGUCGUCAAAGUCCAAGAUGUGUUCACGAAUCGGAUGAGAACUCCGAGUCAUAAACUAGUACCUAAAAACAAGAAAACAAAACAGGGUCAGAAUCUGGAAUUAAUUAAAACAACUGAAAUAAAACAAUCCAAGGGAUUAGCAAUGUUGCUAAUCCCCGGCAACGGCGCCAAAAAUUUGAUGCGAAAUAUAUAAGCACACAAAUUAAACCCUCUUUUUAUCAAUUGUAGUAAAGAAUGUAAGUAGAGAUUGUUCUAGGCCGGGGAUUAGGAAGGAUUGCCAAAUCACUUGAAAACUGACUCAAAACGUAAAAACAAAGUUUAAACACUAAACUAGACUCAAGAAUGCAAAACUAAACUAUAAAACACCAAAACAAACCGAAAGACUCAAAACAGCAAAUAAACACUCAAAACUGCCUUAAAAACACUUUCUGGGCAGUUUUGAACACCUAACACUAAAUUGGACGAAAUUGGGUUAUAACUUGACUUAAGACCCUUAAAAACACAAACUAAAUUAAUUUCUACUUAAUCUAACACUUUAAAAUAAAUGGGGAAUUGGUUUUGACGAAAAUUGAAAACAAAAACAAAACUUGUAAAUUGAACAGAUUCUAAAACGAAUUUGAUAAAAGUGAAUGGAUGGAAAGCUAGCUAAGGGGUUAUUCUCCACACAUGUCACACUUGCAUACAAAACGAUUUCUAAUUGCUUCUCAAUAAACCAUGAAUUCCCAACACCCCAAGUUAAUUAGAUACGCUUAAAUUAACUUUCAGAUUUCCCUUAAGUUAAUGAAUUGGAUGGAAAAGCGCAUCGCAACCAAAUUAUUCCUCAAAAGUUCCCUAAAUGAAAGCACAUAAUAGAGAUACAAUUAAAGAUCAUUACGUUCAAUGGAAAUCAUAAGUACUGACGAGGCACUCGUAACUAUGAAAGCGCAUGAUACUUAUGCCAAGAAUUUACUUAACACGAUUGUGAUCAACAACCUUUACUACUUGUGAAUAUAAGUUCGUAACGAUUAGGUGAAAUUCCCUUAUAUCCUAGCAUUAAACUUAUGCAUGAAAAUUAAGCGUGCACUCUUAACCAACACACACAAAUCAGUUUUAAUUCAUGUAGAUAAGCAAAUUGAAUUUACAACUUAUGAAACGCAAUUAGAAGUAAUCAAAUCAUAUACCAAGCAUAAACAUGGUUUCGAAUCCCCCCUAGCCAAGGGGGGUUUAGUUCCUCAUAUGCACAAAGAAAGAUAAAUAAGUUUAGACAUUGAAAUCCAAAGAAAGAGAACACCUAAAAUGCUCCAACUUCGCAGCAGGUGCAUCCACGAUUCCUCCUUCCUCCUUAUUGCGGCACAGAGACUUUGGACAGGUUCUUUGGGUUAUUAAAUGGUGUAGAAUGGAUGGGGGAUGUAUGGUGGUGUUUAGGAUGGAUGGGUGGUGCAGCAAGGGUUGAUUUUUGGCAGAAAUUUGAGAGAAUGGUGGUGGAAGGAUGCGGCAAAGGUAGGAGAUGAGUUUCUGACGUGAAUGGUUGUGUAUGAGAGGUGGUAAAUUUGGCCAAAGGGGUUUAUGAGUAUAUAUAGGCAUUCAAAACCCUAGGUAAAUCAGAUAUGGACUUGGAUAACCCAAAUCCAUCAGGAAAUAGGUUUAAACAAUCAGAAUUUACAAGGAAACAAGCCCAAAGGUGCGGCAAAUAAGGGAUAGGGAGGAUAGGGCUUCUAGAAUGUCUUGCAAGGCAAGGAAAACAGAUUCUAACAAGGGCUAGGUGCGGUAGGUUUUGGGAAAUAAGGAUAGGGCUUCUAGAAAGCCCAAAACCAAGAGGAAAUAUGCCCUAACCCACGGCAAGGAUGAGAAAAUAUUCUAAAACCCUUCUUUGUGUCUUCCAAUGCUUAGGAACCUUUUAAUGUUGCUGAAACAUAAGGCCAACUAGGUUUAGGAAAGAUCAACCCAAAGUAGAAACUUUUAGGCUUAACUUUCCUACUUCAAGUAGGAAACCUUGUUUGAGUAGGAAUCUUCAUUCUUUUAGGAAUCCAUCUUCAACUAGGAAUCCCUAGUUGAUUAGGAAUCCUUCUUCAAUUAGGACUCCUUCUUGGACUAGGAAUCCUCAAAUCUUCAAAUCUUCAAUUUCGCCUAAACCUUUUGUUCCAAGCAUGUGCUAUUCACUCUAAGCUCACAUUUGCUCCAAAAAGCUCCAAUUUGCAUCAUUUUGUAUAAUAUGCCCUUAAAACCUGAAAAUACAUAAAACUAGCUUAAAAGACUACUUAAACUAAGAAAACAUAACGAAAAUGCAUAAGAACUAGCUAACUAAGGCGCAUAAAUAUGCUCUUAUCAAUGUCCAUGAAUAGCUCAGCAACUCUAACAAAUAUACAAGAUAAGCUCACAGUUCAUGUUCCCCCAGAAGACCUGCAAUCAAUUUAGACAUUAAACAAUGAUCAACGCACUGCAUUCGACAUAAUUAUGAGAGCUGUUACAUGUAAUCAAUCAUCAACUUUCUUUGUAGAUGGCCCCAGUUGUACUGGAAAGGCUUACCUUUAUCGUGCAAUUCUUGCUUCGCUAAGGAAUGAUGGCCUCAUAGCUAUUGCAGCAACCACAUCUGGUAUUGCAACUACUAUUUUACCCAGAGGAAGAACAACACAUUCACGAUUUAAGAUUCCUAUCGACUUAUUGUCCACCAACACUUGUUCUAUAAGCAAGCAAGGAAUCAAAUUUGGCGGAGCUUCUAAGGCGUUCAGCUAUGCUUAUAUAGGAUGAAGCCACUAUGACUCAUAGGAAAGCAUUUGAGGCUUUAGAUAGAACCUUACGAGAUAUAACGGGCGUGGAAACACAAUUUGGUGGCAAAGUGAUGAUUCUUGAAGGAGAUUUUCGUCAAUUUCUUCUCGUUAUGCCUUAUGGAACCAAAGUGCAACCGAUAGAUGCAUGCAUUGUAAAAUGCUCAUUAUGGAAUGAGAUUCAAGUUAUCCGGUUGAAACAUAAUAUGAUAGCUCAACAAGACCCUAAUUUUGAAGAAUUCCUACUCCGUAUUGGUGAUGGAAAUGAGUCAUUUGUAAAAGAUGAUAUGAUUAGAAUCCCGAAUUCAGGUGUUAUUCCUUGGCAUGGCGAUGAAUCAAUUGGUGAGCUUAUUGGUUUUUGGUUUUGUAUUUCCAAGAUUAGAGGAGAAUGCUUUCAACUUUUCUUAUAUGGUUGAUAGGGCUAUCAUCACCCCAAGGAAUAAAGGCGUUGACAAGUUAAAUGAAGUGGUGUUAAACUCAUUUCCUAGGGAACAACACAUUUAUUACUCUUUUGAUAGAGUUGACGAUGACCCUCAAAACUUAUAUCAACAAAAGUUUUUGAAUUCUAUAACUCCAAGUGGCUUACCUACUCAUAAGUUGACUUGGAUUUUGCAAUGGCAUAUGAUCUCUUCUUAGCCAACACCUUCUUUAAGAAGAGAGAAGAACAUGUGAUCACCUACAAGAGUGGGUCGUCAAAAACACAAAUAGAUUUUCUUCUAAUGAGGAAAGGGGAUCGUAUAACUUGUAAGGAUUGCAAAGUUAUACCAGGAGAGAGCGUGGCUAAUCAACAUCGCUUGUUGGUGAUGGAUGUACAUAUCAAAAGAGUAAGACAAAAGAACAAGACUUGGAAGUGCCCAAGGACUAGAUGGUGGAAUCUAAAAGAAGAAAAACAAGCCAUUUUCAAAGAGAAGGUAAUCACCCAAUGUGUGUGGGAUAGAGAGGGGGAAGCUAGCCAAAUGUGGGAUUCCAUGGCUAGUUGUAUCCGAAAAGUAGCAAAAGAGGUAUUAGGAGAGUCCAAGGGCUUUGCCCCACACCAAAAGGAAUCUUGGUGGUGGAAUGAGGAGGUACAAACAAAGGUGAAGGCUAAGAAGGAAUGUUGUAAAGCCUUAUACAAGGAGAGGACUGAUGAAAAUGGUGAAAGGUAUAGAAAAGCGAAGCAAGAGGCGAAGAAAGCUGUCAGAGAAGCUAAGUUAGCGGCUUACGACGAUAUGUAUAAACGACUAGAUACCAAAGAAGGAGAGUUGGAUAUCUAUAAACUAUCUAGAGCAAGGGAAAAGAAGACAAGGGACCUAAACCAAGUGAGGUGCAUCAAGGAUGAGGAUGGAAAGGUUCUUGCUACAGAGAACGCGGUUAAAGACAGAUGGAGAGGUUAUUUUCAUAAUCUUUUCAAUGAAGGACAUGAAGUGAGUGCUUCUUUAGGGGAGUUGAGUAACUCAGAAGAGUGUAGAAACUACUCUUUUUAUCGUCGAAUCCAGAAGGAAGAAGUGGUUGUAGCUUUGAAGAAGAUGAAGCAUAAAAAAGCAAUAGGCCCAGACGAUAUACCAAUCGAAGUGUGGAAACUUUUGGGAGAGACAGGUAUAACAUGGCUCACUGACCUUUUCAAUAGGAUUUUGAAAACGAAGAAGAUGCCAAAUGAGUGGCGAAUGAGCACUUUGGUGCCUAUCUACAAGAAUAAGGGCGACGUACAAAAUUGCAUGAACUAUAGGGGUAUUAAGCUAAUGAGUCAUACAAUGAAGCUCUGGGAGAGAGUCAUUGAGCAUAGAUUGAGGCAAGAGACACGGGUUUCGGACAACCAAUUCGGGUUCAUGCCAGGGCGCUCAACCAUGGAGGCAAUCUAUCUCUUACGAAGAUUGAUGGAAAGAUAUAGAGAUGGGAAAAAGGAUUUACACAUGGUCUUUAUAGAUUUGGAAAAAGCGUAUGAUAGGGUCCCAAGAGACAUUCUUUGGAGGAUUUUAGAGAAGAAAGGAGUACGAGUAGCAUAUAUCCAAGCUAUAAAGGAUAUGUAUGAAGGAGCAAAGACUGCCGUAAGAACUCAUGAAGGACAAACCGAAAGCUUUCCCAUAACUGUAGGAUUACAUCAAGGCUCAUCCUUAAGUCCUUACCUUUUUGCGUUGGUAAUGGAUGAGUUAACACGACAUAUUCAAGAUGAUAUUCCUUGGUGUAUGCUUUUCGCAGACGAUAUAGUGUUGAUAGAUGAAACUCAGGAAGGGGUAAAUGCAAAGCUUAACCUUUGGAGAGAAGUGUUGGAAUCUAAAGGUCUUCGCCUAAGCCGAUCAAAGACAGAAUAUAUGGAGUGCAAGUUCAGUGCAAAUGGAGGCCAAAACGAGUUAGGGGUGAGGAUCGGAGAUCAAGAAAUACCAAAGAGCGACCGUUUUCGUUACCUAGGAUCUAUCUUGCAAAAGAACGGAGAAUUAGAUGGAGAUCUCAACCAUAGAAUACAAGCUGGAUGGAUGAAGUGGAAGAGUGCAUCCGGUGUGUUGUGUGACCGCCGUAUGCCACUGAAGCUCAAGGGAAAAUUUUAUAGGACGGCAAUAAGGCCGGCGAUGCUGUAUGGCACAGAAUGUUGGGCGGGUGAAACAUCAACACGUACACAAAAUGGGUGUAGCGGAGAUGAGGAUGCUUCGUUGGAUGUGUGGGCACACGAGAAAGGAUAAGAUUAGGAAUGAGGAUAUCCGGGGUAAAGUAGGAGUAGCCGAAAUUGAAGGAAAGAUGAGAGAAAAUCGGUUACGGUGGUUUGGACAUGUGCAAAGAAGGCCUACUGACGUUCCGAUUAGAAGAUGCGACUAUGGGACAGAGGUUCAGGGCCGAAGGGGUAGAGGAAGACCUAGGAAAACUUUGGAAGAGACUCUAAGAAAAGACUUAGAGUACUUGGAUCUAACGAAGGACAUGACACAGGAUCGAGCACAAUGGCGUUCUAAGAUUCAUAUAUAGCCGAUCCCACUCAGUGACUUGGAUUUUCCAAGUCUCCAACCGAGAAGUUUUCCUCACUCGGGAAAUUAAGGGAACACUACCCCAACCUACAUGCUCCACUCAGAAAGCUUCAACAUACAAGCUUUAACAAAAGAAAAUUCAAAGAACUUAGCGAAGAAGGCUUUGGUGUAUUUAACACAAUACGUUGAAAUGAAGGAAAGCUUAUUUAUUGAUAUCCCCGAUAAGCUACAAAUAUGUACAUAUACAUGAGUCAAAAUAAGCACACAAGAGGGAGCCUUCACAAAGGUUGCUUAGGAGAAGUCUCAGCAGUCGGUAGAGCCCCAGAAAGAGAAGGCACCGGAGGGGGAUCAUUUGGAGCCUCAGUACUGGACAGAACCCUAGAAGGAGGAGGCAUCAGAGGUUGAUCAUUUGGAGCUUCAUUACGCGGUACAGCCCCAGAAGACGAAGGCAAUAAAUGCCUUUGGAACAAACCCACAAAUCUCUGAUGAUCAAGUAAAACCUGACCAUCAGUUUCCUUCAUCUGGUCAAGCUUCCUCUUCAUGUUUGUAGCAUAGUCAUGUGCGAGCCGGUGCAACUGUUUAUUCUCAUGCUUGAGCCCUCUAAUCUCCUGUUUGAGACUCAUCACUUCAGCCGCCAAUGAUUCAACUUGGCGGGUUCGAGCAAAUAGGCGUUGUGCCAUAUUAGACACAGAACCUGCACACUGAACACUGAGAGCCAGCGAAUCCUUAACAGCUAACUCAUCAGACCGUUUGGAAAGUAGUCUGUUAUCUUUGGGAGUGAGAAGGUUCCUGGCCACCACCGCAGCGGUCAUAUCAUUCUUCAUCACGGAAUCCCCAACGGUAAGAGGACCAGUAGGGGAGACGAAGGAUGGGCGCCAUAUGUUGUCUGGAGAAGGCGGGGCUGCCUCUUCAACAAGGUUCAAGUCAAAACGACGGUCGGAGGGGCCAGACAUUUUCAAAGGUGUUGAAAGAGAGAAGAGGUCGGACAAAUCAAGAUCUUAGAAGUGCAAGAAUGAAGCUUCUACUGGUGGAGAUUCAAGUGUGCUUUGGAACUUAAUGCCAGCCCCUAUAAAAAUCUGCACUCGACGAAGCUUCAGAAAUCGAAGAGGCGCCUGCUCAGAAAUCGAAGAGGCGUUUGCUUUCUCAAAAGCUGGGCUGCUUAGAGAUCACGAGGGUUGAUCUCAGAAAUCGAAGAGGCGUUUGCUUUCUCAAAAGUUGGGCUGCUCAAAUACCACGAAGGCCGAUCUCAAAAAUCGAAGAGGCGCUCGCUUUCUCAAAAGCUGGGCUCCCCAGAGACCACGAGGGCCGAUCUUAGAAAUCGAAGAGGCACCUACUUUUCCAGCCUUUUCCAGCCUUGUCAGCACCUGUCACACGCACACUCAGUUUUGCGGAAAUUAUGGGCAUUCUGUCAAAGACUUCUGGGGAAGUAGAAAACACAUGAAUCUUACUGUUCAAUCACCCACUUCCCAUACGCAACAAUAGCUCAUGGGUACCACAAAUAACUUUGCCAAAGUUCUCUGCCAAAGUUGAGCACGUGAAGCUUGCAGCUCCCACUACAUCGCUCUGACCAAGAAGGGUAAAAGAAUAGCAAAAGAAACAGCACUAACAAAGUUUAGACCCAUAAAUUUUUGAACGGUCUAGCUACCAUAUUAUUACCCACAAGGGUAAAGGAACAGUACCACUGCUGGAUAAUUGGAAAGUCCCUGUGUGUCAACCUCUGUGCUUCGUGGCAAGGUAGACUAGCAAACAUGCCCAACCUUUACUCACAUUCGAGAAAACACUCCCAAUAAGAUUGCUUGCUCAAAAUCGAAGAGGCACCGUCCUCCGAAUCUCGAGAGCCAGACUCCCAACAUGACUACUUUCUUAAAAAAUCGAAGAGAGGGUAAAGGAACAGUACCAUUGCUGGAUAAUUGGAAAGUCCCUGUGUGUCAACCUCUGUGCUUCGUGGCAAGGUAGACUAGCAAACAUGCCCAACCUUUACUCACAUUCGAGAAAACACUCCCAACAAGAUUGCUUGCUCCAAAAUCGAAGAGGCACCGCCUUCCGAAUCUCGAGAGCCAGACUCCCAACAUGAUUACUUUCUCAAAAAUCGAAGAGACACUGCUCCCCGAAUCUCGAGAGCCAGACCCCCAGCAUGAUUGCUUUCUCAAAAAUCGAUGAGGCAUCGUUUCUCCGAAUCAAUCGAAGAGGCGCUCGCUUUCUCAAAAGCUGGGCUGCUCAGAGACCACGAGGGCCGAUCUCAGAAAUCAAAGAGGCACCUACUUUUCUAGCCUUGUCAGCACCUGUCACACGCACACUCAGCUUUGCAGAAAUUAUGGGCAUUCUGUCGAAGACUUCUGGUGAAGUAGAAAGCACAUGAAUCUUACUGUUCAAUCACCCACUUCCCACACGCAACAAUAGCUCAUGGGUACCACAAAAUAACUUUGCCAAAGUUCUCUGCCAAAGUUGAGCACGUGAAGCUUGCAGCUCCCACUACAUCGCUCUGACCAAGAAAGGUAAAAGAAUAGCAAAGAAACAGCACUAACAAAAGUUUAGACACAUAAAUUUUGAAGGUCUAGCUACCAUAUUAUUACCCACAACUGUAAAGGAACAGUACCACUGCUGGGAUAAUUGGAAAGUCCCUGUGUGUCAACCUCUGUGCUUCGUGGCAAGGUAGACUAGCAAACAUGCCCAACCUUUACUCACAUUCGAGAAAACACUCCCAAUAAGAUUGCUUGCUCCAAAAUCGAAGAGGCACCGUCCUCCGAAUCUCGAAUCUCGAGAGCCAGACUCCCAACAUGACUACUUUCUCAAAAUCGAAGAGAGGGUAAAGGAACAGUACCAUUGCUGGAUAAUUGGAAAGUCCCUGUGUGUCAACCUUUGUGCUUCGUGGCAAGGUAGACUAGCAAACAUGCCCAACCUUUACUCACAUUCGAGACAACACUCCCAACAAGAUUGCUUGCUCCAAUCGAAGCCAAAAUCGAAGAGGCACCGUCCUCCGAAUCUCGAGAGCCAGACUCCCAACAUGAUUACUUCCUCAAAAAUCGAAGAGACACUGCUCUCCGAAUCUCGAGAGUCAUACCCCCAUCAUGAUUGCUUUCUCAAAAAUCGAAGAGGCAUCGUUCUCCGUCUCGAUCUCGAAUCUCGAGAGCCAGAUACCACAGACCACUUUUUCAAAGUGCUCUGACAGAGUUAAAACAUGUGAAACAGGCAGCUCCCACUACCGUGCUAUGACCAAGCAGGGUAAAGGAAUAGCAUUACUACUUGUUGUUAGGGAGACUCCUAUAUAUGUCGACCUCCAUCCCCAACGGACAGGCAGACCUGCAAAAAUGCUCAACCCUUCAUCAUAUCUGAGAGGGCACUCCCAACGAAGCCUUUCGAAAUAUUCAGCUUUCUUUCCCCCCGAUAAUACCUCUGCAAACAAGCUAUACUAGAGCAAGAAUAUCUCAUAUCAUCAGGGUUAAAAGCAAGAGUAUCCCAUAUCAUGCUUUUUCCCUGUCUUUUCUUUUGGCCUUGUUUUUACCUGCAAGACAAGGAGAAAGAGAGCAAUCAGUCAGCACUUGGAAUCAAGCUUCCAGCCAGGAACUGACUGCCUGGAACCCCUUACCUGAUUACUUACCUGGCAUUGCUCUCGAGUACUCAUCUUCAACAUCUUAUGUUUCCAGGGAAGAUUCCGCAUCUGCUUGAGGAACAGAUAGGGCAAGUGCGAAGGAUACAAGGAAGCAUGUGGAGACAAGCGUAACAGCACACGUGCCGAUACAUUCAUUACUCUGUCAAAAGCAAAAGUAUCCCAUAUCAGCAGGGUGGAACGUACUCUAGAUUUGAUGGACUUGUUUUGACCCUCAAAUUCUUCAGUCGGCCUUAUACUCUGAAGGAAACCAGAAAACCCUCCAGCUCAGUUCAAGAAUAAGCCUGUGGAAAGUUACUUCUUCAAAAGCAAAAGUAUCUCAUAUCAUCUCUUCUCAUUUUUCUUCUCUUUUAUCCUUCAUGCUGCUGCAAGAUGGGGAGAAGGUGAACAAUCAGUCGGAGCUCUGAUUGCUUACCUUGUCUGUCACCUCUUUCAGCAGACCCCCUAGCUCGGCGACUUGGGGGACUCCUACUACAUGGUUUGUAUCGCGCUUGACCAAGCCUGAAACUACAAGUAAGCUUCAAGUGAAAUUGAUACAUUACCUUGUGCAUCUCCACCAGUUAAAGAUACCACCCCUGGAUGGAGGAAGAGUACUUCCAGAGAAGAUGCCACAUCUACCUAUGAGACAGAUAAGGCAAGUCAAGACGACACACCACACUCCGAUAUACUUAGAAGUUUCGUGAUUACGAGAUCAUUCUCCCACAAUAUUUCCUAAUGUCAUUUGUACUAAAUCAUUCACUUGUACUCACUAAAUGAGAGCUUGAACCUAUGUACUUGUGUAAACCCUUCACAAUUAAUGAGAACUCUUCUAUUCCGUGGACGUAGCCAAUCUGGGUGAACCACGUACAUCUUGUGUUUGCUUUCCUAUCUCUAUCCAUUUAUAUACUUAUCCACACUAAUGACCGGAGCAAUCUAGCGAAGAUCACAAAAAGCGAUCGUUUUCGCUACCUAGGAUCUAUCUUGCAAGAGAACGGAGAAUUAGAUGGAGAUCUCAACCAUAGAAUACGAGCUGGAUGGAAAGAGUGCAUCCGGCGUGUUGUGUGACCGUCGUAGGCCACUGAAGCUCAAGGGAAAAUUUUAUAGGACGGCAAUAAGGCUAGCGAUGUUGUAUGGCACAGAAUGUUGGGUGGGUGAAGCAUCAACACGUACACAAAAUGGGUGUAGCGGAGAUGAGGAUGCUUCGUGGGAUGUGUGGGCACACGAGAAAGGAUAAGAUUGGGAAUGAGGAUAUCCGAGGUAAAGUAGGAGUAGCCGAAAUUGUAGGAAAUAUGAGAGAAAAUCGGCUCCGGUGAUUUUGAACAUGUGCAAAGAAGGCCGACUGACGCUCCGGUUCGAAGAUGUGACUACGGGACAGAGGUUCAGGGCCGAAGGGGUAGAGGAAGACCUAGGACAACUUUGGAAGAGACUCUAAGAAAAGACUUAGAGUACUUGGAUCUAACGGAGGACAUGACACAAAACCGAGCGCAAUGGCGUUCUAGGAUUCAUAUAGCCGACCCCACUUAGUGGGAAAAGGCUUUGUUGUUGUUGUUGUUGUUGUUGUUGCUAUUUUUCAUUCAGACUUGAGUAUAAAAUUUGGUUCUCUUUAAUCUAUUUAUGAAUGAAAGAACUACUUGGUCUAUUUCUAAAGCUUGAUAAAAUAGUUGAGGCCCCUAAUUCUUUUCUUUAAUUUUGAAUGCAUAGGGGUUGUUGUAUAGGAUAUGCUAAUCUUUGAAAAUGCAAUAUGAAAACUAUUAUGUAAUUCUAGGAGAGCUGAGUUAUUCAUGAUACAUAUAUAAGGUUAUGUCUUCUCUAUAUGCAAUUAAAUUCCUUUCCUUUUAUUAAUAUUUUUAAGAAAUAAGAGACUAUUUUGAGAUUGUGUAUUCACAUUAGCUUUGAUUUGUUGACUCUAAUGUUCUUUUCACUCUUUGUUGCAGGCCUUGCUCUCAUCUUUAGUAAUGUUCAAAAUUCAACCUUUGCUUGAAAGUUGGAAGUGGUACCAAAAUUCUGAAAUUAGUAAAGUUCCAUGUCAAAUCAUCAUUGGAAAUUAUUUCAAAAUGCGUUGUAGCCCAACUCAUGUGUACUCAGCAACUUCUAAUUUAUUCAAAUUUGGAGUGUUUAUGUAUUAUGUCUAUUGUAUUUUUAUCUGCAUUCUGGAAGUUAUGUAGAAUCUGCCACAUCCUAUACUCUACUUUUGGAUGUUUCAAUUAUGCCGAAACAAUAAAAAAAGAAAAUAAUCAAAAGUAAAUUUGAUUGCACACGUAUAUCGUGUGUGCCUAUUGCUAGUUGUAUUAAAUAUAUGUAAAUUUUGUAGCUAGUUCUUAUUUUAUGAAAUUUGGCUACAAUCAUCAGUUUAACAAUCUGAACUUUUUAUCUGCUUAGUGAUCUUAACCAUUCAACUCGUACGAAGCCAUAAGAAAACCACUAUAAAGUCUCCAACACUCUAAUCAUAUCAAGCACCAAAUAUAAACACUGAGGGUGCAUUUACUAAUCCGUAAUCAAACUAAGAGGAAUUGAAAUGAGGUGGAAUCAGAAUCAGAUUCAUGUUGAAGUUGUUUACUAAAAUUGUCUGGAAUCGGAGUAGGAAUGAUGUCGAGUCCAUAUAAGUUGUUUACUAAUUCACUUCAAUCGGAAUGAAAACUAGGUUGGUUACUAUAUUGCCCUUACAUAAAUAAAUUAUUUUGAUACUAAUUAAUUAAAUUAAAUUCUUAAUUAAAUUUAUAUAAUAAAAUUCAUCUAUAUAAACAUUUAUAAAUAGAUUUUAUUUAUUUAUUAAAAGAUGGCAUGAAUAAUGUUGAGUUCAUAUAAGUUGUUUACUAAUUCAUUUCAAUCGAAAUGAAAACUAGGUUGAUUACUAAAUUGCCCCUACAUAAAUAAAUUAUUUUGACACUAAUUAAUUUAAUUAAAUUUAUAUAAUAAAAUUAUCUAUAUAAAAAUAUAUAAAUAUGUUUUAUUUAUUUAUUAAAAGAUGGCAUAAUGAGUGUCAAAUGAAGGGCAAUGUUAGGAUAAUAAAAAACAAGUGAGGGCAUAAUAGAAAUAAAAGAUGCAUUCCCGAUUCCCCUACCCUUAGGGAAUUCAAAUACCUCACAAAAUUAAGGAAUCUCGUUCCUCCAAUUUCAGGAAUUGGAUUCCUUGUUUCGUGUAGGCUCCACCAUUUUUUUUAUUCCUUAAUAUUUAGUAAACACCAGAAUACUCCGUAAUCGGAAUUCAAUUAUGUUUCUUUAUUCCGUUUACCCUUACGUAAACAUGCCAUGAAAUUACUGGGAAUUAAAAAUAUUCUCAUUCAUUACAACAAGUAAAGUAAAGAAGGAUUAAUUAAUGGUAGCUCACUUGAAGAAAAAAAAUUUCUCUAAUGCUCCCCAUAGUAACGUAGAAACUGUAACCAGAGACCACUCACUCUUCAGAACGUAGAAAGUAGAAACUAGCCGAGCUGAUGCGCGUAAUGUUUUUCACUGUAAUCAUAAUCCGAGAUUUCGCUUAAAAUCUUCACUCUGGGACCUCCCCAUCUCACUAAAUUCUCAAAUUUACAUCUGGGUUUUCUUGUUUCUCUGGAUUCUGACUCAUUCAUUGCAAAUUUUUUUAAUGUUCAAGCACAAUGCGUCUCAUUCCUUCACUGACACCCACUGAUUUCUUCUGAUACAGCAUCUGGGUUUUUCUUAAGCUUCAGCUCCAACCAUUUCCCGGAAAUAAUUUUCUUCUUCUGGGUUUUUUGGCAUUUCAUCAAACAGUUGGAGUGCAACUGGGUCGCAAGUUACAUACCAACAUGAGUACUCCAUUGCCUACUCGCCAAUUUUUUGCUCAAUAUCUUGAAUCCGGUGACAACGGGCGUCAGAUAAAACAUCAAAUUCCUACUGAGGAGAAAGAAAUCGAAGCUCAAUCUGACAUCAAGGCCCAAGCCUUCAAGAAACCCAGAACUUCUGAAGCCGUAUCGAACUUGAAUGCGGCCUCGGGGCAGAACAAAAUGUUGCCUAGCUAUUACAAGACCCAACUGUGCCGUAAAUUCCAAAUGCGUUGUUGCUCUUCUGGGCAGAGAUGUUCCUUUGCUCAUGGCAUCAGUGAUCUCCGCAGGACUUUGCGUGAUGCGCAAGGAAUGGAAACUGAGAAGGGAAACUUGGCCAGGAGGACUUGGAAUGGUGAUCAUGGAAGUUCUAAUGGAGUGAGAAUAUGCAGGUCGUUCUUUAGAUGGGGAACAUGCAGUUACGGAGACAAAUGCCGCUUUCGUCAUGUCAAUCCUGAAAAUAUCAGAGAUAGUUCGUUCAUAAGCAUUUCAACUGCUGGUGGUUCUGCUCAAUUUGACUGCAAGAAGUCUCUGGGUAUGGAUUUUGACACUACUUAGUUUAAUAUGUUCAAAUGAUGAAUUUUUCGGGUCCAAUGUAAAUUACAAUUUUCGAUAGGAUACCUGUAUUGCAUAGCUUUGCUAAUUUUUCCUUUUGCGUGUACACGUGUGUUGAUCGUAUGAACGGUUUAGAUGGUCUACUCUUUGUUAGAGUAUCGGUUGAUUUCUCAUGUGCUCUAGAUUCGUUUAACUUGCACUACAAGAAAAGUUGUCAUAAGUAAAACCCAAUUGGUUCCGUAUCAGAAAAUUAAGAAACCACACUCGACCUUAUGAGCUUUUUCCGUUAAGAAGGUAUUGAAUCAUGCCAAUAGGUUGGACUGCUGAAGGACUUGAACAUUAGAAGAGGCACCCGGGACAUUCAUCUAAUGAACUAGGUAUUUAUAUUGCAUAAUGCUGAAUCACUGAUUGCAAUUUCCUCAGUUGUUAUUUCGAAAGGGGCCAGUCUUCUCCAAGUAUGAAAGAAAGCAAAAAAGACCAGACCUUUUCCAAUUUGAUUAAUUCAAAUUGAUAUUCGAUGCAUAUAAUUUCAUAGUGGCAUCAGACUUUCAUUUUCGUCUUGCUGCAGAUUUGGUAUAUAGGUUUAUUCUGAGAUUGUUUCUUUCUGUCUGGUUGUCUUGGCUUGUAAUUAAAGUGGGCCAACUUUUUCAUAUGCUUUUAUAAAAGUUGUGCAUUAGUCGUUCAUACAAUUUAACCACCAUCUUUUUCUAUUUAGUUUUACCUGGCAUUUCAAAUUGUGGCACAAAUUCAUCUGUAGCCAUCUCCAAUGAUAAACGAGAGAAGUUGAUGACCCUGUAGAACCGAUCUUGAUUCAAGAAUUGCUCACUAUUGACUGAUGUGCAAUGAUUUUAAAAGAACAAAUUUUGAGAUGCAUUGUUGUUAAUUUUGCAGAACUAAGGAAGCUUUGUGGCUAUACGACACUGGAAAGUGGAAGUGUCCAGGCUAACAGUUUAACUACUUAUACGAGGGGCAACAAUGCAUCAAAUCGUAGGAUGGGGGUUGCAACUGCUUAUAAACAAGGGCAGAGUACGCAUUGCAACUUAGAGUGGAACGAACUUGAGAAAAUGAGUCGCAUCUAUGCUGAUUGGAUUGAAGAUAUGCCUCUUCUACAUGGCCCACCAAGCAAAGUGGAGUUCUAGUCGAGUUUACUAUGACGUGUAAGGGAAUAGAUUACUUCUCUAUCCAUAGUAGAUAUAAGAAGCUUCUUGUAAUUUCCCCUAACACCUUCCUUUUGUUAUAUGAGUGUGGGAUUGACUUUGAGUGCGACCUGUAGUCUAGUAAACAGGAGAUGCUUCAUACCCAAGACCCUACAAAGCCAGAUUUUAAAUAUCUUGAUUUUCCGUAUCUCUCUUGUCUAGGGAUUUUAGCCGUUAUCUUUUGAAUUUUAUGCACGUUGUUAUUGUAAAGACAUAUUUUCAGUUUACAAGAUAUGGUGCGGCACUGUCACAUGAAUGUUUGGCUAGUGUGAACUAAGUCAAAAUCUUAUGUUCAAGUGCAGAUAACCUCAGAAAAUUCUCCUUUGCCUAUUUGAGUUCUUGAUUCUCACACGUGUGCGUCUGUUUGCGUGCAUGAAUUUGCAGUCUUCUUGCAAACUAAAACUAUAGUGGCACGACAAGGACUUAAACCCCUGUCGUGUUUGGGGCCAGGACGGCCUCAAGCCACCAGGAUAGCCCCUUCUGGAUACCUUUGGUUUCAGAUUUAGUACAAUAGGUCUUAAUCUUCACAUGCAGAAACAGUAAAAGAAAUAGACUUACUCUAACAUUUGAUGAACAUCAGAAUAUACAACGGUAGGCCAGUGGCCAUGCUAUUGGUAAUAGGUAUUCCAUGUUCGUCUCUUUGGAACUGGCGCUGGUAAAGCUCCAGACGAAUUUCUGUCUUUACUCUUUUGAUGAACUGCACUCGAACUCUACACCUCUAGGACGGAAAGAAUCACUCAAACGUUGUAGAUAUAUCAUCUCUGAAGAAUAUGAAACAUGUUCAUAUCCUUCACAUUCUGGAAUAUCCUAAUUUGGACGAAUUUGCAAUUUAUUGUGCAGAACUAGCACGUAAGGUUCCUCAGAUGUCAAUGAUGACAAUUCAUGUGUGCUUCCUUGGCCUUCAGUUUGUACAAGAUGCCAAAAUCUUCGGAGAAGAAUGUCCAGCGCUGAAGAAGCUGCCACUUAAAAGAGGACUGAAGCAUUCUACGACACUUGGCCGACAAUGGUGACCGGAGAGUCUGCUGUGAAUUGUAUAAUAGUAGAAUGCAUGAUUUUCUUAGAACCCAAUGUGAGGUUCAACAAUAACAAUAUACAGGAGCGUAGAGUGAAUGAAAAGAAUCACAUAACAUGGAAUUUCGAGGUUUUGAAUAUCCAAACAACAGCACAAUAUUGAAUAUAUUAUGGUAUGCACCUGUAUACAAGCAGAAUCAUCCUCCUUGUUCUUACGUAAGGCCCUCUCGCUGCCUCACUUAGUUGUCGUAUGUUGGAAGCAGGGAAGAAAAACUUUUCAAGCAUCUUCGUCCUCCCACUCUAAGAAAGACCACCAUGCCUCAUGUCCUCUGAUUACAAUAUUGCUCCCCUCAGCACUUGUGGAGUUGAGUGGAAGCUUUCUCAGCGUUGGAGAUGCAGUUACCUUGAUUUCUUUCAGGUACGGAAAGGGCAGGGGACUAUCAUGUAUGCUACUCAGCCGUGGAAGCAAACUCAAAAUCAGAACGGUAAGUUUUCCAAAAGGGUUAAGUUCUUGUACCACAUUUCCAACUCCACCCAUCUUUCCAGAUUGAUUAUUUUCUCAAUAUCACAGCAGGCUUCUACACGUAAAUGGCAGAGAUUCGGGGCAAAAAUGAGCCAAGUCAAGUCCGUUAGAUUUGGGCAUUGUGAUACUUCUAUACACUGAAGGCAAAGGAAGCAAUUUUGUUUUAUCAUCAUUAAAUCCCGGGGAUCAUUGGGUGCUCGUCCUGCCCAAUAAACUUCCAAUUGUUGAAUUGUGGCCAAGUGGCCAAGUGGACAACAAAAUAAAACAACUUUCGACUAAUAAACAAACCAUAAUAAAAAAAGGUGAAAGACAUCAUGAUGAGGAGGCAUCAUGAUUAUGUUUGUUGAAAAGAAAAAUUGAUGGUCAUGAUGAUGUUUUUGAGUUUUUUAUUGGGUGCUUUUGUAUUGAUGAAGUGAGGAUACGGAAGUGAGAAUGAUAGAGGAAGUGUGCACCAUUUUUCUGUUUUAGUAGCCCAUCUUUGAGAGAGCAGAGCUGCAGAGAGCAGAAAAGAAGAAGAAGGUGCUCUUCUUUUUGGUUAGCAAUCAUCCAUCAUAAUUAUUGUUGUAAUAGCUUUGAGCUACAUGUAUAGAGAAGAAAUUAUUCAUUAUAUUUCUUUCUCUAUUUGUUUAUGUGGUGUGUGAGAGCUAUUGGGUGUAUUGGGUUAUUUGGGUUGUGAGAUUGCCAACACUUUGUAAACUCCCAUUUGGUUGAUAGUGGAUUAUUAGGUGAGCUCCUACUGCUCCGAGGACGUACUCCAGUUACACUGACUGUUGAGGAACCUCGUUAAAUCUUGGUGUCUUUAAUAUUUUGUUCUUGCAUUUUCAUUUGAUAUAUUUCUUGUGGGUUAGCUUGAGUUGGUUCCAAAAAGGUUUGGUGCUAUCCUAGCACAACACCAAUUGUUUCCAAUUACGAGUAUCCCGAAUAUAAAGGGUAUCAAGAUGUUUCAUAUCCACCAAAGAUGAUAUGUCUAGAAAGCUUGCUUGGUUCUCGCCAUCUGAGAGCUGUAGAGUCCGAAUACGGGUCACCAAUUUGUGGUAGCUGAACAAUUUUUUGAAACAAGAGCUACUUCGUACACUUAACGUCAAGACUUCAAGGUAUUCCAAACCCUGAAUUUCCUCUAUCAGGGCACCCUCACCAUAAAAAAGAAUUCUAUCUGAAGAACCGCAUGCUAAAGUUCUCAAAACUUUUAGCACUGGAAAACUUGAUAUUAGAUUCUGUGGAACAAAAUCAAGCUCAUCCAUAUGCUCCAAGUCCAAAUACUUUAGCCUUACACAUUCCUUUAACUGAAUUGGCAACUUUCUUAAACCAGUUCUUGACAAAUUGAGAUGUUGUAAUGAAAUCAGGUUGGAAACGCCAGAUGGCAAUUUGGUUAUGUUCAGAUUUUGAGACAAAUCCAAAACUCGUAGAGUAGGCAUAUGAUCGAAAAAACCAUCAACAAUCAUAUUCAAAGGACCUCCUCCACCUCUAAGUAAUAGGGUCAACAGAUUUGGAGAUUUUGGUGUUUCAACCAGACUUUUAAAAUCACUACCAACCAAUGAUACCCUUUUUGUGUUCUUCCAUUUCUCCACAUUUGGCGUUCCCGGGAGACCUGUGUGCACGAGGAUACUCUCGUUUUUUUUCCCAGAGUCACAAGCUAACCACAAUGCCAUGUCACGAAUUACGUCAUGCAUUUUUACAAAAUUUCCUUCCUCUUCCAACAAACAUGCAGAAAGGAGAGUUCCUAUGAUAUGGUAAGUCUCAUUUUUUGUUUCAUCUACGUUAACAUACUCUUCAAACAUCUCCUCACACAUCCAAAAAUAUAGUAAAUCAUCUUUACUUAUCAGGAAAUCUUCGGGAAAUAGAGCACAAUAUAAGAAGCAUGAUUUGACUUUCUCACUUGGUAGAUUAUCGUAACUAAAUUUUAAGAGAGGAAAUACCUUGUCUCCCAUAAUGGAAAACUCUGAGGCAGAUUCCUUUAGAACACGAAUUGCAUGCUUCCAUUCGUGGGGUGUUUUCUUGCACGUCAUGGCUCGACCAACUGUAAUUAUUGCAAGUGGCAAACCGUCACACUCAUUUGCCACUACUUGCGCAAGUUUGGGGAUAUCUGGAUGACUUUGAAGAGUUUCUUUGCCCACCUUCUCCUGAAACAAGGUCCAUGCUUGGUUCGUCAUUAGACAAGUGACUUUCAUCUUUAUUUGAGCAUCCAUACAACUACAUAUAUGCUCCAAGCGAGUUGUGAAUAUUAUCUUCGACUUCUUAUUGUUAGCUGGACCAGGAAUCACUGGAUUAGGAAUCGCUGGAUUAGGAAUCCCAACUUUAAUCAUUUCAAUCGACUCCCAUAUAUCAUCCAACAAUAGCACAAAUUUCUUCUCACUCAAGAAGUUGAAGAUGUGUUGAGCUUUUUCAUGCGGCUCUUUGUGCUUCCAUUUGUCAUUAAGAAUCCCAAGCUUUUCACCAAUCUUAUCUUGGAGGAUUCCAAGUGUGUGGUCUUUUGAGACCACGAUCCAAAUCACAGGAUCAAAAUGGUAAGUAUUAAAGGCGAAGUUGUUAUGGAUUUUGGUAAGGAGGGUGGUCUUACCCACCCCUCCCAUUCCAUAUAACCCGAUUGUUCCCACCUGUUCAUCUUCAACAUGUCUCCAGACCUCAUCAAACAUCGACUCCAUCCCCACUGUUUGUUCAGUAGGCAUUUCAUAGACUACCCCUACCCGCUGUAAGCUUUCUGUUGCCACCUCUUCAAAGCUUCCCUUGCUUUUCAAGGCAUCCACUUCCACCAACAAUUUAAACACUUUUUUUCCGUACUUGUAGCUGGGAAAGUAGUUCUUGGAGCAGUAAACUCCGCCACAUGAUUUCUGAAUUUCUCGAUCUGCACAACUUUGAACUUCUCUGACUCGUGUCUCAAUAGUUUCCGCCUUUUUAAUCCACAGUUGUACCUGGUGCAAGCGCAUCAUGGAUGUCUGAAGCUCGGCAACCUCAACCCUUCUCACGAGAUCAUUCUUUAAAGCGGUCAGUUCUUGCAAAGAUCGAUCCAGAGCUUCAAGGUUUUCUCCGAGCUUGCUGAUGUAGUUUGCUUGCUGACUAAGGAAAGCCCAGCAGCAGAAGUUAGCCGUGGGAUCGCAAGGUAUGGAGACUGAGAAAAUGUUCCCCAUGGCUUGCAGGAAUACUGAAAAAUGAAAAGAUGUACUUUUGUUUGGGAGAGGAAUUAGGUAAUGUUUUGUAAAUAGGAUGAUAUGUGGAAUGAAUCAUUGCAAUUAAUGCCUGUACCUUUAGGUUAUGUCGGUCGGGCUCACCAGAAACUUUAUGUCACUUUAAUCAGAAGACCCAAUAAUUCACUCUUGACUUCCAGAUAGACAUUUUAUUCAUGUUGUGAAUUGAGUUCUGGAAUCAACAAGGAAAUUUGCAAAUUGGGUUUCGUUUGAGAUUUAAUGUUUUAUGGAGACAAGUUUCAGGUUAUUUGAAAUGAAAGGAAUUGGAUAUUUUCAUUUUUUUUUCUUUUUGCAUCAAGGUUCUUAAAAACACUAAGUGUUAAUCGGGCGGUGGGCUAGUGCCUAGCGCCUAAGCCGCUAGGCGGAAUCUAGGCGGGCGCCUAGACGGCCUAGAUGAAUUUAAGUAAAUUUCUUAUAUAUUAUAUGAAUUAAUUAAAUUUACUAUAUCAAAUGUAAAUAAUUAUUGAAUAAUAUGUUAUUUCUUAUAGAAGAACAUACAUAUGUGAAUGUUUUAUGUACAUAUCUAAUAUACUUGUCUCGGAAAAAAAACAAAAUAUUUUCUAAAUGAUUUAUAAUUUAUAUAACAUUUAUAUACAUAUAAUAUACAUCCCAAACUUUUAAAACUAUAAAAAAAAACCCACGCAAGUGGGUGGUUUCAUAUUUAAAACCAUCUGAUGAACGGGUGGUUUCAUAAUUAAAACCAUCUAACUCUUUCACAUCACCCAAGAAUCCAUCAGUAGCUUUUGAAUUUUGUUUCUUCUUCUUUACCCUUUCAGAACCUAAUCUUUUAGUCUCUCUCUCUUUCUCUCUCUCUCUUGGCACUCUCUUCCCUCAUGCCUCAUCUUCGUUCUUCUUCUUCGGCCCUUCACUUUCAAAACCUCAAAAUUGGAUCUCAAAUCCAACUUACGCCACCAUAGAUUUAAAUGUUUAAUACUCUCUCUCUCUCUCUUCCCUCAUCUUCAUAGAGACGCAGAAAUUCGUCGGAGCCCUGCUGUUAUGUAUGAGAUCGAAAGUUGUAGAUCCGGUUGCAAAAAUUGCUGCGAGAUUCAAACUGCCUAGCCCACCUAAGGCGCCUAGCGAGCGCCUAGGCGGCCACCUAAGUCCUCCCCGCCUAAUUGGUCUAAAUCGGGUCGGAGCUCCGCCGCCCAACACUUAGGCCAAUUUUUAGAAUACUAUUUCGCAUCAAGAUAUAUGAAAUCUGUAUUUAUAAAGUGAGCAACACAAUUUGGUGAAAUAUUCAAUAAACCUAAUAUUACCCUUUCCUUCACAUUCAAAAAUAUAAAAAAAAUUCAACCACUUAAUACUACGGUCUAGUGGUAUUCCCCUUUACCUAUAAGUGAGAGAUCUUAGGUUCAAUUCUUGACAAAGGUGAAUUUGAACUGCAUUAUUGCUAGCCUAUUAUAAGGUUUAACCCACCUUCUCCCCUUAGUGUAAAUAAUAUCGGUUGUUCCAAAAAUAAAUAAAAAAAUUCAGAAAAUCAAAACAAUAUGGCAAAACCUGCAUUACAAACACAUCAUAAAAAAAUAAAAAAUAAAUAAAAAAAAGGUACAAAAAAAAGAGUAAUGCUAUAUUUUACCAUCUAUUUGUAUCAUUAUCUAAUAGAGGUAAGACCUACCAACACAUGUGGCAUCUCUAUUAGAUAGAUGAUAUAAAUGAUGCAUGAAACUAAAAUUUGUACCUUCUUUCUUGAUUUUCAGUUUACAAGACAUAUUUUAGUUUACAAGAUAAAUGUCACAUGAAUGUUUUGACAAAAAACAAAAUGUCACACGAAAGCCUUAAUUAUAUCCAAUUGCAGGUAAGCUCAGAAAAUUCUCCUUUGGCUAUGCUUGUUCUUGGUUCUCACACGUGUGCGUUUGUUUGCGUGCAUGAAUUUGCAGUCUUCUUGUGAAUUGAUCAUCUGGUUCAACAGGAAAUUCAUCAUUAGUGGAGACAAAGAAGAUUCAUCAUUUGGUUCAACAAGAAAUUCGUCCAAUCUGCACUCCUUGUGAAUCUAUGUUCAUGGGUUGGGGGUUCUUGUAGCUUCUAAUAUCAUCCUUGUAGCGUUCCUUAUCUUGACGAGCCUUUGCUUCAUAUGGCUCCUUUUCCUCCGCUGAAAAAUGGAAAACAUUAUGUUAACAAAGUUAUACUUCGCAGAAAUUCCUCAUGUUGUGGAAGCACACAAGAUGUAAUAUAGUAGAAUCACACAUACCAGACAUCUUUCUCCACUUCUCUCCAAGCACUCUCCCCACAUCAGUAAACGCAAUUCCAGGGUUCUCUCUCUUGACAUUCUACGGUCAACCAAAUAAGGUCAAUAAUUUCUUCGAAACAUCAAUAAUAACUUGAACCCAAAGUUAGAACCAGUAGAUAGAAAUUAAAAAACUCACAUCUCUCUCCAUAUUUGAGAAGAACAUGAAACCAGACAUCGCUCUUUUGGGUGCAUUCGGAUCCUUUUUCUUCUUCUGUUUUUUCUUCUUUGAACCAUCUUCACCAUGAAACACCAUGAAAAUAAAAGAGAAGAAUGAUUCAUGAGAUAUAUUGUUAGGAAUUGGCUCGUCAAUGGUUACAGGAAGCAUUCAAGCUUAAAGACAUAUCACCUCUGGCGCAUAUGGAACAUCUGGAUACCCUUCAAACAAGCAAUUUCAUCAUCGAAGGAGACACAAAUAGGUGGAAUGGCUUAGUUUGGGAAGACGAAGUUGCUCGAAAUGUUUUUCUUCCUUGUUUCAGACCCUCUAUCUGAGGGCUGAGGAGGGAUGGUUGGGGACCAGUUUGAAUAUGCCUUUUAUUCUCACUUUCUUCCAUUUGGUUUUUUGUUUAUUUUUUUCAUGCAUUUCGUGCUCGUAGUUUCAUUCUGUUAGCCUUGUGGGAUGGGGUGGAGAGAUUUUACCCGGUACACCACAUGUCAUAAUAUAAGUGGAGAGAAAUUUUUUAAAGUGUCCCUCCACUUGAAAAUAGAAUUAAGGAUAUGUUGACUCAAUGUAGAACUGUAGAAGUGUAAAAGAUGAAACAGAUGCUAGACUAAUUUCUGUAGUUUUUAAUUUUACAGCGAUGCCAAAAAAUUCAAACGUAUGAGGCACUUUCAAUUCGCAAAAUGACUACAAAAGAGAAAAAGCAGCAUCACGACACACAGGCAACAAAACUAUAUCGACAGACGAAGAUUUUGCAUUAACAUUAAGAUUCAAGCACAAACUGGGAUUUAAGGAGGAACUGCAUUUGUAUUUUUUUCAUGUACCUUUUUUAGCAGACUGAGCCCAGCUUAUGGCUGACCUAGCCAAGGCAUCUAUAGGGUCAAUGCAUUUCUUAAGAAGAGGAUCCAGGUGAAGAAGACCUCGCAUAUCAUCGGACGCAAGAAUAACAGAGUUCACAACCCUCGCCAGAAGAACCUGGAGUGCGAUCCUCAAGAGAUUUUGUGCCCCCUCUAUGUCCUUUCUGUUUAAGGCUUCAAUAGCAGGGAUUACAGAGUAUUCCAUGGUCACUUUAUCCGGCAGAACAACCUCAAAUCCCUGCAUUUAUAAUACGAAAAAUGAAUAUCAUAACAUGAUGUAGCAAUAAAAUUUUUUACAAGUAUAGUUAAGGAAUUCAUAUUUAACUGGCAGGAAAUGAAUGCUAUUUAAUGUCCUGGGGAACUUGUAAUCUGUUGAAAACAUAUUUACUAUUGCUUGUCAUACGAUACUAGACAAUUAAAACAGAAGCUGGAAAAUGGAAUUACCUCGCUCUGCAGUUUCUCCUGAUAGAAUCCUGCUGUCAAAGUUGCAUGGCUUGCAAGCACUCCAAUCCGCAAAGGACUUCCGGCUUCAAGCGGCUUCAACUUUGCUUCCUUGAGCUCCUUGACAACACACUCACCAAUAUGAAGAAAAGGAACAGAACAUCCCUUAGAAAUUUCAUCAUGCCAAGAAUGUGAUAUGUGACAAGGCAUUACAAUGCAACGAGCUCCCGAUUUUUCAAGAAAAAUCCUCUUACUCAGCAAAUUCUCCACAAUUGGAGUAGGAUCGAAUUCAGGACCAUCGCUUUUACUGCUGACAGAAGGAAAAGAACUCUCAAUUGAUAAAAGCUCCUUAUUUGAAACAUGGUCAGAACAAAGAACAAAAGGAGGGCAACUUUCUCCAUCUCUUGAACUCCAAUUGACAAGUUUUCUCAUAAAUUUAACAUUAGAAUCGACAGAUAGCCCUCCAAUUAUGCCAACUGUGUUUGGUAGACCCGGAAAUGAUUUUCUGGGAGCAGUGUUUCUUAAAGCUGCACUUGAACCAGAACCCUUCUUAAACUCUGGAAACGGGCCAGUUUCAUCUGUGUGCAAGAGAACUGGGGAUGGAGUUUUAGCUUGACCUGGAUUCAACCUCGUCAUAUAAAGGGUUUUAUGUGUAUUUACAAAUCCCAAGUUAUAGAAAUGAUAGUUCGAAGGGCGCAAAGACGUUGCUUCCAUUUAUCAAUCUACAGCAAAAACUCCAGAACCACUACUCAAACCAUAUAAUUCUGCACAGAUUUCUGAGUUGCGCAGCCUAUGACAACAACCUUCUAUACUUUGAACUUUACAUUAGGCUCCACAGAAUAAACACCCACCGUCAAAAGUUAUGAACUUCAACAGUAAAUUAACAUUUAACAAGGAAAGUACUGAAUGAGUCAAUUCAGAUACUUCAAAGUAUGCAAUUCAAAAACAAAAACCAUAUCCUCCAAGAUUGCAAUCCCCUAAGCAGAUAAUGGACUCUCUCUCUCUCUCUCUCUCUCUCUCUCUCUCUCUUCACUUGUUCUUCUUUAGUAGCUCAGUGGUAGAGCGGUUGACUGUUAACUAACAUGUCGUAAAUUUGAAUACUACUUGGGGAGGCUUGAUUCAUUCGGAAUUAAAGAACACUGAGAUCAAAAUCUAUAUUGGAAAUUUAGAUAAGUAGAGGAAACUCAGACAAGAUACAAAAUUUCCAGGAUUUGAGGAUUAUUAUCACUAUCGCUAUAAGGACCUAUAUUUUAUGGCCCUACAGAGAGAGACAUGAUUCAUCAAGGGAAUAAUAGUCAAGAAAGUGGGGACAAAUCAUUUGACAUCUGAUAACAGUGACAAAUUUGGCAUUACAUCAUGUUUCAGCAAACCAACAGAGGGCCAUGAUAAUAUAUUUGACUUGUUGAUUAGUUAAAAACCAAAAAGUUAGAUUACUUAGGAGUUAGAGGUUGGUCAUAUAGCCCUAUUUGAUAGUCAUCAUUUUUAGUAUUUAGUUUUUCAUUUUUCGUGCUAGAGAUAUGAGUAAAGUAUAUGGGGAAAAAAGGGAUGAAGAAGGCAGACGGGAGAGGGAUUUUAGCCAGAUUUUAAAUAUCUUGAUUUUCCUUAUCUCUGUUGUCUAGGGAUUUUAGUCGUUAUCUUCUGAAUUUUAUGCACAUUGUUAUUGUAAAGACAUAUUUUCAGUUUACAAGAUAUGGUGUGGCACUGCCAAUGAAUGUUGUUGAUGCACAAAAUCAGUGAGGACUUUGGUACAACAGAAAGUGUCAAGUUUGUGACCUUCGCUAGAUUGCUUCGGUCACUAGUGUGGAUAAGUAUGUAAAUGAAUAGAGACAAGGAAGCAAACACAAGAUGUACGUGGUUCACCCAGAUUGGCUACGUCCACGGAGUAGAGGAGUUCUCAUUAAUUGUGAAGGGUUUACACAAGUACAUAGGUUCAAGCUCUCCUUUAGUGAGUACUAGUGAAUGAUUUAGUACAAAUGACAUUAGGAAAAUAUUUGUGGAGAAUGAUCUCCUAUUUAUAGAAGAGAGUUUCUAGCUUUGUUCUGACAUUGACACGUGUCGUGUUGUGAUUGGCUUCUGAUGUUGACACAUGUCGCGCUAUGAUUGGCUUCUGAUGUCGACACGUGUCGCGCUGUGAUUGGCCUCCUGGUUGGAGGGAAACUCUUCUGGGUCCUUGACGGUAUAACGUUGACCCGGUGCUCAGUAGUUUCGGGAUUGGUCAAGUAUGGUACAAACAGUGCUCCCCUAAGUUCCCGAGUGAGGGAAGCUCCUCGGUUGGGGACUUGCAAGAUCCAAGCCAUUGAGUAAUCACGAAACUUCUAAGUACCGAAGUGUGGUAUCAUUUUCACUUGCCUUAUCUGUCUCAUAGGUAGAUGUGGCAUCUUCUCUGGAAGUACUUUUCCUCCAUCCAGGGGUGGUAUCUUUAACCGAUGGAGAUGCACAAGGUAAUGUAUCAAUUUCACUUGAAGCUUACUUGUAGUUUCGGGCUUGGUCAAGUGCGAUACACAAACCCAUAUAGUAGGAGUCCCCAAGUCGCCGAGCUAGGAGAUCUGCCGAAAGAGGUGACAGACAAGGUAAGCAAUCAGACUUCCAAGCAAGCAGUCCCAGGAUCAGAGGUUUGAUUUCGGCUUCCGGUUGAUUGUUCUCAUUCUCCCUAUCUUGCAGGCAGCAAGAAGGAUAAAAGAGAAGCAAAUGGAGAAGAGAUGAUAUGAGAUACUUUUGCUUUUGAAGAAGUAACUUUCCACAGGCUUAUUCUUGAACUGGGCUGGAGGGUUUUCUGGUUUCCUCAGAGUAUAAGGCCGACUCAAGAAUUUAAGGGUAAAAACAAGUCCAUCAAAUUUAAGAGUGCAUUCGACCUUGAUGAUAUGGGAUACUUUUGCUGUUGACAAAGUAAUAGAUGAAUCGGCACGUGUUCUGUUGCGCUUGUCUCCACAUGCUUCCUUGUAUCCUUCUCACUUGCCCUAUUUGUUCCUCAGGCAGAUGUGGUAUUUUUUCUGGAAGCACAAGAUGUUGAAGAUGACUACUCGAGAGUGAUGCCAUGUAAGUAAUCAGGUAAAGGGUUCCAGGCAUUCAGUUCUUGACUGGAAGCUUGAUUUCCAAGUGCUGACUGAUUGCUCUCUUUCUCCUUGUCUUGCAGGUAAGAACAAGGGCAAAGGAAAAGACAGGGAAAAAGCAUGAUAUGGGAUACUCUUGCUUUUAACCCUGAUGAUAUGAGAUAUUCUUGCUCUGGUGUAGCUUGUUUGCAGAGGUAUUAUCGGAGGGAAAAGAAGCUGAGUAUUUCGAGAUACUCUGCUUAGAGUGCCUUCUCGGAUGUGAAGAAAAGUUGAGCACUUUUUUUUAUUUGCAGGUUGCCUGUCCUUUGGAGGAUAGAGGUCGACUGUAUAUAGGGAAUUUCCCAACAACAAGUAGUAAUGUUGUUCCUUUACCCUUCUCGGUCAUAGCAAUGUAGUGAGAGCUGCAAGAUUCACGUGUUUUAACUUUGUCAGAGCACUUUGAAAAAGUGGUAUGUGGUAUCUGAAAAGCUGAUGUUGCGUGUGAAGAUUGCAAACAAAUUUUAUCCAAGGAAAUCCGGCUUUCGAAGUUCGGAAAGCGGUGCCUUUUCGAUUUUCGAACAAGCAAUCAUGUUGGGGAUCUGGCUUUUGAGAUUCGUAGAGCGUUGCCUCUUCGAUUUUUGAACAAGCAAUCCUAUUAAGGAUCUGGCUCUCAAGAUUUAGAGAGCGGUGCCUCUUCGAUUUUUGAGAAAGCAAUCCUGUUGUGAGUCUGGCUUUCAAGAUUCAGAUAGCGGUGCCUCUUUGAAUUUUGAGAAAGCAAUCAUGUUAGGAGUGUUUUCUUGAUGUAAGUAAGGUUGGGCAUUUUUGCCAGUCUGCCUUGCCACAGAGCACAAAGACUGACACACAUAGGGACUUUCCAAUUAUCAAGCAAUAGUGUUGUUCCUUUACCCUUGUGGGUAAUGGUAGGGUAGCUGGACCUUCAAAAUUUAUGUGUCUAAACUUUCUUAGAGAUCUUUGGCAAAGUUAUUUGUGGUACCCAAUGAGCUGAUGUUGUAUGUGGAGAUUGUCGACAGAUUUUACUCAGGAAAAUCCGUUUCUUGAAAUCUGAAGAGUGGUGCCUCUUCGAUUUUUGAACCAAGGGCCCUGUUGCCCUUUCUUUUAUAGGAGCACCAAUUGUGUGCAAGAAGUACGUUUAGAGAGUUAUUGCUUGUAAGAAUUUUCCCUUUAUUUUUGUACUUCAAAGAUUUAUUGGACCUCAUUUCUCCUUCAUCAUUUCUAAGAAUGUCUGGCCCAUCCGACCGUCGUUUUGACUUGAACUUUGGUGAAAAGGCAGCCAUGCCUUCUCAAGACAACAUAUGGCACCUAUCAUUCUUAUCCCCUACUGGUCAUCUUACCAUUGGGAACUUUAUGAUGAAGAAUGAUAUGACCGCUGCGGUGGUGGCCAGGAACCUUCUCACUCCCAAAGAUAACAGACUACUUUCCAAACAGUCUGAUGAGUUGGCUAUUAAGGAUUUUCUGGCUUUCAGUGUUUAGUGUGCAGGUUCUAUGUCUAAUAUGGCCCAACGCCUAUUUGCUCAGAACCCGCCAAGUUGAACCAUUGGCGGCUGAAGUGAUAAGUCUCAAACAGGAGAUCAGAGGGCUUAAGCAUGAGAAUAAACAGUUACACGAACUCGCACAUGACUAUGCUACAAACAUGAAGAGGAAGCUCGACCAGCUGCAGGAAUCUGAUAGUCAGAUUUUACUUAAUCAUCAGAGGUUUGUGAGUUUGUUCCAAAUGCAUUUAUUGCCUUCGUCUUCUAGGGCUGUACCACGUAAUGAAGCUCUAAAUGAUCAACCUUCGGUGCCUCCUCCUUCUGGGGUUUUGCCCAGUACUGAGACUCCGAAUGCUCACCCUCCGGUGCCUCCUCUUUCUGGGGCUCUGCCGACUGCUGAGACUCCUCCUGAGCAACCUUUGUGAAUGCUCCAUCUUGUUUGUUUAUUUUGAUUCAUGUAUAUAUACAUAUUUGUAACUUAUCGGAGAUAUCAAUAAAUAAGUUUUGCUUCAUUUCAAUGUAUUGUGUUAAAUACACCAAGGCUUUAUUCACUAUGUUCUUUGAAUUUUUUUCUUUUGUUGAAGCUUGUAUGUUGAAGCUUUGUGAGUGAAGCAUGUAGGUUGAGGUAGUGCUCCCUUAAUUUCUCGAGUGAGGAAAACUUCUCAGUUGGAGACUUGAAAGAUCCAAGUCACUGAGUAGUCGUGAACCUUCCAAAUACCGAGGUGUAGUAGAAUAUGGUAGGAGUCCCCCAAGUCUCCGAUCGAGGGAGUUGACGAAUGAGGUGUCUUGCUAGUAGCCAAGUUUCCAAAGUAACAAAACUUCACCGUUUUCCUUUCUAAGUGGUAGCCCAAAACUCCUCAUUCAUAUAUAUUUGUUAUGAAAGUUGUUAGGCCAAAAGAAGAAGAGGUCUACGCCCUUUUUUUUAUUGAUUUUUUUCUUUCGAAUUUCCGAAUUUCUAAAUUUUCGAAUUUCCAAAAAAAAAAAAAUAUAUAUAUAUAUAUAUUAAGCUUUAUAUGUGAAGUUUUGUAGGUGAAGCUUUGGUGUUGAAGCUUUGUAGGUAAAGCUUUGAGGUUGAAGCUGUGUUAGGUACCAUGAAUUGAUUUUGCUUCACACUAUCUUGAUCAAGAGUACUUGAAGCUUUUGGCACUUAUAGUUGAAGCUUUGUAGAUGAAGCUUUUGUGUUGAAGCUUUAUAGAUGAAGCUUUGUAGGUGAAGCUUUGGAGUUGAAGCUUUUGUAGGUGAAGCUUUAGAGUUGAAGCUUUGUGAGUGAAACUUUGGAGUUGAAGCUUUUGUAGGUGAAGCUUUGGAGUUGAAGCUUUGUAGGUGAAGCUUUGUAGGUGAAGCUUUUGUGUUGCAGCUUUGGAGUUGAAGCUUUGUAGGUGAAGCUUUUGUGUUGAAGCUUUGUAGGUGAAGCUUUGGAGUUGAAGCUUUGUAGGUGAAGCUUUUGUGUUGAAGCUUUGUAGGUGAAGCUUUGGAGUUGAAGCUUUUGUAGGUGAAGCUUUUGUGUUAAAGCUUUGUAGGUGAAGCUUUGGAGUUGAAGCUUUUGUAGGUGAAGCUUUGGAGUUGAGGAUUUGUAGGUGAAGCUUUUGUGUUGAAGUUUUGUAGGUGAAGCUUUGGAGUUGAAGCUUUUGUAGUUGAAGCUUUAAAGUUGAAGCUUUUGUAGGUAAAGCUUUGGAGUUGAAGCUUUGUAUGUGAAGCUUUUAUGUUGAAGCUUUGUAGGUGAAGCUUUGGAGUUAAAGCUUUUGUAGGUGAAGCUUUAAAGUUGAAGCUUUUGAAGGUGGAGCUUUGGAGUUGAAGCUUUGUAGGUGAAGCUUUAUAGGUGAAGCUUUGUAGGUGAAGCUUUUGUGUUGAAGCUUUUGAGAAUUGUAGUUGAACUCCUUUGAUGAAGCUUUUGUUGGCACCAUAAAUUGGUUUUGCUUCACACUAUCUUGAUCAAGAGUAUGUGAAGCUUUUGAGAAUUGUAGUUGCCCUCCAUUGAUGAAGCUUUUGUUGGCACCAUAAAUUGGUUUUGCUUUACAUUAUCUUGAUCAAGAGUGUGUAAAGCUUUUGAGUAUUGUUGUUGAACUCCUUUGAUGAAGCUCUUGUUGGCACCAUAAAUUGGUUUUGCUUCACACUAUUUUGAUCAAGAGUGUGUGAAGCUUUUGAGAGUUUGUAGUUGUCCUCCAUUGAUAAAGCUUUGUUGAAUUUCCCAAUUUCCCUUUUUCGAUUUUUUUUUUUUUUUUUUUUUUUUUUUUUUUUUUUUUGAGAACUAGAAAUUUGAAAAUGUAGGAAAGACAACAUAUACAAGCCACACCUUGUAGUAGUCGAAGGUUAGGAUGAACCAUAUAAAUUGAAUUUGCUUCGAACAGUUUUGAUGAAUAGUGUGUGAAGCUUUCUACGAGUUGUAGUGUUUGCAUUGUUACAGAGAAGAAUGUCUGAAGCAGAUGCAAGAGGGCUAAAUAGCUUGAUCUUCGUAUACCAUGCACUGAAGUUGUUGUUGGCUUGCAAUAAGACUUUGUUGGUGACUAUAACUCUUGUUAGGCAUAAGUGCUCCCCUAGUUGAGUUGUAAAGCUUAAGGGUUUUUUUAUUAUUUGUGAAUGCUAGGAGUUCACAUGUACAAGUUGUACCAUUCAUCUUCUAGUUGGUGGAAUGAAUGGUGAGUUGCUUUCAUCACCUGGUUGGUGGUACGAAGGUGAGUUCCUUCAUCACAUUUCAUCACCUGGUUGGUGGCACGAAGAUCAAUUCCUUCUUCACCUAGUUGGUGAUAAGAGUGGCAAGUUGCCAAAUAAUAUUAGAGUACGAGUUGUACAUUUCAUCACUUGGUUGGUGGCACGAAGGUAAGUUCCUUCAUCAUCUAGUUGGUGAGAAUAAAGGCAAGGUGUCGAGGCACAUUGUAGCAGGUGUCGAAUGACACAAAGUAUUUUGAACCUUUUUGAAUCACAGUUGGCUCAUGUAUGAAUGUGUUGUAAUGUAUGAUUGAACGAAUAUAUUGUGAAGCUGUUCCUUUAUUUGUAUAGUCUUGUUGACAUAUACUUAGACUUUGUUUCAUGUUGGAAGCAUUCAUGUUGAAGCUUUGAAUCCGAGUGUUUCAUUGCUAGGAAUGUAAGAAGAUUAGGACCUCGUUGUCUAAAUCACCUCUUUAUUGAAUUCAUGCCAAAUGGUCUUCGUUACAUAGGAUGUCGAAUUGCUGAAGCUUAACAAUUGUACAAUGUGAGUUUACUUGUAAUAGUACUUUUAGUGAUCAACGUUCCAUAGAUGGCCAAAGGUCUUGCCAUCGGAGAUUCUAAGCUUGUAGGAGCCAGAGCGACUGAUGCCAACAACUUCAAACGGUUCAUCCUAAUUUGGACUACGUGUUCCUUCACUUGAGACUGUGUCGCAGAGUAAUCUUUUCUUCAAUACCUAGUCCCCCCACUUUGAAAGAGAGGUUUGACCCUUGAGUCAUAGUAGUUGGAGAUGCGCUGCUUGUAAGCGACAUUCCUCAAGUGAGCCUGGUUUCUGUGUUCCUCGACUAGAUCUAAGUUGAGGGUAAGUUGUUUGUCAUUUUCGCUUUGCACGUAGUUCUGGACUCAAAACGUUGCUUGCUCAAGCUGAACUGAGACAACUGCCUAUGUACCAAAAGCAAGUGAGAAUGGAGUUUCUCCUGUUGAAGUCUAAUACGAAGUGCGGUAUGACCAAAGAACUUGGGGUACAAAUUCUAGCCAACAGCCUUUAGCCUUAUCCAAGUUGGUUUUUAAAGUGCGCUUGAUUAUUUUGUUGAUAGCUUCAACUUGUCCAUUAGACUGGGGAUGAGCUGGUGAGGCGAAACAUAAGUUGAUGUUGAACUUAUAGCAUAACAUCCUGAACUUAUUGUUGUCGAACUAUCACCCGUUGUUAGUGACUAUCGCAUUGAGAAUGCCGAAAAUGAUGUUCUUCCAUACGAAGUCUUCUAUUUUUGCCUCAGUAAUGGUUGCCAAGGGUUCUACUUCGGCCCACUUUGGGAAGUAAUCAACUGUAACGAUUGCAUAGCUGACCUUGCCCUUCCCUGCAUGCAUUGGGCCAAUUAAAUCAAGUCCCCAUUGGGCCAAGGGCCAAGGGCUGAUCAUAGAUGUGAGCGGCUCGGAAGGGGAGUAAGGAAUAGUUACGUAACGUUGACACUUAUCACAUGAGCGAGAUAUUCUGAUGGCAUCUUGGUGGAGUGUUGGCCAGAAAUAUCCUUGGCAAAAAGCCUUGUAUGCUAGGGAUCGAGAUCCAGCAUGUUUUCCGCAGACUCCUUCAUGUAUUUCCCGAAGGAUAAUUUUUGCCUCCGCGGGCGUAAGGCAUCUUAGGUAUGGUAGGUUAAAACCCCGCUUGUAAAGUUGGUCAUUAAUGAUCAAGUAACGGGUAGCCUUGUAUCGAAUCUGCUUAGCUUGGACUUUAUCAUUUGGGAGGGUGCCAUGCGCAAGGAAUUUAUAAAUCGGGGUAAUCCAACUAUCCCCCUGUUGUAAGUUGCACACUUCCGCGGCCAUGGUGCUGGUGCUGCCAACAAUUCGACCUGAAUUUUUCUCCCAAUUUUGUCUUCCACUACUGAGGUGAGAUGAGCCAAAGCGUCAACAUGACUAUUUGUCGCUCGAGGAAUUUGGGUGAUCUGGUAGUGAAAGUGCUUGAGCAACAAUUGUGUUUGUGCCAGAUAUGCUGCCAUGGAGCUAUCCUUAGCGUCAAAGUUGUUGGUGACCUGGUUAACCACCAAUUGGAAGUCACUAAAGAUAUUAAUUCGUUUAACCCCAAGGUGUUUGGCCAAACGUAAGCCUGUUAUGAAGGCUUCUUAUUCGGCCUCAUUAUUCGACGCCUUGAAUUUGAAACGAAGAGCAUACUUCAUCGCCACUUUGUCAGAGGUCAUAAAGACUAGUCCUGCUCCACGACCAUGUUGGUUGGACAAGCCAUCAACAUAUAGACUCCAUGCUGGGGUUGUUGGUUCUAUUUUCUAAGCUUCCGAGGGUAAUGAAACCACUUCUUUAGGCGUAGAAACAAUGUCAACAUGAUAUGUAAAGUUGACGAUGAAGUCUGCCACUGCUUGGCCUUUCUCAGCUGGCUUUGGUUGGUAGGAGAUGUCAAACUCACCCAAUGAUAUCACCCAUUUAAUCAUUUGCCCCGAAGUUUCAGGACUUUGAAGUAUCUGUUGAAGAGGAUGAUUGGUAAGCACGAUGAUGGAGUGUAAUUGGAAGUAAGGGCGAAGUUUUCGAGUAGACAUGACCAAUGCUAGAGCCAAUUUGUCAAUGUUGGAGUAUCGUGUCUCCGCAUCUUGUAAGGCUUUGUUAGCGUAGUAGACAGGCCGUUGGACUUUACCAUCCUUUCGAAUGAGAACGAAACUUACUGCUGAAGCCGAUACCGAUAGAUAGAUAAUGAGAAUGUCACCAACCUCAAGUUUGGAGAGCAUAAGGGCUUUACUCAUGUAGUCCUUGAGGUUCUUGAAUGCCCCGGCACAUUCAUUAGUCCAUGUAAUGUACUUCUUACUUCCCUUAAGUACUUUGAAGAAAUGAGCACAUAUGUCUGUGACCUUAGAGAUGAACCUAGUUAAGGCUACCACCUUACCAGUAAAGCUCUGGAUAUCUUUUGAAGUUACCAGUUCCUUCAUGUCGAGGAUUGCUUUGAUCUUCUCGGGAUUAGCCUCAAUGCCUCGUUGGCUUAUCAUGAAGCCUAAGAAUUUGCCAUAGCCUACACCGAAGGCACAUUUGUUGGGGUUCAACCUUAUUCGAUACCUCUUCAGAAUUGUGAAAGUUUCAGAUAGGUUGGUGAUGUGUUGGUCAGCAUGUUUACUCUUGACUAGCAUAUCAUCAAUGUAAACUUCCAUGCUCUUCCUAAUCUGUUCGGUGAACAUUGAAUUGACUAGUCUCUGAUAAGUCGUUCCUGCAUUCUUUAGGCCGAAGGGCAUGACUUUAUAGCAAUAUAGUCCCUUGUCAGUAAUGAAGGCUGUGUGUUCUUGGUCUGGAGGGUUCAUGAGGAUUUGGUUGUAUCUUGAGUAAGCAUCCAUGAAGCUCAUGAGUUCACACCCUGCCAUAGAAUCUAUAAAUCUGUCAAUGAGAGGAAGAGGAAAGCUAUUCUUUGGGCAUCCUUUGUUUAGGUCGGUGUAGUCGACACACAUUCUCCACAAAACUUUUUAGAGCAUAAGACUUUCUUUGGUCGGAUUUUUCUUAACAAUGACCAUAUUUGCUACCCAUGUUGGGUAAUUGAAUUCACGGACGAAGCCUAUGCCUUUGAGUUUUUCAACUUCUGCCUUCAUUGCUUCGUAUCGUUCAGCGUCAUAAGAUUUUCGCUUCUGUCUCACCAUCUUGGUCUUGGAGUGAAUACCCAAGUGAUAACAUAUGAUAUCGGGAGAGAUGCCUGGCAUGUCCUCGUAUGACCAGGCGAAAACCUCAGUGUUCUUUUGCAAAAAAGAGAUUAAUGUCAACCGAAUGGGUGGUGACAAGGUGGUGUCAAUCUUCACCAUGCGAUCUGGAUAAUCUUUUGAGAUAGAAACCUUUUCCAACUCUUCGGCGGGUUGUGCUUGCUGGGUGAAAGAGUCAUCUCGAGGAUCGUUGGGUUGACUGUUACCACCGUGAAGAUCCAAGUUGGCUUCGUCUGGCCUGGUUUUUAUGACUUGGUCAUGUAUAGAAAAGGUUUCCUUGGGCACAAGCAGGUGUUAUUGCUUAACCGAAGUGUUGUAACAUGAUCGUGCACUAAGUUGAUCUCCUCUGAUGUAACCAUUGUCAUAGGGGGUUGGAAAUUUCAUCAACAACAUAUGUGUGGAUACCAUGGCCUUGAGAUCAUUAAUGCUUGUGCGUCCGAAGAUGACAUUGUAUGCCGUUGGGUAAUCAACCACCAAGACGUUAGUGGUAAUGGUAGCUGUGUAAGGGCAUGUACCAAUGGUGAAAGGUAAGUGUAUGCUCCCUAAAGGUUGCAUGACAUCACCAGAGAAGCUUAUCAAAGGAGAAAUCGAGCAAUCGAGUAAGUGUUUAGCUACAUUAAGUGCCUUAAAAGCUUCAGCAAACAUGAUAUUGACCGAAGCCCCCGUGUCUACCAGGAUUCGUCGUACUUCAAAGUUGGCUAUGUGAGCUUCCACGAUCAGUAGGUCGUUGUAAGGGUAGAUAAUACCUCUUUCUUCCUCAGGGUAGAAACAUAUUGGAUCCCAAUUUGGCUUUUGAUACUUGCCUCCCCUAAUGUCUUCCACGUGAAACACUUGGUGGCCAAGCCUUAAAGCCCGUUCACUAUUUUUCAUGGCCCUGUUGGAAGAUUUAGAUAUGGGUGUGCCGCCACUUAUGGAAUAUAUCACAUUCACCUGGUGUUGGUUACGGUUACCCCUUGGAGGGUGAAGGAGGAAUUGAUCAAUUUUUCCUUCUCGUGUCAAAGCUUCAAUAUGAUCACGAAAGGUGAUACACUUCUCGCCGUCAUGGCUGUUAUGCUCGUGGUAACAGCAAAACGUGCCCAUGUUCUUCGUGGGCUUGUAAUCUGGGUGCCUCGGCUUUGGCUUCGGUAUCAGGUGUGCUAUGCUAGGGUAAAUGGCCACACAUGUGGCAUUUAAAGGUGUGUAUGCCACAUACUUGAUGUGAAAAAUAAGUUAACACACAAAAUUAAACCCUCUUUUUAUCAAUUGUAGUAAAGUAUGUAAGUAGGGAUCGUUCUAGGCCGGGGAUUAGGAGGGAUUGCUAAUCUAUUCUAAAUUAAUUUAAAAAUAUUAAACAAGACUCAAGGACACAAAACUAGGCUAAAAACUCUAAUAACUCGAAACACACUUAGAAUGACUCAAAAUAAUGAAAACAAUCAAAUUAGACACUAGGAACUGAAAUGGACGGAAAUUGAAUUAAAAGACUAACAACAAUGAAAACUAACUAAAUAAUAUAAUUUAAUAAUGGAGGGGGUUUGGUUUUGACGAGAAGUAAAUUAAACUUAAAUAAAUUACAGAAUUGACAAAAGCAUGAAAUUAAGGUGAAAUGAUAGGUGACGGACUAGCUAGAGGGUUCUUCUCCACACAUGACACAUAUGCAACCUAAAUUGAUUUUCAGUUGUUCUUUCAAUAAAUUGUAAAUCUCAAUACUUCAGAUUAACAGUGAACAGCACUUUUUUAAUCUUCAAGUUUUCCUUAAGUUAUUGAAUUGGACGGAAAACACAUACAACAAUUCAAAACAUUCUUCAAAAGUCCCCUAUGUGAAAAGCACAAUAGAGAUACAAUCAAAGAUCAUUAAACUUUGUGAAAACUAUAACCAUUGACGAGGCAUUCGUAACUAUGAUUUGCAUGAAACUUAUGCCAAGAAUUUACUUAACGUGAUUGUGACUAGCAACCUUCACUACUUGUGAAUAUAAGUUCAUAACGAUUAGGUGAAACUCCCUUAUAUUCUAGCGUCAAAUUCAUGCAUGUAAAUUAAGUAUGCAUUCUUAAUCGACAUACAAAAAUAAGCUAUCAAUCAAGCAGUUAAGCAAAUUAAAUCACAACUCAGAAAUCACAACUGAAGGUAAUCAAUUCAUAUUACAAAUAUAUAUUCAUGGCUUUGAAUUAACCUCUAGCCAAAAUAAAUUUAGUUACACAUUAUUUUCAAAUUAAACCAAAAGUAAAACAUAGGUUUGAGAAGAUAAAACCAAGAAAAGAAGAUCUGCCGUGCUUCUGUGCUUCUGCCCUCCUGCUCAGUGUCUAUCUCCCCUGCUUCUUCUCGUCACCCUGCUGCGUCUCUCUGCCCUCUGACCUGCUCUCCCCCUGCUGUCCGUCUCUUCUUCUCAGCACAGUUUUCUGUGCUUCUAUAUGCUCUCCCCGUGUCUCUAUCUCUUAUUCUUCUUUCAUAAUCUUUUUUUAUUCCUUCUUUUCUUUUUCUUGUCUGCCAUCCUCUUUGCUUUUAUCAUUUUCUGUUUUUCUUUCCGCCACCUUUCUUCUUUCUUUCCUCCACCAUUCCUUUCUUUAUGUUUCUUUUAUUCCUCAAUCAUUCCAUGUCUCCCCUCUUAUUUAUUUUCUUAUUCUUCAUUCUUCUUUCUCCACACAAUCCGCAAGUCUCUCCCUUUCCUCUUUUAUUAUUCAAUUUCUUGAUAGUCCACUUCCUUCCUUUGUUUAAUGCCGUGUUGCACUCUGUCCUUUCUCUAUUCUUUUCUGCCCAUUUUGUUUGAAAUUAAUCCUACAACAAAAUUAACUGUAUAUUAACACAAGGUAAGGUAAAAUGCCACAAUUUUAACACAAAAAACAUCCAAAGACUUUAGAAAUGAAUGGUAUAAAUGCAUGAAAUAUAUGAGUGAUCACUUCAGGGUAGGGCCUGUCUUGACACGUGCUUGACCCACUGUGUUGACUGCCUGGGGUCGGGGAUUAUCAUGGCGAUACCCUUGGUUAUAGUGGUUGUGUCCCUUACUCCUUUUACCAAAAUAAGACUGGUGAGGAUGGAAAUAUUUCCUUUUGCCCUAAGAUUGAUAUGUCUGUUGACUUGUCAAAGUAUUAAGUAAGCCAGGGAGAGGCACCGUUACCGUUUGGAAGGUUGAGGUCUUCUCAUUUGGGUAGGUCUGGCUUCCACUCCCCACUUACUAAUAAAGGGUGGCUAUGGGGGGUUUCCCUUGAUAUGUCCUUGCUUCGGUAGAGGCGUGGUUGUAAGCAUGUGCCAUCACCUCAAAGUAAGUCUUCCAAGUGUUGGCAUUGAUCAUGUACUUAAAGAAACAAUCAUGUAGGCCUGCCGUGAAGGCCUUGAGGGCGGUCUUGUCAUAUGCCUCAGCGCAGCGAGAAUACUCAUGGUUGAAGCGAUCAGCAUACUCUCGUAGUGACUCGUCCGGCUUCUGGAGAAUCGUAUACAAGUCAUCUGCAGAAUGUAAGUGAUCGGUCUAGAAGAUGUGUUGAGAAACAAACAGUUUCCUCAGUUCCUCAAAUGAGUCUACUGUCUCAGGUGGAAGACGACAAUACCAGUUUAGAGCUCUGCCAGAGAGGAUGGAAGGGAAGAGAAGACAUCAUUCUUCGUCGGUGUGCAUCUAAUAUGCCAUGGUGGACUCAAAGAGUUUAAGGUGUUCAAUCGGGUCCUCCCUUCCAGUAUAAAGUUGUAAACCAAGCUUUUGUUUUGUCUUCGCUUGAAAAUGGAUGUCGAGAAUCCUCCUUGUGAGAGGGCCAAACCUGGGUUGGUUCCAGUUAGGUAUCUCAGCCUGAUGUUCGACCUUCAACUUGUUUACUUCCUCAAUGAGCUGUAGGAUAAUGGGGUCCUAAGUAGAGUCAUGUACCAUUGGAAUUUUCUUUCGUAAGUCUCCAUUGCCUCUUGGAAGUAGGAAAGUUUAAGCAAGAUCGUGUGGUUUUUCCUUGGACUCGAUGUACUGACUUCUAGGGAGAGUUUGUCGGAAUACCUUCGAGUCCCCUGUACCUUCAUGUUCCUCUGGGACCUGUCGUUCAUUCCCUAGAUUGGCAACUGGGCUGGGUCGUGGGAGGGGAUGGAGUCUUUCAGAAACCCUUGGGUCAUUGAUAUUCGAGCAUAUGUGGAAGGGAUUAUCUCGACGUUGCUUUAGAAAGUCUCGACAGUCACGAUAAACGGCUUUCAAUCCUUCCAACCCUUCUGCAAGGAGGUGUCUUCCUUCACUUCUCCUGCUUCAGCAGCUGGGUUGAGAGAAGUCUCAUGUUGAUCAAUGUUUUAAUGAUCAGCUCGCUCCUUAUCAGGGAUACCCAUGUCGAAGGAAAGUGACCCUCCGUGUUGGGGGGCAUCUAGAUGAUGGUUGAUGUCCACAGGGGUAACGAGCUCGUAUGUUUGAGUACGCCUAGUUUCAUGGAGCGUCUCAAAGAGCUUCUCAUACUGCUGCUGGAAGACCUCAUUCUUCAUUGUUAUCUUAUUGUUCUGAGCUUCUAGCUCAUAGACUUUAGCUUGAAGAGCAACCAUCUUUCCUUCAUUCUUUCGUUGUUUCGCACUAGGUGCAAAAAGGGUGUCAUUAUGUGUGAUGUGGCUUCCUUCGUUCCCCAUGUUGGAGAGGGAUGCCUGGUCAAAAGAGAGUCUACGAAUGGUGGAAACCAGCUUGACAAAGCUGAAAAGAGUGGGAAUAAGUGUCAUUCCCACAGACGGCACCAAAUGUUGAUGCACAAAAUCAGUGAGGACUUUGGUACAACAGAAAGUGUCAAGUUUGUGACCUUCGCUAGAUUGCUCCGGUCACUAGUGUGGAUAAGUAUGUAAAUGGAUAGAGACAGGGAAGCAAACACAAGAUGUACGUGGUUCACCCAGAUUGGCUACAUCCGUGGAGUAGAGGAGUUCUCAUUAAUUGUGAAGGGUUUAUACAAGUGCAUAAGUUCAAGCCCUCGUGAAUGAUUUAGUACAAAUGACAUUAGGAAAUAUUGUGGUAGAAUGAUCUCCUUUUAUAGAAUAAAGUUUCUAGCUUUGUUUUGACAUUGACACGUGUCAUGUUGUGAUUGGCUUCUAAUGUUGACACAUGUCGCGCUAGGAUUAGCUUCUGAUGUUAACAUGUGUCGCGCUAUGAUUGGCCUCCUGGUUGGAAGGAAACUCUUCUGAGUCCUUGACGGUAUAACGUUGACCGGUACUCGGUAGUUUGGGGAUUGGUUAAGUAUGGUACAAACAAAUGUAACUGGCAAAAACUAGUUUGGCUAGUGUGAACCGUGUUAAAAUCUUAUUUUCAAGUGUAAAUAACCUCAGAAAAUUCUCCUUUGGCUAUUUAUGUUCUUGGUUCUCACACGUGUGCGUCUGUUUACGAGCAUGAAUUUACAGUCUUCUUGCAAACUAAAACUAUAGUGGCACGACAGGGACGUAAACCUUUGUCGUGUUUGGGGCCAGGAUGGCCCCUUCUGGAUACAUUUGGUUUCAGAUUUAGUACAAUAGGUCUUAAUCUUCACAUGAAGAAACAGUAAAAGAAAUACAGACUUACUUUAAGAUUGGAUGGACAUCUGAAUAUACAACGGUAGGCCAGUAGCCAUGCUAUUGGUAACAGGUACUCCUGGCGUUGGUAAAGCUCCAGAGGAAUUUCUGUCUUUACGCUUUUGAUGACCUGCUCUGUCUUUACGCUUUUGAUGACCUGCACUUGAACUCUACACCUCUAAGAUGGAAAGAAUCACUCAGAUGUUGUAGAUAUAUCAUCUCUGAAGAAUAUGAAACAUGUUCAUAUCCUUCACAUUGUGGAAUAUCCUAAUUUGGACGAAUUUGAAAUUUAUUGUGCAGAACGAGCACGUAAAGAUCCUCGGAUGUCAAGGAUGACGAAUUAGGGCUGGGUUCGGUUUGAAACGGUUUGGUUUUUUGCCAAAACCGAAACCGAACCGAAAUUUCGGUUUGUUUCGGUUCGAUUCAAUUUUUUGUUCGGUUUUUUUCGGUUUCGAUUUGGUUUCGGUCCGAUUCGGUUUUUUUCAUUAUUAUUUUUUUUUUUAAGAUCUGGAUAUUGAUAAACUAACCCAAAAGAGAACCUGCCAAAGUAGCCCAAUAGAUCCAACAAACAGUACAGGCCCAAGCCAUAAAAUACAACAUAAGAAAACCUAGGGUUCUACUGCAGCACUCGCCGUUGAGCAUCCUUACUAGCUCAAACCCUCGCACCAACCAACCGACGCCUCGCCGAUUGUAACAUCCGGCCACGAGCACCUGUCAGAACACAGCCAAACAGACGAGAUCCAAGGGUUUAAUAAAGAGUAUAGAUCCAAAGACCAAAGAUCUCUACCACAUAGGUCUCCACAAAGACAAAUCCAAGAACAACAUCAACCAAUUUUUGUUCAAAAAUUCACAAAGCAUAGUCAACAAAUAAAUUCACAUAGCAUAGUCAACAAACCAAAGAAAUAAAAACUAUUAAUCAAUACAUAAAAAAUAAAUUAAAAAAAAUUAAAAAAAAAAAAAAAAAACUACCAUUUUCAGCACUCAAAGAAUUAAACAAGAAACAGAAGAAGAAAAAAAGGGAGAAAUUGAAUACUUACUGUUAAAGAAAUCCGGAGGAACAAAGAUGGAUGUCUGGACCGUGCGACCUCCAUAUGAAUCCCAGAUUAAAAAACUAUUUGGCUUGUAUUUGAAAAGCAUAGAUCGAAAGUUUAUGGAAAAAGCAAGGAAUAUUAGACGAGGAGCAGAGAGACAAGAGGCAUACGAUUUGGAGAGGGAAAAAAUGGGGAUUGUCAAAUAAAUUCAUCACAAACCCUACGCCUCUUGUGGUAAUCCUUUCAAAAAGUAAGAUCCAUGUUACAACCAUGGACUUGGCAGGUUGGAGAGAGGAAGAGAGGAAGGAGAGUUGAAGGGAGGAAGAGAAGAAGAAGGGAGAGAUAGACUGAGGAAGUAGAGAGGAAGAGCAGCGGAUGGGAGAGAGAGAGAGUGUGUGAGUGUUUGAGAAUGAAAAGGUAAAGGAGUGACGGCUGCUAGGGUUUGUAAGAUUUAUAAAUUUUAUAAAACAUUAAAGAUUAGAAUACCUAUAAAUAUUAUGCUGGUACAAUUAUAGCAAUACAAAGCCUACUAUCAAGUUGGCUUGAAUAAGCUAUCCCCAACCUGGACGAAAGGGGUUCAAAUCUUCAUUCCAAUAGGUUUUGAAUAUUUAUAUUUGAUUUUCAUAUUUCGGUUCGGUUCGGUUCGGUCCGGUCCGAUUUUCAUACCUCAAAAAUCAAAACUGAACCAACCAAAUUCAGUUCGGCUAUCGAUUUUUUUUGGUUUUCGAUUUUUCCAACCCACCCCUAUGACGAAUCACGUGUGCUUCCUUGGCCUUCAGUUUGUACAAGAUGCCGAAAUCUUGGGAGAAAAAUGUCCAGCGCUGAAGAAGCUGCCACUUAAAAGAGGACAGAAGCAUUCUACAUCUUUUGACCGACAAUGGUGACCGGAGAGUCUGCUGUGAAUUGUAUAAAAGUAGUAGAAUGCAUGAUUUUCUUAGAACCCAAUGUGAGGUUCAACAAUAACAAUAUACACAAAGCUCAUAAUAUAUAGAAGCGUAGAGUGAAUGAGAAGAAUCACAGAAUAUGGAAUUUAGAGGCUUUGAAUAUCCAAACAACAGCACAAUAUUGAAUAUAUUAUGGUAUGCACCUAUAUACAAGCAGAACCAUCCUCUUUGUUCUUACAUAAGGCCCUCUCGCUGCCUCACUUAGUUGUCGUGUUUUGGAAGCAGGGAAGAAAAACUUUUCUAGCAUCUUCGUCCUCCCACUCUAAGAAAGACCACUAGUACUCAUGUCCUCUAAUUACAAUAUUGCUCCCCUCAGCACUUCUGGAGUUGAAUGGAAGCUUUCUCAGCACUGUACAUGCAGUUACCUUGAUUUCUUUCAGGUACGGAAAGGGCAGGGCACUAUCAUAUACGCUUCUCAGCUGUGGAAGUGAACUCAAAAUCAGAAAGGUAAGUUUUCCAAAAGGGUUCUGAAAGUUCUAAGAUGGGUACUAGUUUAACCUAGAGGAGGUGAAUAGGUUCCAAUUUAAAAAUCCAAUUCAAUUUUCAAUUUAAUUUUCAGUUCUCAAAUUAAAUCCACAUUCACAUCACAUAUCAAACUAUCAUACUCAUAUACAAUUAAACCAAUAAAUAAAAAGUGCACACAUGAUGUAGGAUUUAAUGAGGCAAAACCCACCACUGGGAAAAUUCUCGGGCUCCCAAGCCAGGACAAACACUAGAGAAAUAAGUAGAGAAAGACUUACAAAACUCAUCAACUAGACACGCAUACUAGUAGGCAGUUUUGUCUCCGCGCUUUGCUACUCGAUCUCUCUUCAGUCUUCAAGUUGAAGUGGCACAACACUAACGCGAUCGUCAAUCACCUUUUCCUCGAACUUUGUAAGAUACUAACUCGAUCAUACAAAAUGUUUAUAUGAUGAAGUGUUUAUUUGAAAAACAAUCAAUUACGAAAAUCACAAGGCAUUUUUUCAUAAUUGACAUUCAAUUAAAACCUUAAAUGAAAACAGCAUGAAAAUAAUAUUUUCUCUUUAAAAACGCAUGUUGUUGAAACCACAAGAUAGCAGCAAUAAAAAUAAUUCUUUCUGCUAAAAAAAAAAAACCAAGGCUGCUGCCUUUAGAUGCUUUAUCUAAGAACCCCAAUAUUCAUGCAUAUGCGGCUCAUGAAAUUUUCUAUCUGUUUAAUGCAUUGCAGCUAGUGUUUAUACCAUACGGAAAAGCCUAAAUGCAUAUGCAGCAGCAGCAAGAAAAACCCUAAACUGAUCUAAAGCAUGCGGCAACCAAAACAUAAAAACAUAUUCUGAUGCACUCGGUGCUAAUGCUCUGUUAAUCUAGCGGCAGCCACUGAACCAGGUAACUAAGACUUCUAUUUAUCUGUGCAACAGCUAGACUCUCUUAUCCCUAUCAUAUACGCGUGAGCCACAAGCCUAAUAAGACCUAAUCACUUAUCAGUUAAGAUAUAAUGAGAUAACUAGGUGAAGAGAUAUAGAUGCAAAACCAGAGACAUUAACAGCAAGUUAAAUCUUAAAAGCAAAACAAGGUCAUGCGGCAAGACUAGGAUCCUGAAGGUACAUAUGUAUAUAUAUGCUAGGGUUUUAAGCUGACUUAAAAUGAUGGGCUUUAGCAUGCUUAAUUAUACAAACAAACCCAAUACUCUUUUAUUAAUGAACAAUACGAUUCAACAUUUUAGCCAAAAUUAAAUAGCCCACUGAACAUAAAUCUAGACUGUAUGAAUGCAUAUGUAUGCCGAACUUACUUUAGUGAUAUCUCUGAAACGCUUGUCAUUUUGUGAUUGAGAGCACUGAGAGAAACUUAAACUAAAAUAAUUACAACGAAAAACAUGACAUUACAAACUCAGGCGUUUUGUUUAGGAAUAGCCAAUUUUACCCUAACAGGUUCAGUUCUUGUACCACAUUUCCAACUCCACCCAGUCUUUCUAAAUUGAUUAUUUUCUCAAUAUCAUUGCAGGCAUCUACACGUAAAUGGCUGAGAUUUGGGGAAAAAAUGAGCCAAGUCAAGUCCGUGAGAUUUGGGCAUCGUGAUACGUCUAUGCACUGAAGG
rnacentral:lncRNA from 1 species